rnacentral:lncRNA from 1 species
UUUUGUUUCAGCGUUGUUGCCAUAUCCGAGGUUGGAAGCUACGGUGUUUUUUGCUGACACGGCUUUAUCAGCUAUUGCAAGCUGUUGCUAAAGAGAUUGUUGAUGGUUGUGUGUUCUCUUGAUGGCUUGCUUGAGUUGUUUCGGUGUUGUUGUCAGCGUAUCCGAGCUUGGAAGAGACUGUGUUUUUGGCUGAUAUGGCUUUAUCAGCUAUUGCAGAGGUUGGCUGAUAUGGCUUUAUCAGCUAGUGUUAGCAAUAACAUUGGUAUUGGUUAGUUAUGCAAUGGGAGAUUCAGCUCAAGACAAACAGAGAUGUGCAGAAUCCCUGACAGGUGUUACAACGUGUCUGCCAUAUUUGGGUGGUGACACGAAAGCACCCACAGCAGAUUGUUGCAGUGGUCUCACACAAGCCAUGAAGACCAACAAGAAGUGUGUCUGCCUUAUUCUCAAAGACAGGGAUGAUCCUGACCUUGGCUUAAAGAUUAACAUGACAAUUGCUGUUGGAUCCACUGCUUGAUAAUUGGCAGGAGCAUAUAUACUUGAUAUGUACUUUGUGGGAAUGAGGAUCUUCUUCCAAGUCCAUUGGUCCCUCAAAAUUGACUUUAGCAUGCACUGCUUUCUCUCACCCAGUGACCUAACAAAAUGUUCAAGUUGGGUUUGUGGGUCUUCUCGGAUUAAUUCCAUUAGUUGGAGAAACAAUUACUACAACUCUUGACUCGUGAUGAAAUCAAUAAUAGGAAAAACAAUAAAGAUAUUUUGAGUGGGAUAGAGUAAGACAGUACAUUAUCCCACAAAGUGAUAUAAUAAUUCAUUACAUUAAAAAUUAACUUCCACCAAAGCUGAAAUAAACAAGUCUAGGCUGUCAGUUUGAUGAUUGAGAAGAGUCUAAAAUAGCAUCAGGAAGAUAAGGAAACAAAAAAUGGUGAAAAAACUAAAUAAUACGAAAAAACUUCAUUAUGCAGAACAAAGACAGAGUAAAAUUCGUCCUCAUUUCUAUCUCUGUAGUCAUUCCCAUGGAUGAGGGUAAGUUCCCAACAAAAUGGUUGCUUUGUAAAUUCACUUCCACUAGAAAUGGCCAAAUCAUCCAACAAUUUGGUAUUUCUCCUGACAAAUUAUUUGAUGCAAGAUUCAGAAAUUCUAAUUUCAUGGAUUCAGAGAAUGAAUUGCUUGAAAGAUCUAACCGAAACACAUCACUUGAAAGAUAGGAUAAUUUACCACAUAAGUGAUUUGAGCUUAGAUCAAUAGUAUGGAUAGAUAAUGGAUUCUUUAAUGUAGUCCCAAGCUCACCAUGGAUAUGAUUGUAAGAGAGGUUUAAAUACAAAACCUGAGAAAGUGCUUAUCACAUCCGUAUGAGAAUAGAAUCUAAAAUCCCCGUAUUAGACAGUCCAACAUCUUGAAGUUUGUUUUGUGACUGAAUCCAUGAUGGAAAAUUGGCACCUUACUGCCAGGAUCUCACAUCCAAAGAGGUAAGCUGAAAAUUAGGAAGCCAAUUGGGACCCACUUUUAAAGUGAAAUUGUUCCCUGAUGCAUGAAACUCCUUCAAGCUUGUAAGAUUUCUAAGAUCAUUUUCCUUGACAACUCUUUGAAAAGAUUGCCAUCAAUAUGAAGAGAUGACAAUUUAGAGAUAUUCAUGAGAUGACAAUUUAGAGAGUGAUCAAAGACUUUCAAAUCGAUUUCCACUGAAUUUAUCAAUAGACAGAUCAAGAUAUCUUAAUGUUGAAAGUUUUCCAAAUGAUCUAGAAAGGGCACCACCAAUUGAGUUGUUGUAAAAAUCUAGCAUGUCAACAUUUUUAAAAACUCCAAUUUAAUCCGUCAAAUUGGGUUAUUUUAUCAUCUAGGGACAAGUUUUUUGUGUUUUUUUUCUCAUGUGGGUACUUUUCAAAUUAUGCUCCAAAAGUGAAUAAGUGGUAUUAUAACAUUUAAGUUACAAGUCUUAACAUCUAUUAUGACUUAUAUAUGGGGCUACUAUUGUCCUUUGCAGUUGUGUGUUGUGGUCAUGAUUCUUUUCUUUUUAGUCAUUUUUCCAUUUCUGGUUAAGGAAGGUAAAGAGAGUGAGAUGCCACCACCAUGGAAUUUGCUUGAGCUAUUCAGAUGAUGACGACUCCACUUUUUUCUUUGAGUCAGAUUGCUGCACAGUGUAGAGAUGGCAUUGCGCCACGAGUGGCAGAGAUUUGUGUGACGCUUGCUGAAAAUGAAACAAGUGGGGAGGGGAUGUGCAAGUUAAGGGAGCAAGAAGAAAGACUUGAAAGGGAUGGAGGGUGACAAUGGUCUAAAUGGAAACAUGGUUUUGUUUAUUAAAAUAUACACGGAAUAAAGGGGUUGUAAAAUAAUUAAAUUGAAACGAAAUCAAGAUUAUAUUGGGUGUAUAUUCAAUAAUUAAAAUAAAAUCCUUUUCUCAUUACCUUGUUUUACACUCCUUUAUUAUAACAAUAAUAGAAUUGUAUCUCGGUUGCAUUUUACUUUACAUCCCUUUUAUUAUAAUAACGAAAAUACAGUUUUGUAGUAAGAAAAUUAUGUCCCCAACAAUGUCACAAAAAUAUGAUUCUAUUAUAUAUUUGUAUGAUAAAAUUAUAUUUCCAUAAAAAAAUACUUCUGGAAUUUCCUAAUUUUCUACCCACAUGGGUAUUGUGAAUAACAUUGAUGGCACGAAGUGAUAAUAGUAACUCCACUUAUAUAUUUAUAUAAAAUCCUGCUCUGUACGAUAAACAAAUUUUGAAAUUUUUCACCCAUAAAUGGAGUCCUUUAGAUGUCCACACAUAGGUCCUUCUAGACUUGAAUGACAAAUUGAAAGGUACCAAAAAAAAAAGGUUUUGAUAUAAUAAUAACAUGCUAAAAGGUUAAUUUGUGUAUUGUGAAUUAUUGAUUUUGUUUAUUAUACAUCCUUUUUCUUCUUUUUUGUCAAAAUUUUAAUUAUUUAGCAGUUUUACGCUGACAAAAUAUUUGUAAUACCUUAAAAUUUUAUCACAUGAUUUUUAGGUCACUUUAAAUAUAAAACUCUGCCGGGAGGUUUCCAAUAAAAUAUUCUCAAUUUAAAUAGUUUCGCACUAUAAUUGCCAAUGACAAACAGAAAUAUAGAUUAAGACCGCCCAAAAGAUAAUUGAGAUACUAAUAAUAAAAUUUGUGUUGGACAUUUUAGUGUAAUUGAUCUCUUUAUUGUGUUAAAAUAAGAGUGCACGCUUGUUUUAAUGUAAUAACGAGAUGUUUGGUUUAGGCAAAGGUUGGAAGUUACAUGGAAGUUACUAAAACUUCCAUCAACGGUUGGAAGUUACAUGGAAGUUACUAAAACUUCCAUCAACGGCAAUUUUUAAAAAUAAAUAACUUCCAUCAACCGCCAAAAACCACCUGUUCUUUGAUUAUAAAUAAUCAUCCUGGUUCAGAAAGCAUAACAUGUGAAAAACUCACAAGACCAAAACAAAACUCUUGAAUUAUAAUCUUCUGAUUUUAUCCGAUUGAACAAUUUUGGUUGAACCCCGAAAUUUGAUUCAAUCUGAAAGUGUUUAUACACGACUUCAGAUUUAUCCAGGAUUAUCUCGAUUUUCAAAAUUAACCAACAAAAGAUUGAAUCAAAUCUUUCGAGAUGACGAACGAUAGUUCGAAGAUGACAAGCAAGUUUGCGAAGUUGGACAAGUUUGAAGGGCAGGAUUUCAGAAGAUGGCAGAAGAAGAUGCACUUUCUCUUGACAACAUUGAAUGUGGUGUAUGUGCUGAGUACACCGAUGCCGGUGUAUAUGGAAGGCGAAACUCUGGAUCAAACAAGGAAGCGUUCGAAAUGGGAGAACGACGAUUACAUUUGUCGUGGACACAUUCUGAACGGUAUGUCUGACUCUCUCUUUGAUAUUUAUCAAAAUGUUGAGUCUGCUAAGGAAUUAUGGGACUCUCUUGAAUCCAAGUAUAUGGCAGAAGAUGCCUCAAGUAACAAAUUCUUAGUUAGUAAUUUCUUUAAUUACAAAAUGAUUGAUUCGAGGCCUGUUAUGGAGCAAUAUAAUGAACUGCUGCGGAUUUUGGGUCAGUUUACUCAACAUGAUUUGAAAAUGGAUGAAUCCAUUGCAGUUUCAUCUAUAAUUGAUAAACUGCCUUCUUCUUGGAAAGACUUCAAGCAUACCUUGAAACAUAUGAAGGAAGAGUUGACUCUGGUUCAACUCGGUAGUCAUUUCAUGAUUGAGGAGUCGCUGAGGGCUCAGGAAAUUGACAAAGUCAAUAAUAAAACCGUAGCAGGUUCCUCUUCCGUUAAUAUGGUAGAGGAAAGUGGAACAGUUAAGCAAAAUUACAAUGCUAAAGGUAACAAACGAAAAUUUCAAGGAAAUAAGAACAAAGGUCCAAACAAACAGACAAAAUUGUCAUGUUGGAAGUGUGGGAAACCUGGUCAUUUAAAGAGGGAUUGCCGGGUGUUCAAAGGAAAGAACAAGGCUGGUCCAAGUGGGUCUAAUGAUCCUGAAAAGCAACAAGGUCAGAUUGUAGUGAAUAAUUUUAAUUCGAAUACGAAUUCAAAUUAUGUAUCACUAAUAUCUGAUGCAUUCUAUGUGCAGGAUGAUGACGUUGCUUGGUGGUUUGAUUCGGGAGCAACAAGCCAUGUGUGCAAAGAUUGUCGUUGGUUCAAGGAAUUUAGACCAAUCGAUGAUGGCUCUAUUGUGAAGAUGGGCAAUGUUGCAACUGAACCAAUCCUAGGAUUAGGUUGUGUGAAUUUAGUUUUUACUUCCGGAAAAAGUUUGUAUUUGGAUAAUGUCUUAUUUGUACCUGGUAUUCGUAAGAACUUAUUGUCUGGUAUGGUUUUAAAUAAUUAUGGUUUCAAGCAAGUACUUGAAAGUGACAAGUACAUCUUGUCAAGACAUGGUUCGUUUGUUGGAUUUGGUUAUCGUUGUAAUGGAAUGUUUAAAUUAAACAUUGAUGUUCCUUUUGUUCAUGAAUCUGUUUGUAUGGCCUCGUGUAGUUCUAUAACUAAUAUGACAAAAUCAGAAAUUUGGCAUGCUAGAUUAGGACAUGUUCAUUACAAAAGAUUAAAAGAUAUGUCAAAAACAAGUAUGAUUCCUCCUUUUGAUAUGAACAUUGAAAAAUGCAAAACUUGCAUGUUGACCAAGAUCACUAGGAAACCUUUUAAGGAUGUUAAAAGUGAGACUAAAGUCUUAGACCUUAUUCAUAGUGAUUUGUGUGAUUUUCAUGCUACUCCAUCAUUAGGUCAUAAAAAAUAUCUUGUUACUUUUAUUGAUGAUGCAUCAAGGUAUUGUUAUGUAUAUUUAUUAAAUACAAAAGAUGAAGCUCUUGAUAAAUUUAAAAUUUAUAAGAAAGAGGUAGAACUUCAUCAAAAUGGGCUAAUCAAAACUCUUCGUACGGAUAGGGGAGGUGAGUAUUAUGAUCCGGUUUAUUUUCAAUCUACUGGAAUAAUACAUCAAACUACAGCUCCCUAUACACCACAACAGAAUGGUGUAGCCGAAAGGAAGAAUAGAACCUUGAAAGAAAUGGUGAAUUCCAUGUUAUCCUAUUCGGGUUUAAGUGAAGGAUUUUGGGGUGAGGCUAUGUUGACAGCCUGUUACUUGUUGAACCGAAUUCCUAACAAAAGGAAUAAGGUUACCCCAUAUGAACUUUGGCACAAAAAGACACCAAAUUUGAGUUAUCUCAAAAUUUGGGGAUGUAGGGCUGUAGUCAGGCUUACAGAACCUAAAAGGAAAACCAUAGGUGAAAGAGGUAUAGAUUGCAUAUUUAUUGGAUAUGCUGAACAUUCUAAAGCAUAUAGAUUCUAUGUGCUAGAAUCUAAUGAUUAUGUUGCUGUGAACUCGGUUAUAGAGUCACGGGAUGCUAUCUUUGAUGAACAAAGAUUUACAUCUAUACCUAGGCCAAAGGACAUGAAUUCCAUGUCGAAAAUCUCAGUUAAUAUUGAGGAUAUACCUUUAACUAGUACUGAAACUAGAAAGAGUAUGAGAGUAAGAAAAGCUAAGUCAUUUGGUGAUGACUUUCAACUCUAUUUGGUUGAAGGGUCAAGGAAUGAUAUUGAAUUUCAAUAUCAAUAUUGCCUUAAUGUUGAGGAAGACCCAAAGACUUUUAGUGAAGCAAUGGCUUCAAGGGAUGCUGUAUUCUGGAAAGAAGCAAUCCAAAGUGAGAUGGAUUCCAUCAUGCAAAAUAAUACAUGGAAAUUGGUUGACUUACCUCCUGGAUGUAAGCCAUUAGGAUGUAAGAUGAUCUUUAGGAGAAAGAUGAAAGUGGAUGGUACUGUUGACAAGUACAAAGCCAGAUUGGUUAUCCAAGGCUUUAGGCAAAAGGAGGGUAUUGAUUUUUUCGAUACAUAUGCUCCUGUUGCUAGGAUAUCCACUAUUAGACUGUUGUUAGCACUUGCUGCUAUCCACAAUCUGAUGAUUCACCAAAUGGAUGUGAAAACUGCAUUCUUAAAUGGUGAAUUGGAUGAAGAGAUAUACAUGAAACAACCUGAAGGGUUUGUUAUGCCAGGAAAUGAAAAUAAGGUGUGUAAACUGAUGAAAUCUCUUUAUGGCUUGAAACAAGCGCCUAAGCAAUGGCAUCAAAAAUUUGAUGAGGUUGUGUUGUCUAGUGGUUUUGUUAUAAACCAAGCAGAUAAAUGUCUAUACAGCAAGUUUGAUACUCAUGGCAAAGGAGUUAUCAUUUGUCUGUAUGUAGACGACAUGUUGAUCUUUGGUACCGACCAAGAUCAAGUUGAUGAAACUAAGGCAUUUUUGUCUUCUAAGUUUGAUAUGAAAGAUAUGGGGGAGGCGAAUGUGAUCUUAGGAAUAAAGAUCAAACGUGGAAACAAUGGUAUUUCCAUCUCUCAAUCACAUUAUAUUGAGAAGAUAUUGGAGAAAUUUAAUUUUAAAGAUUGUUCUCCGGUAAGUACUCCCAUUGAUCCUAACCUGAAGCUAUUACCUAAUAAAGGUGUAGCAGUGUCUCAACUUGAAUACUCAAGGGCGAUAGGAUCACUCAUGUAUGCAAUGAUUAGUACUAGGCCUGAUAUAGCUUAUGCUGUUGCUAAACUCAGUAGGUUUACAAGUAAUCCUAGUUCUCAUCAUUGGCAAGCUAUGAAUAGAGUAUUCAAGUACUUAAAGGGAACCAUUGACUAUGGUUUGACAUAUACUGGAUUUCCUUCGGUUAUUGAAGGUUACUCUGAUGCAAGUUGGAUAACCAAUAUGGAGGAUUAUUCAUCCACAAGUGGUUGGGUAUUCCUCCUUGGAGGAGGUGCUAUCUCUUGGGCAUCCAAGAAACAGACCUGCAUUACAAAUUCAACAAUGGAAUCUGAAUUUGUAGCUUUAGCAGCAGCUGGUAAAGAAGCUGAGUGGCUAAGAAAUCUAAUCUAUGAGAUUCCAUUGUGGCCCAAACCUAUACCUCCCAUGUCUAUCAGGUGUGAUAGUCAGGCAGCUUUGGCUAAGGCAUAUAGUCAAGUGUAUAAUGGGAAGUCUAGACACUUGGGUGUUAGACACAACAUGGUUCGGGAGUUAAUCAUGCAUGGUGUGAUAUCAGUGGAGUUUGUGAGAACUCAGCAUAAUUUGGCCGAUCAUUUAACCAAAGGGUUAAGUAGAGAUCUCGUGAAAAGGUCGGCUGUGGGAUUAGGAUUAAAGUCCAUAUGAAAUCUCUUAUGUUAAGAUACCCAAUUCCCAUCUAAUAUGACAUUAGGUGCUGAAUUCAAUGUGGAAAGCUUAACAUAUAGAGAUUGGAACACAUCAUCGAAAGUAUCCCAAAAGGAAUGUGUUCGGUUCUGUAAGUUAAGGAGGUUGAAGUAUAACUUCUCAAUGGUUCUUUUGAAAAAUUGCAUUUGCAGGUGCAAGAAAGAAAAGGACUACCUAUAUAAGCAUGAAGUUUAGCCGCUUCAAGAAGCUGGGACUUGGCUUUGAUAUGCUUAUGAAGGAUAGGGACACAGGCUAGUAAAACUAGUGUCGAGCAAGAGUAAUGUUAUAAACUAUUGUGGAGAUUAUCUUCAUGUAUUCAUUAUGAAUAGAAAGGGUUCAAUCCUUAGUGACACCCUGAUAUUCGAAUAUUUGAAACGUGUAAUUUGCUAAGAUGAAAUUCAAUCGUCACGAUAUUUCAUCUAUGCAGUAGUUUGUGGUAUGUUAUGACUUUGGUGAUUUGAUCGGUAAUUACACUAAAAUGGGGGAGGUUUGUUGGACAUUUUAGUGUAAUUGAUCUCUUUAUUAUGUUAAAAUAAGAGUGCACGCUUGUUUUAAUGUAAUAACGAGAUGUUCGGUUUAGGCAAAGGUUGGAAGUUACAUGGAAGUUACUAAAACUUCCAUCAACGGUUGGAAGUUACAUGGAAGUUACUAAAACUUCCAUCAACGGCAAUUUUUAAAAAUAAAUAACUUCCAUCAACCGCCAAAAACCACCUGUUCUUUGAUUAUAAAUAAUCAUCCUGGUUCAGAAAGCAUAACAUGUGAAAAACUCACAAGACCAAAACAAAACUCUUGAAUUAUAAUCUUCUGAUUUUAUCCGAUUGAACAAUUUUGGUUGAACCCCGAAAUUUGAUUCAAUCUGAAAGUGUUUAUACACGACUUCAGAUUUAUCCAGGAUUAUCUCGAUUUUCAAAAUUAACCAACAAUUUGUAGAAGGAUGAAGAACUAAAAGUUGAUAAAAUUCAAAUUCUUAACCAUUCAUUUAAAGAGUUAGAAUCUAUUACUCUAUUCAGACCAAUCAGUACUAAAGAACAAUCUAUAUAUAUUAACCAAAAAUAAUGAAAGCUGGCUACACUGGUUUUCAAUGGGAAGAGUCCGAGAGACCACUUCCAGCAUUAAAAUUUUGUACAAAACAGAAUACAUAAAUUAAUGGCACAUUCCAUAUUGGUGUGUAGCGCAACAUCCUUAUUACAAACUAAACACGCAUUAAGCAUCAAAAUACACCCAUUUAAAUUAUUUCUUGCUAGCAUUAAGAAAAAUACUACUACUUAGUAUUGCGGGAAUGGAGCAACGGCAGGUUCAUCUGAGAGAUCUACAUCAUCAAAAGGUUGUGGAGAAAUUGAAGAGAGUGCACAGGUCCUGCAGCCACCAUACCUGAGCUUUUGAUCUCACCCAUUUGUCAACCAGCAUUUGCACAAUUUGGAAAGAAACACACCUGUGCAUACAUGAAAGACAAAACUUAUAAUUUAUUAUACAAUUUAUAAUCAUAUAUCAUUUUGUGUGUUCAGUUCUGAAAAUGUUUUUUAGAUGCGUAUUCAUAAAAGAUAAAAAUAAAUACAAAACAAAAGUAACUACAUACAAUAUUAGAUCAAUUUGUUUUUGUUACAAUAUAAUUCAUGCAUUCAAUGAUAAAAAAUUAGAAUUAUUUUUAGUUAAUUAGCAAUGUAAAAAUUGAUGUUGUGUUAUAGUUUUUUAUUUUUAAAUCACAAGUAUUUUUUAUUAAAGAUAAUCUAUUUGUUCAAUAGAAAUAGAAUUAUAUAGAUGAUAGUUUUGUAUAUAUAUAAAUAUUUAAUGUAAUUAUAUAAUUAAAAAAUGAAGGGAAAAAAUGAAGAUAAUGUCUAUGUUGUUCAAAUAACAGUAUUAAUUAUAUUAAAAUAGUUAAUAUUAAAAAAAUAUUAGUAAAUAUAACAUUGUUGUGUUGGUGCUAUUUAUUGUACAUCAAAAUAUGUAAAAAUAAUAAUUAACUUGUAAUUUGUAUAGUUGGUAUGGGUUGUUUUAUCUAUCCUGGACUUUGUUGUAUCACACACACACAUAUAUAUAUAUAUGGUCUACUAUUGAGACUACCAAAGCAUUUGAAAUUACUUGGUUAUCCUUAGUUUCAUUUCCCCACACCUCCUAUCCUUCCCCUCUUUACGUUCAGCUACUCUCCCUCUUUACAUCCAAAAACAGAAUUUAAAUAAGGCUCUCAAAUUUGAAAAAAAAAAAGAAAAAGAAGAUAGCAAUGACUACAAAUUGAUCAACCUGCCAAUACAAUGAUAAAACACCGGAGUAUUCUAAGCAACACUAAACAGUGAUAAUACCUGAGCGAAAAGAUUGAAGUUUGAACCACACAUGAUCAAGGAAAUGAAAAUAGGCAUACCGCCAUGAUCUACAAAUCAGCAAAGGAGCAAUCACUAUCCAGAAUCCCACAAUAAAUCCAAUUGUCAUACUGACAAAAAACCAAUUCACUCCAUGCCCAUCACUUCCUUCAUAACUAUGGGUUUGCCCAUUGGAGCUGCAGUUUAUGGGCAGUGGUGGACCACAUAGAUUGUUGCCGAUGAAGCUGGAGGCAUCAAAGGUUUGCAAUUGAGUUCCUGUUGGAAUAUUUCCCUUCAAAUGAUUGUAUGACAAGUCUAGCAUGCUCAGAAAGCUCAAAUUUGCAAUGCUUGGAGGGAUUUCACCAAAAAGUUGAUUCCUGGAAAAAUCAAUGGACUGUAAUGAUCUCAUAUUACCUAUACCUUGUGGAAUAUGACCAAUCAAUUGGUUGUGGGACAUGUUUAAAAAAUUCAAUCCAUUUAGAUAUGUGAUUUCUCUUGGUAUUUCCCCUAAUAACUUGUUACUUGACAGAUCAAUGCUUGUUACCAAACCCAGAAUGUUUCUGUACUCGUCUCCUCUUCUUUUCAGCCAUAGUAGCACACUAACUAUACUUUCCAUCGAAGAGUAAGACGUACCAUGUUUUCCUUGAGAAUAGAUACGAGGAUCUGUACUUUGGUUCUUUAGUGUCAUGGCACUCAAGUUACUGAAACAGCUCGGUAUAUUGCCAGACAGAUUGUUUUGUGCAAGGUCUAAAACCUGAAGAAGACUCAUCUGACAUAUUUCAUUUGGAAUGUGGCCGGCAAAACUGUUUGAUCGAAGGCGAAGGAUUUUCACAUUUAAGAGGUUUUCUCCAACCCAUGUUGGAAUACUUCCUGAAAGAUUAUUUUCCCCAAGGUCCAAGGAUAUCAAUUGGUUAUUCUUCUUCAAACUGGAUGGAAAUAUUCCUGAGAGUGUGUUGUUACGAAUUUGUAAAGACUGCAGGUCUGCCAAGGAACCCAUGGAUUGGGGUAAGUUCCCAACAAAAUGGUUGCUUUGUAAAUUUACAUCCGCAAGAAAUGUCCAAUUCAUCCAGCAAUCAGGUAUCUCUCCUGACAAAUUAUUUGAUGCAAGAUUCAGAAAUUCUAAUCCCAUUGGCUCGUCCUGAUCGUUACAUAAAAAGUCAUUCAUGGAUUCAGAGAAUGAAUUGCUUGAAAGAUCUAACCAAAACACAUCACUUGAAAGAUAGGGUAAUUUACCACACAAGUGAUUUGAGCUUAGAUCAAUAGUUGGGAUAGAUAUUGGAUUCUUUAAUGUAGUCCCAAUCUCACCAUGGAUAUGAUUACGAGAGAGGUUUAAAUACCUAACCUGAGAAAGUGCUUCCCACAUCUGUGUGGGAAUAGAAUCGAAAAUCCCCGUGUUAGAUAGUCCAACAUAUUGAAGUUGGUUUUGUGACUGAAUCCACAAUGGAAAGCUGGGACCUAACUGCCAUGAUGUCACUUCCAAAUAGGUAAGUUGAAAAUUAGGAAUCCAAUUGGGACCCACUUUUAAAGUGAAAUUGUUCCCCGAUGCGACAAACUCCGUCAAGCUUGUAAGAUUUGCAAGAUCAUCUUCCUUGACAACUCCGUGAAAAAGAUUGCCGUCAAUAUGAAGAGAUAACAAUUUAGAGAGUGAUCGAAGACUUUCAAAUGGAUUUCCACUGAAUUUAUUCAUAGAGAGAUCGAGAUAUCUUAAUGAUGAAAGUUUUCCAAAUGAUCUAGGAAGAGAACCACCAAUUAAGUUGUUGGAAAAAUCUAGCUGCACAAUAUUUUUAAAUGCCCCAAUAUGAUCUGUCAGAUUGCCUGAAAGUCGUGAACUCUGAACUGCAAGUGUUGUGAGUCCAUGGGAAAUACAAGGAGCAAGAAUUUCUAAAAGUUCAUUAACCUGUUGGUUGAGUUUGAGAUAUGAUAAAUCUAUCACCCUUAAGUUGCAGAGAUUACCCAAAGAAGUUGGAAUGUUUCCUUCAAGUUGACUAUAUGACAAAUAAAGUUCAACAAGAGAAGUCAAAUUACCCAAAGAAGUUGGAAUGUUUCCUUCAAGUUGAUUACCUGAUAAAUCAAGUUCAACAAGAGAAGUCAAAUUUCCCAAGGCAUCAGAAAUAGUCCCAUGCAAGUCGCAGGAACUUAGGUCCAAAGACUUGAGACGAUGAAGACCGUAUAAGCAAUCAGGUAUAGAAGAUGAGAAUGAAUUGAAAGACAAGUCAAGAUUUUGAAGAAGUGUGAGGUUUCGAAUACCACCAGGAAUCGGAUCGUUGAUUUCAUUAUAUGAUAAUUGAAGAGAAACAAGUUUCUUCAAUUUGAAUAUCCACUUGGGGACAAAAGAAAUGGCAGGGGAAUAACUAGUAUCGGAAAGAUGGAGAGUUUGCAGAGAUGAGAAGUUGAGCAAGGAUGGUUCAUUAUAGUGAGGGAGUGUGCAGAAUGACAAAUAUAGGUGGGUCAAAGAAGGAAGAGAUUGGAGAGUGUGUAGCCAAUGAAAUGCUUUGGAUAGGUUUGCAUAACUCAAAUGAAGAUAUUCAAGCUUCCACAUACUUGAUAGCCAUUCUACAUUUUCAGCAAACAGAGGUUCGACAUCAGAAUCACCUCCAAGGCCAAGAUACACCAAAUUGGAGAGAUUCCAAAUCUGAGAUGGAAUCUUCCCCAUGAAUCCAGUACCAGAGAGGUCGAGGUGAGUCAAGGAAGUCAUUGUCCCGAGGAAAGAAGGAAUUGACAUACCUCCUCCAAGUAAAUAAUUGCCGCUCAAGUCAAGAUAUCGAAGCUUAGAGAGAUUCCCAAUCUGAGGAGGAAUCUUCCCAUUGAAUCCAGUAUGAGAGAGGUUGAGGUGAGUCAAGGAAGUCAUUGUCCCAAGGAAAGAAGGAAUUGACAUACCUUCUCCAAGGAAAUAAUUGGCGCUCAAGUCCAAGUAAUUCAAAUGCUUUAAAUCAGCCAAACAAGGACUUAUCUCUCCACCAAAGCUCCAUCUCCUAUAAGCUUCCUCAUCGAAUGCUUUAAAUGCUUUGUUAUCGAAGAGAUAGUGGCCAUCAUAGUCAUACUCGAAAACAGAAUCUGAAGUGUUGAGGUGAAGCUGAAGAACAUGGGAAGUGACGUUGUGGCAGAGGACUCCAUACCAGUGGCAACAGUUGGUAUUAUUAUGAUUCCAAGACCAAAGCCUAUUGGAAGGAUCUAUGAGAUUAUUCUUAAACUUCAAAAGUGUCUCACGCUCACUUGGGAUGCACACACUCUCUCUGCAUGGUAAGCUCAACAACCAAAGCUGGACAAAGACAAGAAUAUAAAUGGAGGAAGAAUUCAUGAUCAUGCAAGAAUAUAUAGAAAACAAGUGUAGUUGUUGGUUCUGCAUAUAAAUCAUCAAACUUCUAUUAUUUAUACUGCUGCCCUGCCUGUUUUUUUCUUCACUUUCAUUAUUUUUUACCUUUUUUAUUAUUGUGCCAAAUACUAAAUUAUUCUUUCAUUCUUUUUUUUACGCUGGCCUCUUUAAAUUAUCAAUUUAAUUAUCCAAUUCUCCCGAAUUAUUCUCCCGAAUUAAUUUUGAUCAAUUUUUCAAUUCACAAAAUAAUUUUCUUCUUAUAUGUGAAAAAGACUAAUUAAUCUUCAUUGUCAUUAAUGAUUGUUGUGUUGUCUAUUUCUAAUUGUUUUUUAAUCAUAAUAUUAUUUUCUUUUUAUUAAAAAUUAAUUAGUGAGAUACAAAGAAGUUUAAUUUGAUCUAUCAUAAUUAUUGAGAUCAUAGUUUUUCCUUUUAUAAGUCUUGGUCCAAAUUUCUCCAUGUAUUGUAGAUCAUAUUUAACUUAAAAAGUAAAUUAGAAGAUCUACAAAGAAGUGUGACAUGUUUUUUAAAUUAUAAAAUUAUGGUCCUAGCUAUUUAUUGUUAGACCACAAGUUUUCAUAUAUUAAAGUUUUUGUCUAAAUUUCAUUUAUGGUGAUAGUUUACGAAUAGGAUAGAAGACAAAAAUAAAUAUUCAAUUUAUUGAAAUAUCUAACUCAAUUAAUUGAUGAAUACAUCAAUUAUAGGAAAAGGGUGUACUUUAAAGACUAUUUCUAUUAAAAAAUCUAUAAUUUUUUUUUUCCUUCCAAUCUAAUUAUUUAAUUUUAAUCAAUUUUUCAGUUCACAAAAUAAUAUUCUCUUAUAUAGGAAAAAAAGACUAGAUUUAAUUAUCAUCAAUUGGAAAAGUUAUUGUGUCAUCUAUUUAUAGUUGUAUUCUAACUUGAAUAUUAUUUUAUUUAUCAUAUAAAAAUUAAUUAGUUAUAUAAAAGAAGUGAAAAUAAUAUUAACUUUUUUUCUCAAAAAAAAAUCAGUAUCAUAUUUUAUAUUUUUUACAAGUUAUCAACUUAAAUAAGAGGAGAAACAUAAUUUUAAUUUCUAUUUUACUUUUUAAAUAAUUGCAAGUGUCAAAUUUAAAUAAUCAUGAGAAUACUCACGUUCAAUAUAAUAUUCUCAAAAAAAAAAAUCCAUACGAUAACUUAAACAAUCUAUAAAGAAAUAUAAUUUAUUCUUGUGCCAAAUACUAAAACAAGAAACAUUUUUUAUUUUAGUUUACCGUAUAGAAUUGCUUAAAUCAAUGAAAUUUUUAUUUUAAGAAAAUAUUAAUGAUUUUUUUAAAACUUUAAGUAGUUUACAUCAAAUAUAAUUAAAUUUGGCUUAAUUAGUCUUCAAAUUUUAACUAUUAUUCAAAUCAAUUCUUUCGUUAAACCUGUACGUGUUAAGUAAACAACAAAAAGUCUUGUCUUAUAAAAUUCAAACAUUCUAUUACAUGCGGUUUGAACCCAUAAUUAAUUUUAAAUAUCAAAUUUUAAUUAUUCAAAAUAAAAGAAAUGAAAACAAAAUUGUCUCCUAGAGAAACCCUUGCCCACUCCACCAAAUCCAUAUCAAGGUCCCCACUUUUCCAACUUGAACCAUAGACUACUCCAUCAAGUCUAUGUCAAGGUCCUCCAUUUUAAGGUCCCCAGUUUUCCAACUUGAACCAUAGACUACUUCAACCUUAGGACACUCCACAAAGUCCACUAAUAUUAAGGUCUCUGCCUUCUUCAACUUCUGCAACGCAUAUAUAGAAAUCAACUUAAUUGUAUAAGUGCUUCUUGCUUCUGCAUAUAAAUUAUAAAACUUCUAUUAUUUAUACUGCUGCAAGUGUCUUUCUUGACUUUUUUAAUUUUUUUAUUAUGUUUCCUUUUUUUAAUUAUUGACUUUAUUAUCCAAUUCUCCCGAGUUAAUUCUUAGAAUAGGAAAUAAUUUUGAAUUUACUUUAUCUAUCUCCCUUUUUAAAAUUCCUAUAUACACAAAAUUUUAUAUUGAAUUUAACUAUUAUUUAAUCUAUCCUUUCGUUAAACUUUUGUUAAUUAAACAAUAAAAGUUCAACAUUUUAUUAAAAAAAUUCAAGUUUUCUAUUUCAUGGACUCCAUCAAGUCUUUUAUUAAAAGUCCAACUUUUGUUAAUUCAAGUCGUUUAAUACUUUAAAUCAAAGGUAAUUAAAUUUGGUUUGAUUAGUCUUCAAAUUUUAACUAUUAUUUAAAUCAAUCCUUUCGUUACAUUUUUGUUAAGUAAAUGAUUGCAUAGCAAGCAAGGAGGUGCAAGCAGUAACACUCUCACAAAGAUAAAGAUCUCAAAGCCAUCAUUUUUUUUUCCUUUUCUUUUCUAUGAACUGUCAUUUCUUAUCUCUACAUGUGAAUGUCAUGCAGACAAAUGAUGUCCAAGCUCCACUUUUUCCAUUCAUUGCAAGUUGUAAGCAGAAUGUAGAAUGUACGUAUAAUAAAAUAAUGAGAAUGCCAACUACUAGUACGUAGUACUUAAUUAAAACAAAAGUAUCAAAAUUAGAACGAAAAUAACUUUGAUGCUGUUAAUACAUGAGUUUAAUUUUGAUACACAGUGUAAAAAGUUAAAUUGUUAAUUAAUUAGAAAUCACCUAAUGAUUUGUAAAACAAUUACUAAAAAAAGUUUCAUUUGAAACUUAGUCUUCCACCCGUCUCAAGCUCUCCACAUGAAAAAAAAGGUUGUUUGUGUCAUCUAUUUCUAAUUGUAUUCAAACCUAAAUAUGAUUUCCUUUAUCAUAUAAAAAUUAAUUAUUGAUAAAAAAAGAAGUGGUGAAAAAGAAUUUAACUUUUUUCUAUAAAAAAUAGUAUCAUAUUUUGUAUUUUUUAUAAGUUAUCAACUUAAAUAAUAGGAGAAACAUAAUUUUUAUUUUCAUUUUACUUUUUAAAUAAUUGUAAGUGCCAAAUUUAAACAAUCAUAAAAAUACUCACGUUCAAUAUAAUAUUCUAAAAAAUAUAUUUAUACGAUAACGUAAAUAAUCUUCUACAAAUAAAUAUAUUUUAUUCUUGUCUCAAAUAUUAAAAUAAGAAACAUUUUAUUUUAAUUUACAGUAUAGGAUUUCUUAAAUCAACGAAAUUUUUAUUUUAAGAAAAUAUUAAUAAUUUUUUAAAAACUUUGAGUAGUUUACAACAAAGGUAAUUAAAUUCGGCUUAAUUAGUCUUAAAAUUUUAACUAUUAUUUAUAUCAAUUAAUCCUUUCGUUAAACCUGUACGUGUUAAGUAAAUAACAAAAUGUCUUGCCUUAUAUAAUUCAAAUAUUCUAUUACUUGCAGUUUGAACCCAUAAUUAAUUUUAAAAUAUCAAUCUUUUAUUAUUCCAAAUAAAAGAAAUGAAAACAAAAUUGUCUAGUCUCCUAGAUAAACCACUUCCCACUCCACCAAAUUCAUAUCAAGGACCCCACUUUUCCCACUUGAACCAUAGACUACUCCAUCAAGUCCAAGUCAAUGUCCUUCAUUUUUUCAUCUUGAACCUUAGGACACUCCACAAAGUCCAGCCAACCAUAUUUAGGUCUCUAUCUUCUUCAACAUGAACCAUAGGUCACUACAUUACCUUCAUAUCAAGUUUCAUAUCAUUGACAACAAAUGUUUAGAAUUAAGUAAGCAAGGAAAAAAAUUAUAAAUGAUGAAUACAUCAAUUAUAGGAAAAUGAUCUAAUUUAAAUAUUAUUUCGGUUAAAAAAUCUAUAUAAAAAAAGACUCUUUCGUUUCAAUCUAACUAUUUAAUUUUGAUCUAUUUUUUAAUUUACAAAAUAAUAUUCUUCUUAUAUGUGAAAAAAAACUAAUUUUCAUUGUCAUUAAUCAAAAAGAUUGUUGUGUCGUCUAUUUCUAAUUGUAUUUUAGCCUGAAUAUUAUAUUCUUUUUCAUUAAAAAUUAAUUAGUAAGAUACAAAGAAGUGUAAAAUGCUUGUUUAACUUGGUCUACCAUAAUUAUUGAGAUCAUAACUUUUUUCUUUUAUAAGUCUUGGUCCAAAUUUCUCCAUAUAUUGUAGAUCAUAUUUAGCUUAAAAAGUAAAUUAGAGGAUAUGAUAUACCAAGAAGUGUGGCAUGUUUUUUUAAAUUAUUUAUCUAUGGCCUUAGCUAUUUUAUUGUUAGACCACAAGUCUUCAUAUAUUAAAGUCUUUGUAUGAAUUUCAUUUACUUGUGUGGUGAUAUUUUAAGAAUAGUGAUAGAAGAGAAAAAUAAAUAUAUAAUUUAUUGAAAUAUCUAACUUAUGAAGAUUUGCAUUCUUAAUGCAUAAGCUUUUCAGUUUAUAUAUUAUCACUAUUUGGAAAUAUUUGUUGUGUUAAUUGUCUAUUUCUAAUUAAUUUGAAAAUGAAUCUUAAUUUUUUAUCAUAAAAAUUAGUAUCAUAUUUUUUAUUUUCUUUACAAGUUAUCAACUUAAAUACUAAUAGGAGCAACAUAAUUUUAAUUUCCAUUUUACUUUUUAAAUAAUUUUAAGUGCCAAAUUUAAGCAAUCAUAAAAAUACUCACGUUCAAUAUAAUAUUUAAAAAAAAUAAUUCAUGAGAUCACUUAAACAAUCUACAAAGAAAUAUAAUUUAUUCUUGUGCCAUAUAAACAACAAAAAAAGUCUUGCAUUAUUAAAUUCAAGUCUUCUAUUACAUGCAAUUUGAACCUAUAACUAAUUUUAAAUGAUCAAAUUUUUAUUAUUGAAAAUAAAAGAAAAGAAAAAAAAAUUGUCUUCUAGACAAACCACAGACAACUCCACCAAAUCCAUAUCAAGGUCCCCACUUUUUUAACUUGAACCGUAGGCCACUCCAUCAAAUCUAUGCCAAAGUUUCUUAUCAUUGACAACAAAUGUUGAGAGUUAAGUCAAGCAUGAAAAAAAAUAGGGUAAAAUAUAUCAUUUCUAUCCCUAUAAAAUUUUAAUGUGCUACUUUUUUUUUUAUCCUGAGUUAAGUUUGGAUGAUAGAUAAUUAUCAUGUAUUCUUAGAUUUUGGUGUCAUUUUAGGAUAUUUAUGUGAUAUAUGUCUUUUAUGUUUUUUUAUUGUCAUGAACUAAUCUUCUCUUUUGUUGGAGUUGAAUAUAAUUGGUUCAUUUUUUAUGUAAUGACUAUUUUUUAAUUGAAUAAAGCAUUCUAAUUGUUUCUCUUCUAUGUUUAAUAUGCGUUUUUGGCUUAAUCACCUGUUUGUAUGAUUUUUUUUAUUCAAUUGUAAUUAAAAAAUUCUUUGAACUACGAAUUGCAAAAAACACCUAAUAAUUUUUAUGUCUAGGAAUAAGAUAAAAAGAAUUGAGCAUCAAUAAACACUUUAUCUUAAUGAAAAUCAUUUAGUUAUGUUAAUUUAAGGGAUUGAUAGUGUAAUCAAGGGAUUUAGGUCUCUUCACUAGGAAUUAAAGUGAAGAUAAUAUGAUGGGUUUAUGAUAAUAUAACCUUUAUUAAAUAUGAAUGUGUAGUUAUUAGGUGAUAGAAACUUCAAUGAAAUUAAACCCCAACAAUUUUUUCAUUGAUUUAACCCCAACAAUUACAUGAGGUGUUUGUUAAAAUUCCCAAACAAUUUUUUUCCUAAAUUUUUUCUUUUAUUUUCUUCUUUAGUUUUCUUAUUUUUAUUUCUUCCUUUAAUUUCUUUAUCGUUAUGCGUAUUGUUAUUUAAAUCAAAUUAGCUAAUGUUAAUUAAUUUCAAAUAUUCAUAGUAUAGAAAUUAUACUUUUUAUUACCCAAUUAUUUCCUAAGUCCUGUUAAUGAGUAUUAUAGAAAAAAUGCAUGAAUAGCAAGAGAAGGAAGAUGUGGAAGGGUUUAGAAACUGCAGAAUCCUAUGCAAGCUCCAACAUUCUACACUAAUUAAAUUCAUUCAGGCAAAUUCUAAGUUACAUGUGUAAAACAAUCUUCUUAAAUCCAAUCAUCGAGUGUGUCAUUUCAGGUAUUUUAAUGCUAAUCAUUGUUAGUGCACAGAUAGUAGAAGACAAUAAUGCGUCAUAAAUACAAAACAGAAUUUGAUGCUCAAGUCUGAAGCUCGUCUAGUUCUCUUAACAUUAAGAACAUUUAUUACCAAUGAAAGCAAAACAAACAGACACCCCAUAUGAACAUGUACAUAGUAUGGUAAACCUUUUCACAUUUUUAAUGUCUAGAAUAACACGUUGUAAUGUCUCUCACUCCUAACAGUUAACAUGUAAACUCACAAUUUCCCAAGUAACCUUCUUACCUUCAAAACUAUUAUCACAUAAAUCAGAUCUCUCAAGUGGUCAAGAUAAUGAAAAUAAGCACGCCUCCAAGUUCUGUUGAAGAAAACAACACUGCAAAAACCCCAAAAUCCUGCUGCAAAUCCAACUCCCAUACCAAUAUAAAACUCUGAUGUUCCAAAGAAAUUACCAUCACCGUGUCCAACAGAAGCACUCUCUGUCAACUCUUCCUUGUCUGUGCAAUUUUUUGUUACAGGAGGACCACAAAGCUCAGGAUUUCCAGUGUAGCUAAGUUCUUCAAAGCUCUGAAGUUGGGUGCUCGUGGGAAUUCUGCCUGAUAAGUUGUUGUAUGAUAGAUUCAGGACACUGAGGAAGGACAAAUCAGAUAAGCUUUGAGGGAUUUGACCUGAAAUGUUGUUUAGUGAGAGAUCAAGGGAUUCUAACAAUUUCAUUUUUCCCAUGUCAUUUGGUAUCCCUCCAAACAGAUGAUUUCUAGACAAGUUCAAAAACCGCAAAGCAGAUAGCUUGGAAAUUUCAGAUGGAAUUGCUCCAGACAGCUUAUUACUUGAAAGAUCAAUCAUUCUCACCAAUAUCAGAUUGUCUCUGUACUCUAACUCAUCUCCUUUGGGAACUAAGACAAGAGUUUCCUUGUAGUGGUUAUAACUGAAGUCAGAGCCAUAUGAAUAACUUAAAGGGUUGGCAAAGAAGUCAUCUUCACCAGCCAUUGUCUUCAUGUCAUCCAAACAAUUUGGAAUGGAUCCUGACAGGCUGUUAUUGCCAAGAUCCAGCACUAUAAGGGAAGAAAGUUGACACAUCUUUUCAGUAAUGCUGCCAUUGAAAUUGUUGGAUCUUAGACGAAGAACCAUUAGAUAUUGCAUUUCCCACAUCCAAUCAGGUAUUGCGUCAGAAAGUUGGUUAUUGCCCAUGUCAAUGAAUUUCAUUGUAGAGCAAUUUUGCAGUGUUGAAGGAAUAUAUCCAGAGAAGCGGUUGUCGUCUAACAACAAAGACUCAAGUUGAGAUAGAUACCCCAUGGAGUUUGGAAUAACACCAGACAAAUUGUUACUACCCAAGUUCAAAUGCACCAAUGCUUGCCAAUGCACCCAACAGUGACCAAGAUCACCAUAUAAGACAUUAUUUGAAAAAUCAAGCACACUUAACUUAUUAGUAGCAUUUUCCUUUCCACAUAAAAAGGGAGAAAUUGUUCCAGAAAUUGAGUUAUUGGCAACAUUCAGCACUUCAACAUUUGCAGACACACUUGGCAAUGUACCCUUGAACAAAUUAGAACUCAAAUUUAUGACGCUGGAAUUGAGAAAGAUGUUAGAUAGGUCUCCACUUAACAGAUUGUUUGACAGAUCCAGGAAUUCAAUUUGCGAAGUCCAAUUCCAAAACCAACUUGGAACCAAGUCUGCGAUACCUGCCUUAGACAUUGUCAAAACCUUCACAGAACUUUGCCUUUUUAGCCAUUCUGGAAAGUUAGGACCUAUUCCAAAGGAGCUCAGUAAAACAUAUUCAAGCUGAAAAGGAGGAACCCAUCCUGAGUUGACACUGAGGAACAAGUUUGUCCAAGACAAACGUAGUUCCUUUAAUUUCAAAAGUUUUACAAAAUUUGACUCUUUUAUAGAUCCUUCUAACAAAUUAGAUGAAAGGUCUAACAUUACUAAAUUUGAGAGAGUUCCAAGAGUUACAGGCAUAUCACCAGUCAAAGAAUUAGUUCCAAGAUUUAAUACCUGCAGGUUUCUGAGGAACUCAAAACUCUUAGGAAUGGUUCCAUUCAGUCGGUUGUGAGCCAGGUUUAAAGUUCUCAAGAAUGACAAGUUUGCAAAUGGUGAGGGAAUUGGACAAGUAAAGGUAUUAUUACUGAGAUUUAGAACUUCAAGAUGCUUAAGCUGGCCUAAUGAAUCUGGAAGUGGCCCACUGAGCUGGUUGUUCUGCAGGUCUAGAUUUUUUAUGUUCUGAAGGCUUGAUAUUAUUUGUGGAAUUUGUCCCUGUAAAAGGUUACUGUGUAAAUCAAGUUGGACAAGAGUUGUGCUGAGAUUAAAUAGCCAUGAAGGGAUUUGGUGAUUGAGAUUGUUAAUUGAAAGAUCAAGGACUUGGAGAUGUGUGAAGUUGGUUUUUCCUUUUGGUGGUCCUAAGUUAUCAAUUUGACAGCUCUUCAAGUGUAGAUCUGAAAGAGAUGGAAGUCCACUCAGUACUUGAAGCCAGUUACCUUGUUUAUNNNNNNNNNNNNNNNNNNNNNNNNNNNNNNNNNNNNNNNNNNNNNNNNNNNNNNNNNNNNNNNNNNNNNNNNNNNNNNNNNNNNNNNNNNNNNNNNNNNNNNNNUGCAGGUUUGAGAGGUUUCCUAGUUGAUGAGGGAUUAAUCCCAUGAACCCACUUAAGCUAAGGUCCAAGUAUCUCAGACUCUCCAAUGAGCCUAGGAAGCUUGGUAUUGGAGUAAGAACAAAAUAAUUUGAACUCAAGUCCAAACGAUUCAAAUAUUUUAGUUCAAGCAAAGAAGGACUAAUCUCUCCACUCAACUCCCUAUAGGGAGAGCCCGCAGGUGUGUCAAGAUUGAUUUCCAUGACUUUACCUGUGUUGUUGCAGUGAACCCCUGGCCAUGUACAGCAAUCCGAUUUGUCAGACCACGAUGAAAGCCUGUUUGAAGGGUCUGCUAGUCCAUGCUUGAAGCUGAGGAGUGCAUUCCUUUCCUUCUCGCUGCAAGUCAUAUUGAGCCUUGCUGCCUUGCUUGCACUGAAGUGGAGAGUUGUUGCAGUGGACAAUAUCAAGAGAAGAACAUGAGUUGCAAAUAGCACUGCCAUGAAGAAGAAGGAAGACGAAAAAGGUUGAAUCCACAAUUUUCUGGUUCACGGUUGGUAUUUACUACUAACAAUGCCUAUAUAGGAUAUAUACCAUAGAAGGGUUUGCAUUUAAAAUUUUAUUCCACUAAUGGUGGUGGUUGCAAAAUGCACACAUAUGUAGAGGUAUAUAUGUCUACAAGGAGACAUUUAGGAUUAAAAGUGCCUAACCACACCACCAUUAUUUUGCUCUAGUUUAUUUUAUUUUGAUUUAAUUAUCCUUUUAAUCCUUAUAGUUGUGAUAAUUUGUUUUAGUCCCUAUAGUUUAAGACAUUCAUUUUGGUUCUUAUAUUUCCAAUUUUUUUUAUCUUUUGGUCCUCGCGGGGAAGAUUCAACUCACACAUAAACAUGAACAAAAUUAAUAAAAAUAGGGAAGCAAGCUCAGGUACAAAUGAAGUGUAAUGGAGGUAUGAGACAAAGCCACUACACAUUCCAUUAUUCUUGAGUCUGCCACCGACCUCUGCAAGCUUAGCAUUUGCCAAUUGCCAUGAUGUAAUCUCCUUCUUGACAGUCUCUCAUCAAGUUGGAGUGGUAUCACAGCAUUGAACUAUGUUGAUCGUUCCAAUGGGAUGAUGGUUUUGAUUGCUGCAGAUAAAGUGUGUCAUUGUGAGUUUCUGGUCCCAUGAGUUAAACUAUAAGGACUAAAAAAAAUAUUGUCGUAUCUUUAAGGGCCAAAAGGAUAAUUAAACCUUUUAUUUUUUUAUAAUUUUUUUUUACAACGGGUUAUAUAUAUGUAGCAGUUUAUUCUAAACAAUGGACUACGUGUGAAAUCUUUGAAUUCUAUGUAAGAAAUGUUAUUUCAAAUUUCUCAUCAGUCUUCAUGUCAAUGAUGCAUGCUCCAUUUGAAUUCUAUGUCUAAUUAAGCUCUCGGUCUUCCGUUUUUGCAACUUUAUUUCGUAGAAAGAAGCCAAAUUUGAAGAUACAACAUUUGAUACUAUAACUGUUUGGUGUUUUGAAAAUCUCACUGACAUAUUUCCAAAUGUUACAAUCUCCUAGCCUUUUUUACCAAGUCAGGGAAUUUGCAUUGUUGUGCAUGAUGGCUGCCACAAGGACCCUUGUGCCAACCCAUAAGUGCAAGUGGUUUUUUCUUAUGAGAAUUGAGAAACAAAUUAUAUAUGUGUUUUAUAAAGGGAAUUCUAUUAUUUUUAAUUUUGAACUUGUAAUGUUUUUUGUUUCCCUCACAGAACAAGUGAUGUGACUCUUGAUCGACGCCAUACGUACGCCUACUUUGAUGCUCUUUUUUCACACCACUUUUAUCUUAAUGGUAUCUCAAGUUGACAAUCAUAAAUUAAAAUAGCUAACUAUAGUUGAUUAGUAGAGACAAACAGCUCAAAGAUAAAGAUCUUUAAGCCAUCAUUUUUUUUGCCUUUUCUUUUCUAUGAACUGUCAUUUCUUAUCUCUACAUGGAAUGCCCAGAAGUUGAAAAUUACUUGAGCUUUCUUUACCUAUACUGCUUUCCAUUUUGGCGAACUGCUUUUCUUUCUCAUAAUGAACUUUCCACUUCCAAUGAUGGUUGAACAUUAAUAAUUCUUCAUCUAUUUUGUCUAAAAAUUUCCACUCACUUUUUGUGAGUGGUGUGAAUGUCAUGCAGACAAAUGAUGUCCAAGCUCCACUUUUUCCAUUCAUUGCAAGUUGUAAGCAGAAUGUAGAAUGUACGUAUAAUAAAAUAAUGAGAAUGGCAACUGCUAGUACUACUUAAUUAGAACAAAAGUAUCAAAAUUAAAACGAAAAUAACUUUGAUGCUGUUAAUAUAUGAGUUUAAUUUUGAUAGAUAGUGUAAAAAUUUAAAUUGUUAAUUAAUUAGAAAUCACCAAAUGAUUUGUAAAACAAUUAGUAAAAAAGUUAUAGGAAAUAUAUAUAAUUAAUUAAUUGCAAAUGAAAGUGUAUUUAAAUUAAAUUCUUAAUUAACAUAUCCUUAUUGUGAUAUUUUGUAUAUUUUUUAUUUAAUUGAGACAGUGGAAUGAGAUCGCACUACAAUUUUCAUCACGGGUGUGGUUGUCUAAUAUAAUAGGGAUGGUUGGUGAGGAAUUUUGGAAUGUUAGUUGGUUUUAGACUAUAUAUCCUCUUAUUCAGUUUUCACAUUCUCAUUAGAGUUAAGUUGCUUUUGGGGAAGAACCAAUGUCUUGAAAUUCCCUCUUCACCAGAAGCAGUUUUAUUGUGUCUUUAUCGAAGUCAUCUUCUCCAGAGACUUGCCUUUAACUUUGAAGAUAGGAAAUAGAUCAGUCAAACAUUGUUUCAGUUUAUUUGGAUUUUUUUUUAAGGACAUGUGAUUUUCAAAGACUUCUUACAACUCACAACUUUUGGAAUUUCUCUAUGCCUGGUUAACCCACAAUUUCGGCGCCUGUUGCGGUUAGGAACAUAGGCUAGUAAAAACACUAAUCAUUUCAAGAGAAAUGUUAACACACUUUUCUAAUAUAUUAUUUUUUAUAUUAAAAAUUAUUAAAAUAAAAAAUUCAGCUGAUCUCAUAUUUUAUUUAGCAAAUUUUUCUCAUAUAUUAAGUCUUAGGUUUUUAAAAUUAUAAAGCUAAAACUAAAAUGUUUUACUAAAUGAAUUUUAAAGUAAAUUUUAUACACAAAAAUAUUAUGAUUUUAUAAAAAUUGUUUGGUCAAGGGAGACAUAUUGAGCCCUCCUAACUAUAAGCUACCCUGAGGGUUUCUAUCUUUCUUUUUCCCACUUAAUUUUUUACUUUGGCAGCAAGGGUUAAACCUACCACAUCUACAUGACUAUGUCUUACUUUCCAAUAAGUUACACCUAAAUAGCUAACAUAUUCCUCGCACACUAUCUUUCGUAAACUUUUCACGAUCAUCUUUAUAUUAUCAAAUUCAUUUAAUUAAAUAUACAAUUAUCUUUUUUUGGGAAAAAAUGUAAAUUAUAUUAAACCCAAAAUGAUACAAUAAUAAACGGGGCAUACUCCGCAGUUAAAGAAAAUCAAAAGUCUCCCUAAUACAAGAAGACAUAUAUCAAGAUGCUAAAACAAAUGCAACAGGUGCGCUUGUCUAUACAUAAGAAACUUAAUCUUGCUAAUAACCUCUAUGACAGAAAAUUGAUAAUCUUCAAAAAUCAGCUUGUUCCUAGACAGCCAAAUGCAGUAGACUGUAAUUGCUAUAGUCAGAAAACGUAAUUUUUCUUGAACACCAAUUAUCUUAAUAUUAUAAGCAAGUCUCUGUAUAAUCAUGUAGUGUUUCUAAAUUGAAUGAGCCUAAAUCACACACUCCUGAAAAAAGGAUAAAAACAUAUUUAAUUUCAUUUAGUGUUUAAUAGUGUUUUGGUCUAUUUUUUUUUUUGUUUUUUUAUAGUUAUUUCUUUUCAAAUUUGAUGACAACAUUGUCAUUGGGUCCUUCUACCCUUCACAUCAGCAAAUUGGACACUAAAGAGACUCGGUCAGAAACAAAUAACUACUAGGGGUACAAUAACAUGAGAGGAUUUAACACUUUUGGAGUAGGAAAAUGUACUUUAAGAAAAGAAAAUAUAUGUUUAUCCAUGAACACUAAGCUCUAGACAAAAAAUAAAAAACCCCGAGAAAUAGUAUAUAACUCUUUAGUGGACAAUUGGUGUUGUACAAAAUUGAAAUGAUCCAGACUAAGUCAAGAAACUGGUCUUCUUCAUUGAACUCACACUGAAACCACAGAAUUUAUUUUCAUCUACUAGUUUCCUUCCCAAUUCCCAUGUUUUCUAAAACAUAACACACUACAGAACCUUCUAAUAAAUUAAAACAAAAAAACCAAUAUUUUACAUGUAGCACCACAACCUAACAAUUUCUACCUACAACUUUUUCUAUAGACUAUAAUAUAAUCUAUCUCCACUCAUUCAUUCAUCAAGAUUGAGAAAUGGAUUCAAAUGCUUGUCUACCACACUUGCUAGUGUUAGCAAUAACAUUGGUAUUGGUUAGUCAUGCAAUGGGAGAUUCAGCUCAAGACAAACAGAAAUGUGCAGAAUCCCUGACAGCUGUUGCAACGUGUCUGCCAUAUUUGGGUGCUGACGCGAAAGCACCCACAGCAGAUUGUUGCAGUGGUCUCACACAAGCCAUGAAGAUCAACAAGAAGUGUGUCUGCCUUAUUCUCAAAGACAGGGAUGAUCCUGACCUUGGCUUAAAGAUUAACAUCACAAUUGCUGUUGGUCUCCCUUCUCUUUGCAAAACACCUGAUAAUCUCUGUUAACUCGUUGGCAAGUGUACCAAAUCGUCACAAGUAGUAAAGUUCUCGGAAGUCCGAGUGUCGAAUCCACAGGGACUUUGUUUGUACUUAGAUUAAUGCAAACCCAAUUUAAAAGCAAGAGAUAAGAAAUUUAAAAUUUAAAAUAAAAGAUAAAGAUAAUAGAUAAGAUAAGAUGAAAGAAAUUUAAAAUAAAAGAUAAAGAUAAUAGAUAAGAUAAGAUAAAAGAUUUUUAAAAUUUAAAAUAAAAGAAAAAGAUAAAGUCAAGAUAAGAUAUUGGGAACUGACUUGCCUAACCUGCCUAGGAUGUAUGAGUUUAUGAUUUUUCUUUACCAAUUCAGGUGAUUCUAUCCCACCCACAUCUAUUCAUUUACUUGUCCCUGAUGCCUCACGAUGACAAGCCUAUUUUACCUAUCUAUCCCCCAAAUGCCUUUGCAAAGACGCAAUAGAUAAAAUGCAUGAAGUUCUAAUUCUAGAUGUUUGCUUUGACGCAUGGGCAUAAUGCAAUCACUCUAUGCCUAGCAAUGAUUUUAUUAUGAUAUCUUUUCUUCUUGUUCUAUUAGAAGUUAUCCUCUCCCGAGCGUCUAACCCCCUAAAACUAAUGCAUGCAUAUCUUCUUUAAAUCUUAUUUAGAAGUUACCCUCUCCCGAGCAUCUAACCCCUAACAGAAUAUAAAGAUGAGUAUGCAAGGUAAAAACAGAAAAGAAAAUAGGAAAGAAAAACCUGGUAUUGCAUUGAUAAAUAGUGAAGAGUACAUCAUACAUCGCAUUGGUUUCUAGGCCUGCCAGACCCUAACUAAGGGUUUAGCCACUCAUGGCCAUUGAGGACUUUACAAUGAGAAGGGGUGAAAGAAAGGGAGUAAGUGAAACCCCUAGGAGAGGGGGUUCUGUCGUGGUGUGUUCUGUCCCUUGGACUGGCUCUCUAUUUAUAGCUGCUGAAGUGGGCUUUGGGCCUUCGUAGGCGCGCUCAGCGCGACACCCCCUCGCUCAGCGCGUGUAGAUCGCGCGCUUAGCGUGCAUGUUGCAGGCUUAGCGCACGCUUCUGUUAGAUCGCGGGCUUAGCGCGCGUGUUGCAGGCUUAGCGCACGCAUCUGUUAGAUCGCGGGCUUAGCGCGCGUGUUGCACUGGGCCUGCUUCAGAUUUUCUUCUUUUCUUCAAUUUUUCUAGCCUUUUUGCUUGUUACACCUCCAGUUUUUAUAUCUGCAGCCAAAAUUCAACAAAACAUCAAUUCUUUAAUAUUUAAGCGCAAAUAACUGCUAAAUAAUUAUUUUUAAAGACAAUUUUGCCUUAUUUUCUAUCAUCAAAAUACAAUUAUUUAGCAGUUAUCAAAAUCCCCCAAAUUAAAACUUUGCUUGUCCCCAAGCAAAUCAAAUUAAAAGCAGGCUCCGAAUGCUUCAACACUUUCAAUGGCUACAAUUUCUCAGAUUCCUCCAACUGGUCCUUUCCGCAUUUGUCAUAAUCUCACAAUGGAAGCAUGAAUUACAUCAAGAUGCAAUUGGUUAGUAUCGGAAAUCAAUCAAGUUGGUUUGCCUCACUUUCCUCACAAGGUUAGUGUUUAUCUCUACGCACAAGUGUCUGGGGUGAGUGUUUAAAAUUUAUACGACCUGCAAUUAAGAUUCCCAAAUUUUGCACUUCAUCUCAAUUAAAGUUAUUCUUACUUACAUUUGGUGGAUCACUAAGGACUGUUAUUGCCUUGUAAUGGGGCCUGGCUAGACAAGAAAUCAUGGUUUUUCUGGGAUUUCAAACUUAAGGUUAUAAGAGAGCAUUCAUCCUAGAAAAACUUAUACUUAGCCUAGGCUUUAUUUGUUUUUCAGCCUUAACACAUAUGCAAUCUAUUUUUCUUAUUUCCAACCUUAGCACUUAUGGCACCUCUUUUUUUUUUUCUGCCCUUAUUUUCUCUCUUUUUUUUGGAAAGAGACUUUGUGUUUACAAGCUCUUUUUAUUAUUAUUAUUAUUUUUUUUUUGGAAAGAGACUUUGGGCUUACAAGCUCUUUUUUUUUUUUUUUUGGGUGCCUUAUUAUGUGCUACUUUUACAUUCCCAAGACCAUCUUCAUUCUACCCAUCCCCCAAAUUAGGAGUUUAUUAUGACUAAAACCUUUAUGCUCUCUUAGAACCCUAAAAUAAGGUUAGAGAUAUCACAAUUAGGCUCAGGGGUUUUAUUUAAAAAUAAUAAUUACUAAUUUUGGCUCAACAAGGGUGCAAGGGAUACAUUUCAUCACAGGUUGGCUUUUUGGCUAUGUGGCUAAAAUAAAAAAAACAUGGCCUUGAUCAUAUCCACCUUAUGUAAAUAAUCUAAUAGUCUAAGAAUGAUGCAAAAUUAGGAAUUUAAAAACAGACGUUCUCUCAUAAUUAAGUUCACACAGCUCUCCGGGACAAGAUAAAGUUAUCGGCUUACCGGAACAUGAUCUCUUUCCAUCAAGCUAACCUUUUCUCUCUUUGUGAUUCAUGUCUCACUGUUUGACUGACUCUUGCUUCCAGGAAACCAGUAUUUUCACAAUUGUCAUGUAGCAUUUCAAGUGUUGAAUCCUUCAGAAAAUGCCUAAAUAGUGACUUCACAAAUAUCAUGCAAUUUUUAUUCAAUGACUAAGUUUAAACUACUGAAAUUAAAAUGCAUAAAAUCAAAAUGCACAAAUUCAAAAUAAAGAAAAUAAAUAACACAACUAUCCUAAAAAAAAACAAAUUGCAAUUAACUAAAAGAGAAAUAAAGUAAGAAGUCCUGGGUUGCCUCCCAGUAAGCGCUUCUUUAACGUCAUUAGCUUGACGGGUCAAAUGCCUUCAAGGUGGCAUGAAGGUCACAAAGAACACAUCUUCCUUGCAUUUCCGUCUCUUAGCUAGAGACGCCAUGAAACUCAUGUAUGCUGGAAACACCUUCCAUAUUGUAGCAAGAAAAGUGCUGGUGGUCAAGGAGAGAAGGACACUUAAGGGUUUAUCAUGUUUUCCAUGUCUUUCUUCCUUGACAAUCAGUUGAUGAGGAGUGGUAUUGACUUGGAGAAUACUUUCUUGUUGAAUUUCUACUUGUGAGUACUUCUCCGAUUGUUGUGCUUUCUCCUCAUUUCUUUCUAUCUCUUCCUUCUUUUCUUCUUCCACAUCUUCCUCAGUUAAAAUUACCUUGCACUCCUUUUUGGGCUUCAUCUCAGUAUUUACCGUAAAGGUUUCGGUGGGCCUUUCAGCAACUAACUUAGCUAAUUGUACUUCCAGAUUUCUGAUUGCUGCAUCAGUGCUCUUCUGAUGUGACCUUGUUUCCUGCAUGAAUUGUACCAGCAAUUCUUCUAGCCUACUGCUUUCUUCCUGUGGGCUGGGCUCUUGGUCGCGUAGAAUGACAUAAUCAUAGGCCGCCAUAUUCUCUAUUAGCUCAAUAGCUUCUUCUGGAGUCUUUAACUUGAUCUUUCCACCGGCUGAGGCGUCAAGGAGCUGCUUGGAAUGGGGUUGCAAGCCAUCAAUAAAGAUGUUGAGCUGAACUGGCUCACUAAACCCAUGUGUAGGAGUCUUCCAAAGUAACCCAUGAAAGCGAUCAAGGGCUUCACUCAAUGAUUCAUGAGGGUGUUGGUGGAAGGAUGAGAUUUCCACCUUUCCCUCAAUGGUCUUGGACUCUGGGAAAUAUUUCUUCAAGAACUUCUCCACCACCUCGUUCCAUGUCUGCAGGCUAUUCCCCUUAAACGAGCGAAGCCAUGUUCUUGCUUCACCGGCCAAGGAAAAACAAAAUAAGUCAAGGUGGAUGGCAUCUUCAGGCACUCCUACUAUCUUCACCGUGUUGCAAAUGUCGACGUAUGUGGCCAAGUGUGCGUAUGGAUCUUCAGUUGGUAGGCCGUAAAAUAUAUUCCCUUGAAUCAGCUGGAUCAAGGAAUAUGGAUAUGAGAAGUUGGCCGUCUGCACCUCUGGUCUAGCUAUGCUGGUGAAGUACUGAGGUAUAAUAGGGCUAGAGUAGUCCUCUAGCGUCAUUCUCUGUGGAUGAUUUUCUGUCAUGAUGCGUUCUUCGAAGAAGGAGUGUGCACUGUUAACAAAAGAAAUAACUACCGUGCACGUUAUCACAGAAUAAAUAAUUUUUUUUAUUUUAAUUUUUUUUAUUAUUUUUUUUUAUAAAAAAAAGAAGAAUAAAGUAAGAAUGAGUAAAGAGAAAAAAAUUGAAUAAUAAAAUAAAGCAGCUAAAAUAAAUAAUAGAUAAAAAAACAAAAAACAAAAUAAAAAUAAAAAUAGAGAGUGAAAACUAAUUGCUUACAAAUUGAAAUAUGCAAUUAAUCAAGUACGAAAAACAAAGUCCCCGGCAACGGCGCCAAAAACUUGUUAACUCGUUGGCAAGUGUACCAAAUCGUCACAAGUAGUAAAGUUCUCGGAAGUCCGAGUGUCGAAUCCACAGGGACUUUGUUUGUACUUAGAUUAAUGCAAACCCAAUUUAAAAGCAAGAGAUAAGAAAUUUAAAAUUUAAAAUAAAAGAUAAAGAUAAUAGAUAAGAUAAGAUGAAAGAAAUUUAAAAUAAAAGAUAAAGAUAAUAGAUAAGAUAAGAUAAAAGAUUUUUAAAAUUUAAAAUAAAAGAAAAAGAUAAAGUCAAGAUAAGAUAUUGGGAACUGACUUGCCUAACCUGCCUAGGAUGUAUGAGUUUAUGAUUUUUCUUUACCAAUUCAGGUGAUUCUAUCCCACCCACAUCUAUUCAUUUACUUGUCCCUGAUGCCUCACGAUGACAAGCCUAUUUUACCUAUCUAUCCCCCAAAUGCCUUUGCAAAGACGCAAUAGAUAAAAUGCAUGAAGUUCUAAUUCUAGAUGUUUGCUUUGACGCAUGGGCAUAAUGCAAUCACUCUAUGCCUAGCAAUGAUUUUAUUAUGAUAUCUUUUCUUCUUGUUCUAUUAGAAGUUAUCCUCUCCCGAGCGUCUAACCCCCUAAAACUAAUGCAUGCAUAUCUUCUUUAAAUCUUAUUUAGAAGUUACCCUCUCCCGAGCAUCUAACCCCUAACAGAAUAUAAAGAUGAGUAUGCAAGGUAAAAACAGAAAAGAAAAUAGGAAAGAAAAACCUGGUAUUGCAUUGAUAAAUAGUGAAGAGUACAUCAUACAUCGCAUUGGCUUCUAGGCCUGCCAGACCCUAACUAAGGGUUUAGCCACUCAUGGCCAUUGAGGACUUUACAAUGAGAAGGGGUGAAAGAAAGGGAGUAAGUGAAACCCCUAGGAGAGGGGGUUCUGUCGUGGUGUGUUCUGUCCCUUGGACUGGCUCUCUAUUUAUAGCUGCUGAAGUGGGCUUUGGGCCUUCGUAGGCACGCUCAGCGUGACACCCCCUCGCUCAGCGCGUGUAGAUCGCGCGCUUAGCGUGCAUGUUGCAGGCUUAGCGCACGCUUCUGUUAGAUCGCGGGCUUAGCGCGCGUGUUGCACUGGGCCUGCUUCAGAUUUUCUUCUUUUCUUCAAUUUUUCUAGCCUUUUUGCUUGUUACACCUCCAGUUUUUAUAUCUGCAGCCAAAAUUCAACAAAACAUCAAUUCUUUAAUAUUUAAGCGCAAAUAACUGCUAAAUAAUUAUUUUUAAAGACAAUUUUGCCUUAUUUUCUAUCAUCAAAAUACAAUUAUUUAGCAGUUAUCAAUCUCUCAGUGUUCUGGUACGUUCAAUUUCUAAUUAAGCCUUCCUUUUUCUUAAAGAACACUACACUACAGUGUUAUGUUUCCAUUUCCUAUGCAAUGAAUGAUCUAUCAGUCUUGUUAGUUGUCAUAUAACAACUUAUGUUUUUACAUUCAGUUGAAGGAAGUUCCCAGAAUGGUAGAAAGCAGGGGACAGAUGAAACGGCCACAGCUAAGAAUAGUGAAUCUCAUAUCGGGAAAAGAUUGUUAGAAAGUUUGGUUGCAGAUGAAACGGUCACAAUUCUCAUUCUUGAACCAGUGUGAAAACGGACAAAUUCAGUUUCAUGUUAUAUAUGGCUCUGUAUAUGAAAAGGAAAUUAAAGAAAAAGUAGAAUUUGAUUAUGGCUAAUUUCACCCAUUAUAUUUAUUACAAGAAAACCUUUAGAUAAAAAUUAUUUUUUUGUACUUUUAGCUUGGUCGUAAACAUUAACAUUACAUCACGCACAAACAUAAAAGGCAAACCAAAUUAUUUUACAUCCCUAAAUUUUAUGAGGAAGGAUGCUAUAAAUAUUAACAAUACAUCUCACACACACAAAGACAACUAAAAUUAUAUCACUAAAUUGAUGUGGGGAUAGUUUUGAAAAAAAAAUAGUAGGUGUGGUUGUGUAGGUGUGUUUUUAUGUUUUUCAAUUCAGGAUAUUAAAUUUACAAAUAAUUUUAUGUUUUUCAAUUAGAUUUUAACAAUAAUUAAGAAAUAAAUCUAAAUCAUUCUACAUUUGUUUAUAGGUACUUGGCGAAUUGGAGAUGCUAUAUGGGAAUCUAAAUUUUGCUUAACACAAAUGUGGUAUAUGCAAGGAAAAAUCAAAUUGAAAAAUUUUUAACCACCACUUCAAAUUUUAAAAGAUUUGUUUCAAAAUAAGGAUAUGAAGAACAAAUUGUUUUUACAGAACAUUCCCUCCAUGAUGUUUUCCUUUCCUUUAGGUGAAAAAAAUAGACAUUUCCAAAAAUAAUGGAAGUGAACCUUAUAUAAUGCUGUUUAUAUAGAGAAGUCUUUCAAAAUACAAUUUAAAGUACUAUUACUACAAACUAUUUUGUAUUAUAUAUCUCUUAUAUAUUUUGAUAUAAAACAUUUAUUAAUUUUUUAUUUAUUUCUUAGUAACAUGUACAUGAAAGUCAAACCAAACCGAAUCGAGGAUUUAUGUGGCAUUUAACUUUUAUCACUUUCUGCCCUCAAAGAUCACACUCUAAUCAUGUACCAACAUUUUGUGGUAUACAAGAAAACUCUUCUAUUUGAGAACAGACGAUUUUUAUUUGAACCUCUUUUGGCAAAUGGAACUAGCUUUGGAUUCCCAUGUGACAAAAAACUACUUUCCUAACUUUGGAUUAACCAAAUCUGAAAAGCGUUUCGUGUAAUAUUGGCUACGCAUGACUAGUUAACUUCUGAAACGGUCAGCUACUUCAUAACCUUUUGAUGUCAUUCUCCCCAACAAAAAACAAUUGCAACUUGUUACCUAGCAACAGCUUGAAUUGCUUGCUUUCUCACGCACUUAGUGACCCUAGAUGCUUGUGAAAUAAAUUGUUAUAACCUUCACUGUUUUUCAUCAAUAUUACCAAAAUUUCCUUAAAGUGUUCAAUAUUUCGUAAUCUUCAUAAUUAAUUCAAAAUUCUCAAAAGAUUAGUAUAUGACCUUUUUUCUUGUUUGUACUAGGAGAGGAAUAAAUGAAAAAAAUUCAGAAAUUUGUGGAUUGCAAUUUGCUCAAAUGAUGUGUCUAUUAGUUCUUUGAAAUUUGUAUUGGUCAUAUUUAUUUUUACCUUUUAAUAGAUAUAUUGUGCUGUCAUCCCAAGAGAAGGAUCAAACAUUGAUGAUGCAGAGGUGCUAAGAUAUUGCAAGAAGAAUCUUGCAUCUUUCAAAGUCCCUGAAAAGGUCUUCAUUACUGAUUCUUUGCCCAAGACUGCCACCGGAAAGAUUUUGCGUCGUCUUGUGGCAGAACACAUUGUCUCUCAAAUUUGAGCAACUGAUCAAGUCCUACUUUUGAAGCCUCCAUACCUGGCCAUACAUAGUUGGAGUCCACACACCAUAAAUUUCAACAAUAAUUUGGCAACUUGGCAUUUAAGAGGAGGGUAAUUCUGCAAAUGGUCUUUCAUUCAGGAUACAAUAGAUUGUAGUUUUCAAUGAUUCACGUGAAAUGUUCACAAUGUAAUGUUUUCAAUGUUUUAUAGGUCUUAAAUACCAAUAGCAGACAAGAUCAAGCUUAUGCUUUUUUGCUAUCGUGCUACUGUUCCUUGCCACUGGUCUUGAUGAAGCCAAGCAUUGUCUCUUUGCCUUUUAAGUUGUACAUAGUUGCAAAACGGGUACAUGUGAAAGAAUAAUGCUUAUUAAAGGUAAGGUUGAUUUUAAAGUGGGCAUGCAAGAACGCAUUCAUCAUCUCAAGUAAAUAAAAUUCAAGCGAAUAUGUGAUUUGGAUUAGAGAAUAGUAUUAUCCAGUGCACACUAAAUUGGAGAGAUUCCCAACAUGUGGUUUCAAAACUAAAAGUACUUACCAACUAUUUGAAUUUUAAUCUACGUGAUCUAGCUAAUGUUUUCUAUCAGAGAAUUACAACUAGUUGAUCUUAAGUACAAAACUAUACUAAAUAUGCAAAUCUUUACAUCUAAAAACAGAAUUUAAAUAAGGCUCUCAAAUUUGAAGAAAAAAAAGAAGAUAGCAAUGACUACAAAUUGAUCAAUCUGCCAAUACAAUGAUAAAACAUCGGUUUAUUCUAAGCAACACUAAAAAGUGAUACUACAUGAGCAAAAAGAUUGAAAUUAUUGACCAUGCAGUAUGAAUGUACAGCAUUAUUUAUUUAAUUUUUCUAAUACAAUUUUAUUUUAUAUUAAUACACUAUAUCAUUAUGACAUCAACCCCCAACAUGAGUGGCCCAGUGGACAAGCCCAUCAAUCUAACAUGUCGGUUGAUAGAACUUGCAUAAACUUUUGUUCCUUGCAUCAUCUCAUGUGUCUCCAUUCUCCAUUCUCUGCUUCCACUAACGAUAUAUUAAACCUUAUUGAUUAGGGUUCAAUGAUUUUUCAAUGAAUAAAAUUAAUUUUGAAUUCUUGAUUCUAACAGCUCACGUAUAGUCUGUUGAAUCAAAUGGAUUAGACUCUUGAUAUCAUAAAGAAAAUUAAAAUUUGAUUCUUUGUGUAAAAUAAAGAAAUCUAAUUAAUUAUGCUUGUUAUGUUACUAUAUCAUUUUUCCGGUGUGGAAUAACAUCAAAAUCAAAGUAAUAAAGUUACUUGCAUGUUACUCUAACCAUAAUUCCAGUUAAGUCGAAUAUGGUUUCAUGUUUUGUAAAACAAUUUAGAGAAUAGGAGCAGGAUUGCUGAGUUGGCAUUGCGGGAUUGGGCCCUUGGAUGAUCCUGUCGGGAAUAUGCUUUUUCUGUUAGGAUAUUAAAUUAGUUCGAUAACUACCAUGUCGAUCAUUGUUAGUUUUGUUUCCACCAUUGUUGGGAAUACGUAUAUACUAUUACUUUAUGAUUAAACGUGUUACUUAAAUUGCAGAAAAAAACUCUUUAUAAUGAAGUACAAUUGUUUAUAACUACAACAAUUAUAUUGAGUCAAUUUAACACUCAUCAAAGGCAGAAAAGCUUUACUUUAAGAUUAGACAGAGGCUCAUACCAAUCAUGGCGGUGGUUAUAAUUAGACACAUCAGCAACUGUAAAAGAUCUUGCACGGCCACAGAAAAAAAAAAUGCUUGAUGCACAUCUGAUAAACUCACUCAAGGUCUAUGUAUUAAUAGUGUAAAAGAGAGACUGAAUAUUAAAUGAUAAAAAUAUAAAAUAAUUGUUUUGUAUUGGCAGAGUACACAUAUAUAUGCCCAAAUGUAGAUUCAAAGUUCAAACAUUUUGGGACUAGAUCAUCCCUCCUAGUCAUAGCCAUCUGAAUUGGAUCGACCCCACCCCAAGGUUUGUGUUGCAUCACUUGCAUGCAUUCACCCACCACUGUUGUUGUUAUAGUUUUCUCGUGAUUUUUGUAUUGGAAAAUACUAUGGACAAAUAUAAUUGAUACAGUCAUAAUUAAUUAUUGUCAUGUUGCAAUUACAAAGACUCCUCAAAGAAAAUGUUUAGUAAAUCAUGAUCAAGUAGAAAUUGCAAUGGCAAACUGUUUUUUAAAAUCUUAUUAGUCAGUUGUAUAAACCCAAAUUUAGUUAUAUCCAGGUAUGUAAUAUUUGCCAUUUUAGUGCUCUGUUUGGAAAUUUGCGUGUCGAAUUGUUUUUUUUAUACGUACCUACACAACACUCUUUAGCCAAAUACCACUGUUCAUGGAAAAAUCUGUCCUGAAAGGAGUAUAGAACCAGAAACAAUAUGCGUGGUGGUAUCUAUCAUUCUGAAAAAGAAAAAAAGUGGGAUUCUUACAAUAGUAGGACUGUGACACUACUAGAAAAAUCUAUGCACCUUUGAUGUCCCUAAAUUUAUGAACAAAAGAUUCAGGUGUCGUUUAUUGAAUUUGUUUUAUAUGGAGUGUAAAGUCAUAUUCAAUACUAAUAAGUGUAUGUUUAUAUAAUUCUUUUUAAAAUAAUUACUCUUCUUUAUUUACAUCUAAUAAAAAUGUUAUCACAUUAAAAUUUUUAAAAUAAGCUAAAUGAAGCAUGUUUCAUAAGAAAUUAACUUUUACUGUAAUUGAUACAUUUUUUAGUGACAAAGGGAGAUGGGUGAAGACGGUGAAGGAAAAAAAAAUGAAGAUAAUGUCUAUGUUGUUCAAAUAACAGUAUUAAUUGUAUUAAAAUAGUUAAUAUUAAAAAAUAUAUUAGUAAAUAUAACAUUGUUGUGUUGGUGCUAUUUAUUGUGCAUCAAAAUAUGUAAAAAUAAUAAUUAACUUAUAAUUUGUAUAGUUGGUAUGGGUUGUUUUAUCUAUCCUGGAUUUUGUUGAAUCACACAUAUAAUCAUUUAUAUAUAUAUAUGGGCUACUAUUGUCACUACCAAAAAUGCUAUGGAGACUACCAAAGCAUUUGAAAUUACUUGGUUAUCCUUAGUUCCAAUUCCCCACACCUCCUAUCCUUCCCCUCCUUACGUUCAGCUACUCUCCUUCUUUACAUACAAAAACAGAAUUUAAAUAAGGCUCUCAAAUUUGAAAAAAAAAAGAAGAUAGCAAUGACUACAAAUUGAUCAAGCUGCCAAUACAAUGAUAAAACUUCGGAGUAUACUAAGCAACACUAAACAGUGAUACUACCUAAUCGAAAAGAUUGACGUCCGNNNNNNNNNNNNNNNNNNNNNNNNNNNNNNNNNNNNNNNNNNNNNNNNNNNNNNNNNNNNNNNNNNNNNNNNNNNNNNNNNNNNNNNNNNNNNNNNNNNNAAAUGAAAAUAGGCAUACCCCCAUGAUCUACAAAUCAGCAAAGGAGCAAUCACUAUCCAGAAUCCCACAAUAAAUCAAUGUCAUACUGACAAAAAGCAUUCACUCCAUGCCCAUCACUUCCUUCAUAACUAUGGGUUUUCCCAUUGGAGCUGCAGUUUAUGGGCAGUGGUGGACCACAUAGAUUGUUGCCGAUGAAGCUGGAGGCAUCAAAGGUUUGCAAUUGAGUUCCUGUUGGAAUAUUUCCCUUCAAAUGAUUGUAUGACAAGUCUAGCAUGCUCAGAAAGCUCAAAUUUGCAAUGCUUGGAGGGAUUUCACCAAAAAGUUGAUUCCUCGAAAAAUCAAUGGACUGUAAUGAUCUCAUAUUACCUAUACCUUGUGGAAUAUGACCAAUCAAUUGGUUGUGGGACAUGUUUAAAAAAUUCAAUCCAUUUAGAUAUGUGAUUUCUCUUGGUAUUUCCCCAAAUAACUUGUUACUUGACAGAUCAAUGCUUGUUACCAAACCCAGAAUGUUUCUGUACUCAUCUCCUCUUCCUUUCAGCCAUAGUAGCACACUAACUAUACUUUCCAUCGACGUACCAUGUUUUCCUUGAGAAUAGAUACGAGGAUCUGUACUUUGGUUCAUUAGUGUCAUGGCACUCAAGUUACUGAAACAGCUCGGUAUAUUGCCAGACAGAUUGUUUUGUGCAAGGUCUAAAACCUGAAGAUGACUCAUCUGACAUAUUUCACUUGGAAUGUGUCCGGCAAAUCUGUUUGAUCGAAGGCGGAGGAUUUUCACAUUUAAGAGGUUUUCUCCAACCCAUGUUAGAAUACUUCCGGAAAGAUUAUUUUCCCCAAGGUCCAAGGAUAUCAAUUCGUUAUUCUUCUUCCAACUGGUUGGAAAUAUUCCUGAGAGUGUGUUGUUACGAAUUUGUAAAGACUGCAGCUCUGCCAAGGAACCCAUGGAUUGGGGUAAGUUCCCAACAAAAUGGUUGCUUUGUAAAUUUACAUCCACAAGAGAUGUCCAAUUCAUCCAGCAAUCAGGUAUCUCUCCUGACAAAUUAUUUGAUGCAAGAUUCAGAAAUUCUAAUUGCAUUGGCUCGUCCUGAUCGUUACAUAAAAAGUCAUUCAUGGAUUCAGAGAAUGAAUUGCUUGAAAGAUCUAACUGAAGCACAUCACUUGAAAGAUAGGGUAAUUUACCACACAAGUGAUUUGAGCUUAGAUCAAUAACGGGGAUAGAUAUUGGAUUCUUUAAUGUAGUCCCAAUCUCACCAUGGAUAUGAUUACGAGAGAGGUUUAAAUACCUAACCUGAGAAAGUGCUUCCCACAUCUGUGUGGGAAUAGAACCGAAAAUCCCCGUGUUAGAUAGUCCAACAUAUUGAAGUUGGUUUUGUGACUGAAUCCACAAUGGAAAGCUGGGACCUAACUGCCAUGAUGUCACUUCCAAAUAGGUAAGUUGAAAAUUAGGAAUCCAAUUGGGACCCACUGUUAAAGUGAAAUUGUUUCCUGAUGCAUGAAUCUCCGUCAAGCUUGUAAGAUUUGCAAGAUCAUCUUCCUUGACAACUCCGUGAAAAAGAUUGCCGUCAAUAUGAAGAGAUAACAAUUUAGAGAGUGAUCGAAGACUUUCAAAUGGAUUUCCAAUGAAUUUAUUCAUAGAGAGAUCGAGAUAUCUUAAUGAUGAAAGUUUUCCAAAUGAUCUAGGAAGAGCACCACCAAUUGAGUUGUUGGAAAAAAGUAACGUGUCAAUAUUUUUAAAUGCCCCAAUAUGAUCUGUCAGAUUGCCUGAAAGUCGUGAACUCUGAACUGCAAGUGUUGUGAGUCCAUGGGAAAUACAAGGAGCAAGAAUUUCUAAAAGUUCAUUAACCUGUUGGUUGAGUUUGAGAUAUGAUAAAUCUAUCACCCUUAAGUUGCAGAGAUUACCCAAAGAAGUUGGAAUGUUUCCUUCAAGUUGAUUACCUGAUAAAUCAAGUUCAACAAGAGAAGUCAAAUUUCCCAAAGAAGUUGGAAUGUUUCCUUCAAGUUGAUUACCUGAUAAAUCAAGUUCAACAAGAGAAGUCAAAUUUCCCAAAAGAAGUUGGAAUGUUUCCUUCANNNNNNNNNNNNNNNNNNNNNNNNNNNNNNNNNNNNNNNNNNNNNNNNNNNNNNNNNNNNNNNNNNNNNNNNNNNNNNNNNNNNNNNNNNNNNNNNNNNNNNNNNNNNNNNNNNNNNNNNNNNNNNNNNNNNNNNNNNNNNNNNNNNNNNNNNNNNNNNNNNNNNNNNNNNNNNNNNNNNNNNNNNNNNNNNNNNNNNNNNNNNNNNNNNNNNNNNNNNNNNNNNNNNNNNNNNNNNNNNNNNNNNNNNNNNNNNNNNNNNNNNNNNNNNNNNNNNNNNNNNNNNNNNNNNNNNNNNNNNNNNNNNNNNNNNNNNNNNNNNNNNNNNNNNNNNNNNNNNNNNNNNNNNNNNNNNNNNNNNNNNNNNNNNNNNNNNNNNNNNNNNNNNNNNNNNNNNNNNNNNNNNNNNNNNNNNNNNNNNNNNNNNNNNNNNNNNNNNNNNNNNNNNNNNNNNNNNNNNNNNNNNNNNNNNNNNNNNNNNNNNNNNNNNNNNNNNNNNNNNNNNNNNNNNNNNNNNNNNNNNNNNNNNNNNNNNNNNNNNNNNNNNNNNNNNNNNNNNNNNNNNNNNNNNNNNNNNNNNNNNNNNNNNNNNNNNNNNNNNNNNNNNNNNNNNNNNNNNNNNNNNNNNNNNNNNNNNNNNNNNNNNNNNNNNNNNNNNNNNNNNNNNNNNNNNNNNNNNNNNNNNNNNNNNNNNNNNNNNNNNNNNNNNNNNNNNNNNNNNNNNNNNNNNNNNNNNNNNNNNNNNNNNNNNNNNNNNNNNNNNNNNNNNNNNNNNNNNNNNNNNNNNNNNNNNNNNNNNNNNNNNNNNNNNNNNNNNNNNNNNNNNNNNNNNNNNNNNNNNNNNNNNNNNNNNNNNNNNNNNNNNNNNNNNNNNNNNNNNNNNNNNNNNNNNNNNNNNNNNNNNNNNNNNNNNNNNNNNNNNNNNNNNNNNNNNNNNNNNNNNNNNNNNNNNNNNNNNNNNNNNNNNNNNNNNNNNNNNNNNNNNNNNNNNNNNNNNNNNNNNNNNNNNNNNNNNNNNNNNNNNNNNNNNNNNNNNNNNNNNNNNNNNNNNNNNNNNNNNNNNNNNNNNNNNNNNNNNNNNNNNNNNNNNNNNNNNNNNNNNNNNNNNNNNNNNNNNNNNNNNNNNNNNNNNNNNNNNNNNNNNNNNNNNNNNNNNNNNNNNNNNNNNNNNNNNNNNNNNNNNNNNNNNNNNNNNNNNNNNNNNNNNNNNNNNNNNNNNNNNNNNNNNNNNNNNNNNNNNNNNNNNNNNNNNNNNNNNNNNNNNNNNNNNNNNNNNNNNNNNNNNNNNNNNNNNNNNNNNNNNNNNNNNNNNNNNNNNNNNNNNNNNNNNNNNNNNNNNNNNNNNNNNNNNNNNNNNNNNNNNNNNNNNNNNNNNNNNNNNNNUCCAAUAUUUUUUUAAGAAAAAAAUCAAGUCUUCUAUUUCAUCUAAUCCCAACCCAUGAUUAAUAUUAAAUUAUCAAAUUUUUCAAUAUUCAAACUAAAAAUAAUGUAAAAGAAAAUUGUCUUCUAAAUCAUAGCUCACACCAUUAAGUUAAUCUCAAGGUUUUUCCAUUUUUUUCAUCUUGAACCUUUGGACACUCCACAAAGUCCAGUCAUGAUGUUAAGGUCUGACUUCUUCAACUUGAACCAUAGAUCACUGCAUUACUUUCAUAUCAAACAAAUGUUGCGAGUUAAGUAAAGCAAGGAAAAAAAAUAUAAUUGAUGAAUAAAUCAAUUAUAGGAAAAGAGUUUACUUUAAAGAUAAUUUUGGUUAAAAAAAUCUAUAAAAAAAAUUAUUUUGUUCUAAGCUAGCUAUUUAAUUUUGAUCAAUUUUUCAAUUCACAAAAUAAUAUUCUUCUUAUAUGUGAAAAGACUAAUUAAUCUUCAUUGUCAUUAAUGAUUGUUGUGUUGUCUAUUUCUAAUUGUUUUUUUAAUCAUAAUAUUAUUUUCUUUUUUAUUAAAAAUUUAUUAGUGAGAUACAAAGAAGUUUAAAUUGCUUGUUUAGCUUGGUCUAUCAUAAUUAUUGAGAUCAUAGUUUUUCCUUUUAUAAGUCUUGUUCCAAAUUUCUCCAUGUAUUGUAGAUCAUAUUUAACUUAAAAAGUAAAUUAGAAGAUCUACAAAGAAGUGUGGCAUGUUUUUUAAAUUAUAAAAUUAUGGUCCUAGCUAUUUAUUGUUAGACCACAAGUCUUCAUAUAUUAAAGUUUUUGUCUAAAUUUCAUUUAUGGUGAUAGUUUAAGAAUACUGAUAGAAGAGAAAAAUAAAUAUACAACUUAUUGAAAUAUCUAACUCAAUUAAUUGAGGAAUACAUCAAUUAUAGGAAAAGGGUGUGCUUUAAAGACUAUUUUCUAUUAAAAAAUCUAUAAAAAAAAUUAUUCGUUCAAUCUAUUAUUUAAUUUUAAUCAAUUUUUCAGUNNNNNNNNNNNNNNNNNNNNNNNNNNNNNNNNNNNNNNNNNNNNNNNNNNNNNNNNNNNNNNNNNNNNNNNNNNNNNNNNNNNNNNNNNNNNNNNNNNNNUUCUCUUAUAUAGGAAAAAAAGACUAAAUUAAUUAUCAUCAAUUGGAAAAGUUAUUGUGUCAUGUAUAUCUAAUUGUAUACGAACUUGAAUAUUAUUUUAUUUAUCAUAUAAAAAUUAAUUAUUUAUAUAAAAGACAUAAAAAGAAUAUUAACUUUUUUUCUCAAAAAAAAUCAGUAUCAUAUUUUAUGUUUUUUACAAGUUAUCAACUUAAAUAAGAGGAGAAAUAUAAUUUUAAUUUUAAUUUUACUUUUUAAAUAAUUGCAAGUGCCAAAUUUAAAUAAUCAUGAGAAUACUCAUGUUUAAUAUAAUAUUCUAAAAAAAAUCCAUACGAUAACUUAAACAAUCUACAAAGAAAUAUAAUUUAUUCUUGUGCCAAAUGCUAAAACAAGAAACAUUUUUUAUUUUAGUUUACCGUAUAGAAUUGCUUAAAUCAAUGAAAUUUUUAUUUUAAGAAAAUAUUAAUGAUUUUUAUAUCAAAGGUAAUUAAAUUUGGCUUAAUUAGUCUUCAAAUUUUAACUAUUAUUCAAAUCAAUCCUUUCGUUAAACCUGUACAUGUUAAGUAAACAACAAAAAGUCUUGCCUUAUAAAAUUCAAACAUUUUUAUUACAUGUAGUUUGAACCCAUAAUUAAUUUUAAACUAUCAAAUUUUAAUUAUUCAAAAUAACAGAAAUGAAAACAAAAUUGUCUCCUAGACAAACCGCUGGCCACUCCACCAAAUCCAUAUCAAGGUCCCCACUUUUCCAACUUGAACCAUAGACUACUCCAUCAAGUCCAUGUGAAGGUCCUCCAUUUUUGCAUUUUGAACCUUAGGACACUCCACAAAGUCCACCCAUAUANNNNNNNNNNNNNNNNNNNNNNNNNNNNNNNNNNNNNNNNNNNNNNNNNNNNNNNNNNNNNNNNNNNNNNNNNNNNNNNNNNNNNNNNNNNNNNNNNNNNNNNNNNNNNNNNNNNNNNNNNNNNNNNNNNNNNNNNNNNNNNNNNNNNNNNNNNNNNNNNNNNNNNNNNNNNNNNNNNNNNNNNNNNNNNNNNNNNNNNNNNNNNNAAAUUCCUAUAUACACAAUUUUGUAUUGAAAUUAACUAUUAUUUAAUCAAUCCCUUUCGUUAUACUUUUGUUAAUUAAACAAUAAAAAUCCAACAUUUUAUUAAAAAAAUUCAAGUCUUCUAUUUCAUGGACUCUAUAAAGUCUUUUAUUAAAAGUCCAACUUUUGUUAAUUCAAGUCUUUUACAAAAUUUUGUUAAUUCAACUUUUGUUAAUUAUUACAAAAUUUGGUAUUGAAUUUAACUAUUACUUAAUUCAAGUCUUUUAUUAAAAGUCCAACUUUUGUUAAUUUAACUAUUAUUUUGUUAAUUAAACCAUAGCCGAUUCCAUCAAGUCCAUGUCAAGGUCCUCUAUUUUUUCAUCUUGAACCUUUGGACACUGCACAAAAUCCAGCCAUGUUAUGAUCUCUGGCUUCAACUUGAACCAUAGCCUGGGCCACAAACAAUAUAUUAAUGAUAAAUACAUCAAUUAUAGGAAAAGGGUCUAAUUUAAAGACUAUUUCAGUUAAAAAAAAUUAUAUAAAAAGAGAUUAUUUCGUUCAUAUCUUGCUAUUUAAUUUUGAUCAAUUUUUUAAUUCACAAAAUAAUAUUCUCUUUAUAUAUGAAAAAAGACUAGAUUUAAUCAUCAUUAAUUGGAAUGGUUGUUGUGUGAUCUAUUUCUAAUUGUAUUCGAACAUGAAUAUUAUUUUCUUUAUCAUAUAAAAAUUAAUUAGUGAUAUAAAAAGAAGUGUGAAAAAGAAUAUUAACUUUUUUUUCUAAAAAAAAUUAGUAGCAUAUUUUGUAUUUUUUUACAUGUCAUCAACUUAAAUAAUAGGAGAAACAUAAUUUUAAUUUCCAUUUUAAUUGCCAAAUUUAAGCAAUUAUAAAAUUACUCANNNNNNNNNNNNNNNNNNNNNNNNNNNNNNNNNNNNNNNNNNNNNNNNNNNNNNNNNNNNNNNNNNNNNNNNNNNNNNNNNNNNNNNNNNNNNNNNNNNNNNNNNNNNNNNNNNNNNNNNNNAUAUAGAAUUGCUUAAAUCAAUGAAAUAUUAUUUUAAGAAAAUAUUAAUCAUUUUUUAAUACUUAAAUCAAAAGUAAUUAAAUUUAGUUUAAUUAGUCUUCAAAUUUUAACUAUUAUUUAAAUCAAUCCUUUGGUUACACCUUUGUUAAGUAAAUGAUAGCAUAGCAAGCAAGGAGGUGCAAGCAGUAACACUCACAAAAAUAAAGAUCUUUAAGCCAUCAUUUUUUUUUCCUUUUCUUUUCUAUGAACUGUCAUUUCUUAUCUCUACAUGGAAUGCCUAGAAGUUGAAAACUGGAGCUUUCUUUAACUAUACUGCUUUCCAUUUUGGCGAACUGCUUUUCUUUCUCAUAAUGAACUUUCCACUUCCAAUGAUGGUUCAACAUUAAUCAUUCUUUAUCUAUUUUGUCUAAAAAUUUCCACUCACUUUUUGUGAGUGGUGUGAAUGUCAUGCAGACAAAUGAUGUCCAAGCUCCACUUUUUCCAUUCAUUGCAAGUUGUAAGCAGAAUGUAGAAUGUACAUAUAAUAAAAUAAUGAGAAUGGCAACUACUAGUACGUAGUACUUAAUUAGAACAAAAGUAUCAAAAUUAAAACGAAAAUAACUUUGAUGCUGUUAAUACAUGAGUUUAAUUUUGAUACACAGUGUAAAAAUUUAAAUUGUUAAUUAAUUAGAAAUCACCUAAUGAUUUGUAAAACAAUUACUAAAAAAAGUUAUAGGAGAAUAUAUAUAAUUAAUUGCAAUUCUAAGUGUAUUUAAAUUAAAUUCUUAAUUAGCAUAUCCUUAUUGUGAUAUUUUGUAUAUAUUUUAUUUAUUGAGACAGUGGAAUGAGACCGCACUAUAAUUUUCAUCACGGGUGUGGUUGUCAAAUAUAAUAGGGAUGGUUGGGAUGAUGUUGCAGGUGCCGGUUUGUUGUUAAGGCCUUGAGGGAAAAUGUAUUUUUUGAAGAAAAUAAAAUUAUAAAAAAUUGUUUUAAAUUAACAUUAGCUAAAUAAUGACGUACCCGUAAAAUAUUUAAUAACACAAAAUUGAUUUAUAGUAAGUCAAAUACCGUCAAUAUUCAUUUGAACUGUAGUCUUCCACCGUCUCAAGCUCUUCACAUGNNNNNNNNNNNNNNNNNNNNNNNNNNNNNNNNNNNNNNNNNNNNNNNNNNNNNNNNNNNNNNNNNNNNNNNNNNNNNNNNNNNNNNNNNNNNNNNNNNNNNNNNNNNNNNNNNNNNNNNNNNNNNNNNNNNNNNNNNNNNNNNNNNNNNNNNNNNNNNNNNNNNNNNNNNNNNNNNNNNNNNNNNNNNNNNNNNNNNNNNNNNNNNNNNNNNNNNNNNNNNNNNNNNNNNNNNNNNNNNNNNNNNNNNNNNNNNNNNNNNNNNNNNNNNNNNNNNNNNNNNNNNNNNNNNNNNNNNNNNNNNNNNNNNNNNNNNNNNNNNNNNNNNNNNNNNNNNNNNNNNNNNNNNNNNNNNNNNNNNNNNNNNNNNNNNNNNNNNNNNNNNNNNNNNNNNNNNNNNNNNNNNNNNNNNNNNNNNNNNNNNNNNNNNNNNNNNNNNNNNNNNNNNNNNNNNNNNNNNNNNNNNNNNNNNNNNNNNNNNNNNNNNNNNNNNNNNNNNNNNNNNNNNNNNNNNNNNNNNNNNNNNNNNNNNNNNNNNNNNNNNNNNNNNNNNNNNNNNNNNNNNNNNNNNNNNNNNNNNNNNNNNNNNNNNNNNNNNNNNNNNNNNNNNNNNNNNNNNNNNNNNNNNNNNNNNNNNNNNNNNNNNNNNNNNNNNNNNNNNNNNNNNNNNNNNNNNNNNNNNNNNNNNNNNNNNNNNNNNNNNNNNNNNNNNNNNNNNNNNNNNNNNNNNNNNNNNNNNNNNNNNNNNNNNNNNNNNNNNNNNNNNNNNNNNNNNNNNNNNNNNNNNNNNNNNNNNNNNNNNNNNNNNNNNNNNNNNNNNNNNNNNNNNNNNNNNNNNNNNNNNNNNNNNNNNNNNNNNNNNNNNNNNNNNNNNNNNNNNNNNNNNNNNNNNNNNNNNNNNNNNNNNNNNNNNNNNNNNNNNNNNNNNNNNNNNNNNNNNNNNNNNNNNNNNNNNNNNNNNNNNNNNNNNNNNNNNNNNNNNNNNNNNNNNNNNNNNNNNNNNNNNNNNNNNNNNNNNNNNNNNNNNNNNNNNNNNNNNCUUGCCAUUUGAUGUGCCUGAUAAUUUCACAAAUAGAAAUGAAAUGGAACAAGUUAAACAUUGAGAAAGUGUUGUUUAAUUUAUUUAUUUCCUCCAAAAAGUUUUGCAUUAGUAGGUAAUUCUUGUUUAUUAUUCGUAUAAGCUCACAUUUUAGUAUAUAGUAUAUCUGCAUAUGGAUUGUGCAAUAAUGUAAAGGAUGAAUCAUUGAUUUGCAUAUAACUAUUGACCCUGAUUAAUAUUAAGUGAUUCACCAUUAAAUCAAAUAUUCGGAGGUGAAUUCUUUUAGGAUUAAUUAACUUGGUAAGAAUUAUAUCUAGCCUUAGUGAAGAAGCAAAACUUCAAGAUUACCCUUUGUUUGUGAUUAUUGCCCCAAUCCACAGCAAACUUAAUGGAUCUGCACUUCUCAUCGUCCUUUAUGGGCCAAUGGUGGUGUACUGGAAUCAGUCCUCUUGUGAAAAAAUCAUAGUAUUUAGGUUUUACAAGUAGAGUGGUAGAGUCACAUGACAGAAUGUAUUUUUGACUGACUGACCAAGCAGAACCUUCAAUGUACACCUUAUAUCUGCACGAUCAUGAUUGAAUUGAAACAUUUAUUUAUUGAUAAACUGAACUUAUAUAUCCAAUAACAAAAAUAUAUUAUUACAUAUAAUUACAACUGAAGCAUGAAUGGACAGUUUUAAUGUUAUACCUAUAAGUGCAUUGACUUGGCAAGUCUGAUUUGUUGAACCCCUCUUGUAAUUCUCGAAACCAAUCCUGAAACAAAAUUUUCAUUUGUCAAGAAGGAAGCUAUAUAUGUGGCUUUAUUGUGAGCAUAAGGCUCUCUGUUCAGCCAUGGUAUCCUCGUAGUGCCUUCUUUCAAUUCUCCCAACAAAAUAUGCCAUGGCUUUAUAUUAAUCUCUGCCCUGUGCACCACACAUACAAUACUUUUUACUUAUAUAAAAAUUAAGGUCGCGUUAGGGGUGAUUGUCAAUUUUCAAUUUUCCAUUUUAAAAUAUAAUUUCGAAAUACAAACAUGUUCAACAAAAAUUGCACUAAGUUGAUUUUUUACAUCUUUCUGAAAUGGUUUUUAUCACAUAUAACAAAAAAUAAAAUUUUGUUUAAUUUAUUGAUUAUUGUUUAUGUUUUAACCUUUACUGUUUUUUUAUAAUAUUUUUUUAAUUAUUUUUAUUAUGUUUAAUUCUUUUUAAUAUUACAUGAUUUUAUAUUGGAUUGUGAUAAGAUUAAAUAUUUAAAUUAUUUUAUCUAUUAAAUAAUUUUUUAAAAUCUAAAAAUUAAAAUAAACUGAAACUAAAAACUCCAAACAUAAACUGAGUUUAAUUUUUAAUGAUUUUGAAACUGAACACAAAAAACUACUUCUAGAAUUGUGUCCUAAACAAUGUAAUAAAAAUAUAAUUCUAUUGUAUAUUUGUAUAAUAAAAUCAUAUUUAUGUAAAAAGAAUACUUUUAGAAUUUUCUAAUUUUCUACCCACAUGGGUAAUGUAAAUAGCAAUAUAAAAUCCUACUUAGCCCACUACGAUAAACAAAUUUUGAAAAUUUUCACUCAUAAAUGGACUCCUUUAGAUGUCCACACAUAGGUCCUUCUAGACUUGAAUGACAAAUUGAAAGGUACCAAAAAAAAAGGUUUUGAUAUAAUAAUCACAUGCUAAAAGGUUAAUUUGUGUAUUGUGAAUUAUUGAUUUUGUUUAUUAUAUAUCCUUUUUCUUUUUUUUCCAAAUUUUAAUUAUUUGGCAGUUUUACACUGAUGACAAAAUAUUUGUAAUACCUUAACAACGUUUUAUCACAUGAUUUUUACGUCAUAACCCAAGUGAAAAAUCAUAUGAUUAUCGCAUCAUCAUUAUUUAACAGUGGUUUUUUAUUUAUGAAAGUGACUGAGCAAUGACAAACAGAAUUAUAGAUUAAGACCGCCCAAAAGAUAAUUGAGAGACUAAUAAUCACUUUCGUAGAAGGAUGAAGAACUAAAAGUUGAUAAAAUUCAAAUUCUUAACCAUUCAUUUAAAGAGUCAGAAUCUAUCACACUAUUCAGACCAAUCAGUACUAAAGAACAAUUUAUAAAUAUUAACCAAAAAUAAUGAAAGCUGGCUACACUGGUUUUCAAUGGGAAGAGUCUGAGAAACUACUUAGUAUUGAGGGAAUGGAGCAAUGGCAGGUUCAUCUGAGAGAUCUACAUCAUCAAAAGGUUGUGGAGAAAUUGAAGAGAGUGCACAGGUCCUGCAGCCACCAUACCUGAGCUUUUGAUCUCACCCAUUUGUCGACCAGCAUUUGCACCUUCUGCUACACAGCACACAAUUUGGGAAGAAACAUGAAAGACAAAACUUAUAAUUUGUUAGACAAUUUAUUAUCGUAUAUCAUUUUGUGUGUUCAGUUCUGAAAAUGUUUUUUAGAUGCGUAUUCAUAAAAGAUAAAAAUAAAUAGAAAACAAAAGUAACUACAUACAAUAUUAGAUCAAUUUGUUUUUGUUACAAUAUUAGAUCAAUUUAAUUAAGACAGAACCGUAUGUCAAAUAUAUAAUUCAUGCAUUCAAUGAUAAAAAUUAGAAUUAUUUUUAGUUAAUUAGCAAUGUAAAAAUUGAUGCUGUGUUAUAGUUUUUUAUUUUUAAAUCACAAGGUAUUUUUUAUUAAAGAUAAUCUACUUGUUCAAUAGAAAUAGAAUUAUUAUAGAUGAUACAUUUUUAUAUAUAAAUAUUUAAUGUAAUUAUAUAUUUAAUUGAUCAAUACACUUUGUGUUUUAUGGUGUGAUAGUUAGACAAGAUCAUAUCGAUGCAAGUGAACAGUGUGAGCUAGGUUUGUAUGAUGGCUAUGAUAAUGAGGAAUUAAGUUUGGUCACUAGCUACUACUACUAGUCAAUGGAGAACCUGUUGCUCCAAACUACCUGCGAUACUUUAUGUUUGAAAGAAAACAAAAAGAUUGCUCCUAUACUGGGUCCUCAUACAGAAACUAUCUCAUGCUGAAAAUUACGUAUGAUGUUUUUAUAUCAUAACACAACAUUAUUUUUCAUGAUCAAGGGAAAAAAAAAUAAAAAUAUUGGAUGCCCCCAUAGUGUGCAACUACAGACCUUCAGUUUGCAAGACUGAAGUCUCUACGUACCAUUGAGCUACAGGGGCAAGAACAUUUUGAAUCAAAAAUUGAUUUUUCUAUUGGUUCUUCCUUUCCUCCCUUAUACUCUCCUCUUUUCAUAAAAAAGAUGUGUUUCUAAUAUAUAAUAUUUAUAAUAUAUAUAAUAUAAAAAUGUUGUCUUUAGUAUUGAUUUAGAUUAAAGUAUUCCAUUUACAAUAAGAAAAAAAAUGUACCAAAAACUAAGUAUUUCAUAAAUUUAUCCUGACAUUUGAUAUACAAGUUUUUAUAUUACACAUUUUCUUGUUAGAUGAAUAUUGAAUCGGAUAUCGGGAGUUUUUUUUAGAUAUAUUUUUGCUUGAAACAUGAUCUAAUACUAAAUAUAAAUAUUUCUUCAAGUAAAAAUUCAAAUCUUAAGUCAUCACCUUAUAAAUAACUAACCCCUACUAGACUUGAUACCUAUAAAAUACUAAAACACUUGUGUGAACAAGAUCCAAAAGUAGUAAAAAUGACGGGAGAAAAUAUUGUAUGCAUAGUGAUGAAGCCGGAUUAUGUAUUAAGAUUGAGAAACUGUGGGAAUUAUGGAAGUGGGGUUAGAUUCAGACAAGUUUUUUGAGCUUUAGUCUACUCUAUAAGAUGAUCCAGAAUGAAAUUCACCAGUUUGAACUACAAAAUCCGUGUCCAAGUUCUAAGGAAGAUUCUAAAGUGCCCUUUCGACAUAGACCCGAAGCCUAAAAUACAAUUUAAAUAUGCAUUAAUGAACUAGUUUAAUACAUAAAUAUAUACAAAAAUACAUGUUUAAUUAAAUUAUAUUUAUAGCCAUUUUAUUUUACAAGGUGCAAACUCUUUAAUUCUGACAUAAAUAAUAUUCUUUUAACCACGCGAAAUGAAUGAGUUAGUCAAAAUAUGCAUAAACAUAAAUUGAUUUAGAAACCAUCUGCACAUGGGUCACAGUGAUUAUCAAAACAAAAUUUCUCCCAACCCCUUCCUCCCUCUUCCCUGUUGCUCCAAACUAUCUGCGAUACUUUAAGACAUCUAAAACUAGAUCACUAAGUUUUAUGAUGUGUUACGGUUUGCUUUAAAAUAUGGUACAAGGUUUAUCAGAGACCGGCUUAUAAGUAAAAAUUAAAUUUGUCAUAAAGGGAGUAAAAUGGAAAAUAAUUAAUUUCUUAAUUAGAAUUAAAUUAGAAUAACCUGUGCAGAUCUUAUAAUAUUUGUUCACUAAUUCGCCCACCACAUAAUGUUUUAAUUUUUCCAACUUUGUAUAAUCUAAAAAGUAUAAAAAUGAAGAUUACGACUUUCAGCCUCCAGUUCCUUUUAAUGGAAGAAGUGAGUAAAUGUUGAUGGGAUAUCGGUAGCUGACCUUGUCAAAGAAUGCUUGGGCCAUGAUCAUUCAAAAAUACCCUUAAUUGAUCUUUAGCUCAACAUUUUGUAUAAUACGUUAAUUAAUUUUUUAAAUUUAUGAUUACUAUCAAAUAUUUAAUUCUUAAAAUUGUUAAACAAAAGACAUUUUGUUUAGUUGUUGAUAUUUUUAUAAGGUUAAAAUAUAUUUUUAAUCUUAUAAAUAUUAAAAUAGUGAAAAGUUAUCUGGAUAAAAUUUUAAUAUAUUUUUGGUUCUCAUAAAAUUAAAAUAUAUUAUUUUUUUUCUUGAAGUAAGAUUUAAACAUUCCAAAUUAUUUAUUACACUUUUUAUUAUAUGUAUAAUUAAUGUAAAAAUAAUAUAUUUACAUCGAUAUAUAUAUAUAUAUAUAUAUAAUCAAUAUAAAAACUCAUAAUUUAAAUUUAUUUGUAUCUACAUUCAGACCAAAUAAUAAUAAUGUAUUUUAAUUUUGUAAAGAUAAAAAAUUUAUUAAAUUUUUACAAAAAUGAAUUCCAAAAAUUUAUAUAUUUAUCAAAUAAAAAAUUAGCCAAGAUACUUCCUGCGAUUUUGUUAUCACUUUUCUGUUUCAGGCUUCAUAUUCCGUUAGUUUUGGUUGUAAUUAAUACUGAUCCUGGAACACUUGAAUAUUAAUUCAUUUUGACUCUUCAAAAAAAUUGUUUUAUAAAGAUAAAUUCUUUAGUAUUUUUUGUGUUAAUUUUUAAGUAAAGUUAACAUUUCAAUUUGAUAAUUAAUUUUAAAAGCUGACAUUUAUUAUUAUAUAAAGUAAAACUUGAAAAAGCAAAACGAAUAAUACUUAAAAAGUUACACCUAUUAUUUGCCCUUUUUAUAGUUAGGGUAAUUUAGAAUAUUACUCCAACAAUUUUGUUGGUUCUCAAGCAUCAUUGGUUAUCUAUGGAUAUCUCAUCAAAGUUCUUGGCCUGGCCGGCUUGGAGAGUCAAGUCUUGUAUGCAGCCACGAGUCACGACUUUAAUUAACACGAAAGAACUAAUUAUUCACUUCAAUGGUUAGUGACUAAAAUUAAAUAUAAGUUUUUUUCCUAUUAAACCACGUUUUCUUGAACCACUAGUCCCCCAUUUUUGGAAACAAGAAUGUGAUACACAGAAUUGAACAACUAGUUGAUCUUAACUACAAAUAUGCUCAAUAUGCAAAUAUGUACAUCCCAAAACAGAAUUUAAAUAAGACUCUCAAAUUUGAAAAAAAAAAAAAAAAGAAGAUAGCAAUAACUACAAUGCAAAUUGAACAACCUGGCAAUACAAUGAUACAACAUCGGUUGUAAGCAACACUAAACAGUGAUACUAUAUGAGGAAAAAGAUUGAAGUUUGAACCACACAUGAUCAAGGAAAUGAAAAUAGACAUGCCGCCAUGAUCUACAAAUCAGCAAAGGAGCAAUCACUAUCCAAAGUCCCACAACAAAUCCAAUUGUCGCACUAACAAAAAACUAAUUCACUCCAUGCCCAUGACUUCCUUCAUAACUAUGAGUUUUCCCAUUGGAGCUGCAGUUUAUGGGCAGUGGUGGACCACAUAGAUUGUUGCCAAUAAAGCUGGAGGCAUCAAAGGUUUGCAAUUGUGUUCCUGUUGGAAUUUUUCCCUUCAAAUGAUUAUAAGACACGUCUAGCAUGCUCAAAAAGCUCAAAUUAGAAAUGGUUGGAGGGAUGUCACCAGAAAUUUGAUUCCUCGAAAAAUCAAUGGUUUGUAACGAUCCCAUAUUACCAAUACCUUCUGGAAUAGGACCAAUCAAUUGGUUGUGGGACAAGUUCAAAAAGUUCAAUCCAUUUAGAUCUGUGAUUUCUCUAGGAAUUUCUCCUAAUAAUUUGUUACUUGACAGAUCAAUACUUGUUACCAAACCCAGAAUGUUUCCAUACUCAUCUCCUCUUCCUUUUAGCCAAAGUAGCACACUAACUAUACCUGAUACCGAAGAGUAUUCUGUAUUAUUUGGUGCAUGAGAAUAGAUUUGGGGAUAUGUACUCCGGUUCACUAGUGUCAUGGCACUCAAGUUACUGAAACAGCUGGGUAUAUUGCCAGACAAACUAUUUUUUGCAAGGUCUAAAACCUGAAGAAGACUCAUCUGACAUAUUUCAUUUGGAAUGUGACCGGAAAAACUGUUUGAUCGAAGGCAGAGGAUUUUCAUAUUUGAGAGCUUUUCUCCAACCCAUGUUGGAAUACAUCCUGAAAGAUUAUUUUCUCCAAGAUCCAAGGAUAUCAAUUGGCUAGUCUUCUUCAAACUGGUAGGAAAUAUUCCCGAAAGCAAGUUGUUACGAAUUUCUAAUGACUGCAGCUCAGCCAAGGAACCCAUGGAUGGGGGGAAGUUCCCAACAAAAUGGUUGCUUUGUAAAUUCACUUCCACUAGAAAUGGCCAAUUAAUCCAACAAUCAGGUAUUUCUCCUGACAGAUUAUUUGAUGCAAGAUUGAGAAAUUCUAAUUGCAUUGGCUUGUCCUGAUUGUUACAUAAAAAAUCUUGCAUGGAUUCAGAGAAUGAAUUGGUUGAAAGGUCUAAGUCAUACACAUCAUUUGAAAGAUAGGGUAAUUUACCACAUAAGUGAUUUGUGCUUAGAUCAACAGUUUGGAUAGAUAUUGGAUUUUUUAUUGUAGUCACCAGCUCACCAUGGAUAUGAUUAUGAGAGAGGUUUAAAUACAAAACCUGAGAAUGUGCUUCCCAGAACCAAGUGGGAAUAGAAUCUAAAAUCCCCGUGUUAGACAGUCCAACAUAUUGAAGUUUGUUUUGUGACUGAAUCCACGAUGGAAAGUUGGGACCUAUCUGCCAUGAUGUCACAUCCAAAUAGAUAAGUUGAAAAUUAGGAAUCCAAUGAGGACCGACUUUUAAAGUGAAAUUGUUCCCUGAUGCAUCAAACGCCUUCAAACUUGUAAGAUUUGCAAGACCAUCUUCGUUGACAACUCCUUGAAAAUUAUUGUCAUUAAUAAAAAGCGAUGACAAUUUAGAGAGUGAUCCAAGACUUUCAAAUGGAUUUCCACUGAAUUUAUUAAUAGAGAGAUCGAGAUAUGUUAAAUCUAUCUCCCUUGAGUUGCGGAGAUUUCCCAAAAAAGUCGGAAUUGUUCCUUCAAGUUGAUUAUAUGACAAAUCAAGUCCAACAAGAGAAGUCAUAUUUCCCAAAGAAGUUGGAAUGGUUCCUUCAAGUUGAUUAUGUGACAAAUCAAGUUCGACAAGAGAAGUCAAAUUUCCUAGGGCAUCAGAAAUAGUCCCAUGCAAGUUGUUGUAACUUAGGACCAGAUACUUGAGACGAUGAAGACCGUAUAAGCAAUUAGGUAUAGAAGAUGAAAAUGAAUUGAAAGACAAGUCAAGAUUUUGAAGAAGUGAGAGGUUUCGAAUACCACAAGGAAUCGGACCUUGGAUUUCAUAAUUACCAGAUAAUUCAAGAGAAACAAGUUUCUCCAAUUUGAAUAUCCACUUGGGGACAAAAGAAAUGGCAGGGGAAUAAUGAGUAUCGGAAAGAUGGAGAGUUUGCAGAGAUGAGAAGUUGAGCAAGGAUGGUUCAUUAUAGUGAGGGAGUGUGCAGUGUGACAAAUAUAGGUGGGUCAAAGAAGGAAGAGAUUGGAGAGUGUGUAGCCAAUGAAAUGCUUUGGAUAGGUUUGCAUUACUCAAAUCAAGAUAUUCAAGCUUCCACAUACUUGAUACCCAUUCUACAUUUUCAGCUAACAGAGGUUCGACAUCAGAAUAACCUCCAAGGCAAAGAUAGAGCAAAUUGGAGAGAUUCCCAAUCUGAGAUGGAAUCUUCCCAUGGAAUCGAGUAUAAGAGAGGUCGAGGUGAGUCAAGAUAUUGAAGGGAUUGCCAUACCUUUUCCAAGUAAAUAAUUGCCGCUCAAGUCAAGAUAUUCAAGCUUAGAGAGAUUCCCGAUCUGAGAGGGUACUGUUCCGUUGGCAACAUAUCUCAUGUCAAGAUACACCAAAUUUGAGAGAUUCCCAAUCUGAGGAGGAAUCUUCCCACGGAAUCCAGUAUGAGAGAGGUUGAGGUGAGUCAAGGAAGUCAUUGUCCCAAGGAAAGAAGGAAUUGACAUACCUUCUCCAAGAAAUCUAUUGCCGCUCAAGUCCAAGUAAUUCAAAUGCUUUAAAUCAGCCAAACAAGGACUUAUCUCUCCACCAAAGCUCCAUCUCUGGUAAGCUUCCCAAUCGAAGUGAUAGUUGCCAUCAUAGAAAGCAGAAGGUGAAGUGUUGAGGUGAAGCUGAAGAAGAUGGGAAGUGACGUUGUGGCAGAGGACUCCAUACCAGUGGCAACAGUUGGUAUGAUUAUGAUUCCAAGACCAAAGCCUAUUGGAAGGAUCUAUGAGAUUAUUCUUAAACUUCAAAAGUGUCUCACGCUCACUUGGGAUGCACACACUCUCUCUGCAUGGUAAGCUCAACAACNNNNNNNNNNNNNNNNNNNNNNNNNNNNNNNNNNNNNNNNNNNNNNNNNNNNNNNNNNNNNNNNNNNNNNNNNNNNNNNNNNNNNNNNNNNNNNNNNNNNNNNNNNNNNNNNNNNNNNNNNNNNNNNNNNNNNNNNNNNNNNNNNNNNNNNNNNNNNNNNNNNNNNNNNNNNNNNNNNNNNNNNNNNNNNNNNNNNNNNNNNNNNNNNNNNNNNNNNNNNNNNNNNNNNNNNNNNNNNNNNNNNNNNNNNNNNNNNNNNNNNNNNNNNNNNNNNNNNNNNNNNNNNNNNNNNNNNNNNNNNNNNNNNNNNNNNNNNNNNNNNNNNNNNNNNNNNNNNNNNNNNNNNNNNNNNNNNNNNNNNNNNNNNNNNNNNNNNNNNNNNNNNNNNNNNNNNNNNNNNNNNNNNNNNNNNNNNNNNNNNNNNNNNNNNNNNNNNNNNNNNNNNNNNNNNNNNNNNNNNNNNNNNNNNNNNNNNNNNNNNNNNNNNNNNNNNNNNNNNNNNNNNNNNNNNNNNNNNNNNNNNNNNNNNNNNNNNNNNNNNNNNNNNNNNGGUUCUGCAUAUAAAUCAUCAAACUUCUAUUUUUUAUACUGCUGCCCUGCCUGUUUUUUUCUUCACUUUCAUUAUUUUUUACCUUUUUUAUUAUUGUGCCAAAUACUAAAAUAUUCUUCCAUUCUUUUUUUACGCUGGCCUCUUUAAAUUAUCGAUUUAAUUAUCCAAUUCUCCCGAAUUAAUUCUUAGAAUACGAAUUUUUUUGUAUUUACUGUAUCUAUCUCCCUUUUUAAAAUUCCUAUAUACACUAAAUUCUUUUAGGUACAGUUUUUUUUUACAAAAAUAAAUAAGAAUUAUUUUAUUUUAAUUUACUCUAUAAUACUGCUUAAGUGAAAAUUUGGUGUCAUUAAACUUCAAAUUUUAACUAUUAUUUAAUCAAUCUUUCCGUUAAACUUUUGUUACGUACAGAAGUCCAGCAUUUUUUUAAGAAAAACAUCAAGUCUUUUAUUUCAUCAAAUUUAAUAUUAAAUUAUCAAAUUUUCAAUAUUCAAACUAAAAAUAAUGUAAAAGAAAAUUGUCUUCUAAAUCAUAGCUUACACCAUCAAGUCAAUCUCAAGGUUUUCCAUUUUUUCAUCUUGAACCUUUGGACACUCCACAAAGUCCAGCCAUGAUGUUAAGGUCUGACUUCUUCAACUUGAACCAUAGGUCACUGCAUUACCUUCAUAUCAAGUUCCCUGUCAUUGACAACAAAUGUUGCGAGUUAAGUCAAGCAAGGAAAAAAAAUAUUAUUGAUGAAUAAAUCAAUUAUAGGAAAAGAGUUUACUUUAAAGACUAUUUUGGUUAAAAAAUCUAUAAAAAAAAUUAUUUCAUUCCAAGCUAGCUAUUUAAUUUUGAUCAAUUUUUCAAUUCACAAAAUAAUAUUCUUCUUAUAUGUGAAAAAGACCAAUUAAUCUUCAUUGUCAUUAAUGAUUGUUGUGUUGUCUAUUUCUAAUUGUUUUUUUAAUCAUAAUAUUAUUUUCUUUUUAUUAAAAAUUAAUUAGUGAGAUACAAAGAAGUUUAACUUGAUCUAUCAUAAUUAUUGAGAUCAUAGUUUUUCCUUUUAUAAGUCUUGGUCCAAAUUUCUCCAUGUAUUGUAAAUCAUAUUUAACUUAAAAAGUAAAUUAGAAGAUCUACAAAGAAGUGUGACAUGUUUUUUAAAUUAUAAAAUUAUGGUCCUAGCUAUUUAUUGUUAGACCACAAGUUUUCAUAUAUUAAAGUUUUUGUCUAAAUUUCAUUUAUGGUGAUAGUUUAAGAAUAGUGAUAGAAGACAAAAAUAAAUAUUCAAUUUAUUGAAAUAUCAUACUCAAUUAAUUGAUGAAUACAUCAAUUAUAGGAAAAUGGUGUACUUUAAAGACUAUUUCUAUUAAAAAAUCUAUAAAAAAAUUAUUUCCUUCCAAUCUAAUUAUUUAAUUUUAAUCAAUUUUUCAGUUCACAAAAUAAUAUUCUCUUAUAUAUGAAAAAAAGACUAGAUUUAAUUAUCAUCAAUUGGAAAAGUUAUUGUGUCAUGUAUUUAUAAUUGUAUUCUAACUUGAAUAUUAUUUUAUUUAUCAUAUAAAAAUUAAUUAGUUAUAUAAAAGAAGUAAAAAGAAUAUUAACUUUUUUCUCAAAAAAAAAUCAGUAUCAUAUUUUAUAUGUUUUACAAGUUAUCAACUUAAAUAAGAGGAGAAACAUAAUUUUAAUUUCCAUUUUACUUUUUAAAUAAUUGCAAGUGCCAAAUUUAAAUAAUCAUGAGAAUACUCACGUUCAACAUAAUAUUCUCAAAAAAAAAUCCAUACGAUAACUUAAACCAUCUAUAAAGAAAUAUAAUUUAUUCUUGUACCAAAUACUAAAACAAGAAACAUUUUUUUAUUUUAGUUUACCGUAUAGAAUUGUUUAAAUCAAUGAAAUUUUUAUUUUAAGAAAAUAUUAAUGAUUUUUUUAAAACUUUAAGUAAUUUACAUCAAAGAUAAUUAAAUUUGGCUUAAUUAGUCUUCAAAUUUUAACUAUUCUUUAAAUCAAUCCUUUCGUUAAACCCUGUACGUGUUAAGUAAACAACAAAAAGUCUUGUCUUAUAAAAUUCAAACAUUCUAUUACAUGCGGUUUGAACCCAUGAUUAAUUUUAAACUAUCAAAUUUUAAUUAUUCAAAAUAAAAGAAAUGAAAACAAAAUUGUCUCCUAGACAAACCACUGGCCACUCCACCAAAUCCAUAUCAAGGUCCCCACUUUUCCAACUUGAACCAUAGACUACUCCAUCAAGUCUAUGUCAAGGUCCUCCACAUGCAAUGUUAUAUGAUGUGAUUUUUUUCCCAUUCAAUGUUAUAUUUAGCUACACAUCAAAAUUAAUUUUAUACAAAAAAAUUUGCAUAUAGGUUGUUUUUAGUGAAUCAAAUUCUUUUUUAAUUCAAAUAGGGACAUUAGUUUUCGUAUCCGUUAAGAAUAAUUGAUACCUAAUUUAAAUAAUUGUAUUAAAUUCUAAUUAUAAAAAAAAUUCCGUAUUCAUUAUCAUAAAAAUAUUUAACAAUUUAAUCAUUAAUUUCGUAUUAUAAUUGAUACUUGACAACUAAUAUUUAUUGCACUUAAUUUCAUUUGAUAAUAACUGAUAUUUCUUCAAUCGCGUAUCAUUUGUGGCAAAACGAACAUCCAAUAUCAUUGGAGAACAAUGUUGAUGUAACGAUUAAUUCAUUGAGAAUCACAUGAAUGCAUUAAAUUCAGGAUAUUAAAUUUACAAAUAAUUUUAUGUUUUUCAAUUAUAUUUUAACAAUAAUUAAGAAAUAAAUCUAAAUCGUUCUACAUUUACAUUUGUUUAUAGGUAUUUGGGAUAUUGGAGAUGCUAUAUGCGAAUCUAAAUUUUGCUUAACACAAAAAUGUGGUAUNNNNNNNNNNNNNNNNNNNNNNNNNNNNNNNNNNNNNNNNNNNNNNNNNNNNNNNNNNNNNNNNNNNNNNNNNNNNNNNNNNNNNNNNNNNNNNNNNNNNNNNNNNNNNNNNNNNNNNNNNNNNNNNNNNNNNNNNNNNNNNNNNNNNNNNNNNNNNNNNNNNNNNNNNNNNNNNNNNNNNNNNNNNNNNNNNNNNNNNNNNNNNNNNNNNNNNNNNNNNNNNNNNNNNNNNNNNNNNNNNNNNNNNNNNNNNNNNNNNNNNNNNNNNNNNNNNNNNNNNNNNNNNNNNNNNNNNNNNNNNNNNNNNNNNNNNNNNNNNNNNNNNNNNNNNNNNNNNNNNNNNNNNNNNNNNNNNNNNNNNNNNNNNNNNNNNNNNNNNNNNNNNNNNNNNNNNNNNNNNNNNNNNNNNNNNNNNNNNNNNNNNNNNNNNNNNNNNNNNNNNNNNNNNNNNNNNNNNNNNNNNNNNNNNNNNNNNNNNNNNNNNNNNNNNNNNNNNNNNNNNNNNNNNNNNNNNNNNNNNNNNNNNNNNNNNNNNNNNNNNNNNNNNNNNNNNNNNNNNNNNNNNNNNNNNNNNNNNNNNNNNNNNNNNNNNNNNNNNNNNNNNNNNNNNNNNNNNNNNNNNNNNNNNNNNNNNNNNNNNNNNNNNNNNNNNNNNNNNNNNNNNNNNNNNNNNNNNNNNNNNNNNNNNNNNNNNNNNNNNNNNNNNNNNNNNNNNNNNNNNNNNNNNNNNNNNNNNNNNNNNNNNNNNNNNNNNNNNNNNNNNNNNNNNNNNNNNNNNNNNNNNNNNNNNNNNNNNNNNNNNNNNNNNNNNNNNNNNNNNNNNNNNNNNNNNNNNNNNNNNNNNNNNNNNNNNNNNNNNNNNNNNNNNNNNNNNNNNNNNNNNNNNNNNNNNNNNNNNNNNNNNNNNNNNNNNNNNNNNNNNNNNNNNNNNNNNNNNNNNNNNNNNNNNNNNNNNNNNNNNNNNNNNNNNNNNNNNNNNNNNNNNNNNNNNNNNNNNNNNNNNNNNNNNNNNNNNNNNNNNNNNNNNNNNNNNNNNNNNNNNNNNNNNNNNNNNNNNNNNNNNNNNNNNNNNNNNNNNNNNNNNNNNNNNNNNNNNNNNNNNNNNNNNNNNNNNNNNNNNNNNNNNNNNNNNNNNNNNNNNNNNNNNNNNNNNNNNNNNNNNNNNNNNNNNNNNNNNNNNNNNNNNNNNNNNNNNNNNNNNNNNNNNNNNNNNNNNNNNNNNNNNNNNNNNNNNNNNNNNNNNNNNNNNNNNNNNNNNNNNNNNNNNNNNNNNNNNNNNNNNNNNNNNNNNNNNNNNNNNNNNNNNNNNNNNNNNNNNNNNNNNNNNNNNNNNNNNNNNNNNNNNNNNNNNNNNNNNNNNNNNNNNNNNNNNNNNNNUAAUUAUAAAAAAAAUCCGUAUCAUAUCAUAAAAUAUUUAACAAUUUAAUCAUUAAUUUCGUAUUAUAAUUGAUACUUGACAACUAAUAUUUAUUGCACUUAAUUUCAUUUGAUAAUAACUGAUAUUUCUUCAAUCGCGUAUCAUUUGUGGCAAAACGAACAUCCAAUAUCAUUGGAGAACAAUGUUGAUGUAACGAUUAAUUCAUUGAGAAUCACAUGAAUGCAUUAAAUUCAGGAUAUUAAAUUUACAAAUAAUUUUAUGUUUUUCAAUUAUAUUUUAACAAUAAUUAAGAAAUAAAUCUAAAUCGUUCUACAUUUACAUUUGUUUAUAGGUAUUUGGGAUAUUGGAGAUGCUAUAUGCGAAUCUAAAUUUUGCUUAACACAAAAAUGUGGUAUGCAAGGAAAAAUCACAUUGAAAUAUUUUUAUCUGCCACUCCAAAUUUUAAAAGAUUUGUUUCAAAAUAAGGAUAUGAAGAACAAAUUAUUGAUUUUAGAGAACAUUUCCUCCAUGAUGUUUUCCUUUCCUUUAGGUGAAAAACAAAAAGACAUUUCCAAAAAUAAUGAAAGUGCAUCUUAUAUAAUGUUGUUUAUAUAGAGAAGUCUUUGAAAAUAUAAGUCAAGUACUAUUACAACAAACUAUUCUGUAUCAUAUAUCUCUUAUAUAUUUUCAUAUAAAACAUUUAUUAAUUUUUUAUUUAUUUCUUAGUAACAUGUACAUGAAAGUCAAACCAAACCGAAUCGAGGAUUUAUGUGGCAUUUAACUUUUAUCACUUUUUGCCCUAAAAGAUCACACUCUAAUCAUGUACCAAAAUUUUGUGGCGUACAAGAAAACUCUUCUAUUUGGGAACAGUCGAUCUUUAAUUGAACCUCUUUUGGCAAAUGGAACUAGCUUUGGUGUUUUGAAAAUCUCACUCACAUAUUUCCAAAUGUUACAAAAGAAUUUGAUUCAGUGGUUUUUACGAAUUCCUUGCUAGCCUUUUUUACCAAGUCAGGGAAUUUGCAUUGUUGUGCAUGAUGGCUGCCACAAGGACCCUUGUACCAACCCAUUAGUGCAAGGGGUUUUUUCUUAUGAGAAUUGAGAAAAAAAUUAUAUAUGUGUUUUAUUAAGGGAAUUCUAUUAUUUUUAAUUUUGAACUUGUAAUGUUUUUUGUUUCCCUCACAGAACAAGUGAUGAAACUCUUGAUCGACGCCAUACGUACGCCUACUUUGAUGCUCUUUUUUCACACCACUUUUAUCUUAAUGGUAUCUCAAGUUGACAAUCAUAAAUUAAAAUAGCUAACUAUAGUUGAUUAGUAGAGACAAACAGCUCAAAGAUAAAGAUCUUUAAGCCAUCAUUUUUUUUUCCUUUUCUUUUCUAUGAACUGUCAUUUCUUAUCUCUACAUGGAAUGUCUAGAAGUUGAAAAUUAUUUGAGCUUUCUUUACCUACUGCUUUCCAUUUUGGCGAACUGCUUUUCUUUCUCAUAAUGAACUUUCCACUUCCAAUGAUGGUUGAACAUUAAUAAUUCUUCAUCUAUUUUGUCUAAAAAUUUCAACUCACUUUUUGUGAGUGGUGUGAAUGUCAUGCAGACAAAUGAUAUCCAAGCUCCACUAUUUCCUUUCAUUGCAAGUUGUAAGCAGAAUGUAGAAUGUACGUAUAAUAAAAUAAUGAGAAUGGCAACUGCUAGUACUACUUAAUUAGAACAAAAGUAUCAAAAUUAAAACGAAAAUAACUUUGAUGCUGUUAAUAUAUGAGUUUAAUUUUGAUAGAUAGUGUAAAAUUUUAAAUUGUUAAUUAAUUAGUAAUCACCAAAUGAUUUGUAAAACAAUUACUAAAAAAGUUAUAGGAAAUAUAUAUAAUUAAUUAAUUGCAAAUGAAAGUGUAUUUAAAUUAAAUUCUUAAUUAACAUAUCCUUAUUGUGAUAUUUUGUAUAUUUUUUAUUUAAUUGAGACAGUGGAAUGAGAUCGCACUAUAAUUUUCAUCACGGGUGUGGUUGUCUAAUAUAAUAGGGAUGGNNNNNNNNNNNNNNNNNNNNNNNNNNNNNNNNNNNNNNNNNNNNNNNNNNNNNNNNNNNNNNNNNNNNNNNNNNNNNNNNNNNNNNNNNNNNNNNNNNNNCAGUGGAAUGAGAUCGCACUAUAAUUUUCAUCACGGGUGUGGUUGUCUAAUAUAAUAGGGAUGGUUGGUGAGGAAUUUUGGAAUGUUAGUUGGUUUUAGACUAUAUAUCCUCUUGUUCAGUUUUCACAUUCUCAUUAGAGUUAAGUUGCUUUUGGGGAAGAACUAAUGUCUUGAAAUUCCCUCUUCACCAGAAGCAGUUUUAUUGUGUCUUUAUCGAAGUCAUCUUCUCCAGAGACUUGCCUUUAACUUUGAAGAUAGGAAAUAGAUCAGUCAAACAUUGUUUCAGUUUAUUUGGAUUUUUUUUUAAGGACAUGUGAUUUUCAAAGACUUGUUACAACUCACAACCUUUGGAAUUUCUCUAUGCCUGGUUAACCCACAAUUUCGGCGCCUGUUGCGGUUAGGAACAUAGGCUAGCAAAAACACUAAUCGUUUCAAGAGAAAUGUUAACACACUUUUCUAAUAUAUUAUUUUUUAUUUUAAAAUUUAUUAAAAUAAAAAAAUUCAGCUGAUCUCAUAUUUAAUUUAGCAAAUUUUUCUCAUAUAUUAAGUCUUAGGUUUUUAAAAUUAUAAAGCUAAAACUAAAAUGUUUUACUAAAUGUAUUUUAAAGUAAAUUUUAUACACAAAAAUAUUAUGAUUUUAUAAAAAUUGUUUGGUCAAGGGAGACAUAUUGAGCCCUCCUAACUAUAAGCUACCCUGAGGGUUUCUAUCUUUUUUUUUCCCACUUAAUUUUUGACUUUGGCAGCAAGGGUUAAACCUACCACAUCUACAUGACUAUGUCUUACUUUCCAAUAAGUUACACCUAAAUAGCUAACAUAUUCCUCUUGCUCACGCACACUAUCUUUCGUAAACUUUUCACGAUCAUCUUUAUAUUAUCAAAUUCAUUUAAUUAAAUAUACAAUUAUCUUAAUAUUAUAAGCAACUCUCUGUAUAAUCAUGUAGUGUUUCUAAAUUGAAUGAGCCUAAAUCACACACUCCUGAAAAAAGGAUAAAAACAUAUUUAAUUUCAUUUAGUGUUUAAUAGUGUUUUGGUCUAUUUUUUUUGUUUUUUUAUAGUUAUUUCUUUUCAAAUUUGAUGACAACAUUGUCAUUGGGUCCUUCUACCCUUCACAUCAGCAAAUUGGACACUAAAGAGACUCGGUCAGAAACAAAUAACUACUAGGGGUACAAUAACAUGAGAGGAUUUAACACUUUUGGAGUAGGAAAAUGUACUUUAAGAAAAGAACCACGAGAAAUAGUAUAUAACUCUUUAGUGGACAAUUGGUGUUGUACAAAAUUGAAAUGAUCCAGACUAAGUCAACAAACUGGUCUUCUUCAUUGAACUCACAGUGAAACCACAGAAUUUAUUUUCAUCUACUAGUUUCCUUCCCAAUUCCCAUGUUUUCUAAAACAUAACACACUACAGAACCUUCUAAUAAAUUAAAACAAAAAAACCAAUAUUUUACAUGUAGCACCACAACCUAACAAUUUCUACCUACAACUUUUUCUAUAGACUAUAAUAUAAUCUAUCUCCACUCAUUCAUUCAUCAAGAUUGAGAAAUGGAUUCAAAUGUUUGUCUACCACACUUGCUAGUGUUAGCAAUAACAUUGGUAUUGGUUAGUCACGCAAUGGGAGAUUCAGCUCAAGACAAACAGAGAUGUGCAGAAUCCCUGACAGGUGUUGCAACGUGUCUGCCAUAUUCUCAAAGAUUGUUGCAGUGGUCUCACACAAGCCAUGAAGACCAACAAGAAGUGUGUCUGCCUUAUUCUCAAAGACAGGGAUGAUCCUGAUCUUGGCUUGAAGACUAACAUGACAAUUGCUGUUGGUCUCCCUUCUCUUUGCAAAACACCUGAUAAUCUCUCACAGUGUUCUGGUACGUUCAAUUUCUAAUUAAGCCUUCCUUUUUCUUAAAGAACACUACACUACAGUGUUAUGUUUCCAUUUUCUAUGCAAUGAAUGAUCUAUCAGUCUUGUUAGUUGUCAUAUAACAACUUAUGUUUUUACAUUCAGUUGAAGGAAGUUCCCAGAAGGAACAGAUGAAACGGCCUCAGCUAAGAAUAGUGAAUCUUAUAUCGGGAAGAGAUUCUUAGAAAGUUUGGUUGCAGUUGCAGGGCUUCUAAUUUGGCUUUCAUGAGCUUAACUCAUAUACUACCUAUAUAUUACCAUUUUCAUAUCACGUUGAACUGUAAACCAUUGAUUAGUUGAUACUGUAAAAAAUAUCUACACUCUUGAGUGUACUAAAUCUCUGACCGACUCCCCAUAGAUCUUAUUGCAAACNNNNNNNNNNNNNNNNNNNNNNNNNNNNNNNNNNNNNNNNNNNNNNNNNNNNNNNNNNNNNNNNNNNNNNNNNNNNNNNNNNNNNNNNNNNNNNNNNNNNNNNNNNNNNNNNNNNNNNNNNNNNNNNNNNNNNNNNNNNNNNNNNNNNNNNNNNNNNNNNNNNNNNNNNNNNNNNNNNNNNNNNNNNNNNNNNNNNNNNNNNNNNNNNNNNNNNNNNNNNNNNNNNNNNNNNNNNNNNNNNNNNNNNNNNNNNNNNNNNNNNNNNNNNNNNNNNNNNNNNNNNNNNNNNNNNNNNNNNNNNNNNNNNNNNNNNNNNNNNNNNNNNNNNNNNNNNNNNNNNNNNNNNNNNNNNNNNNNNNNNNNNNNNNNNNNNNNNNNNNNNNNNNNNNNNNNNNNNNNNNNNNNNNNNNNNNNNNNNNNNNNNNNNNNNNNNNNNNNNNNNNNNNNNNNNNNNNNNNNNNNNNNNNUAUUAAUUUUUUUAUUUAUUUCUUAGUAACAUGUACAUGAAAGUCAAUCCAAACCGAAUCGAGGAUUUAUGUGGCAUUUAACUUUUAUCACUUUCUGCCCUCAAAGAUCACACUCUAAUCAUGUACCAACAUUUUGUGGUGUACAAGAAAACUCUUCUAUUUGAGAACAGACGAUUUUUAUUUGAACCUCUUUUGGUAAAUGGAACUAGCUUUGGAUUACCAUGUGACAAAAAACUACUUUCCAAACUUUGGAUUAACCAAAUCUGAAAAGCGUUUCGUGUAAUAUUGGCUACGCAUGACUAAUUAACUUCUGAAACGGUCAGCUACUUCAUAACCUUUUGAUGUCAUUCUCCCCAACAAAAAACAAUUGCAACUUGUUACCUAGCAACAGCUUGAAUUGCUUGCUUUCUCACGCACUUAGUGACCCUAGAUGCUUGUGAAAUAAAUUGUUAUAACCUUCACUGUUUUUCAUCAAUAUUACCAAAAUUUCCUUAAAGUGUUCAAUAUUUCGUAAUCUUCAUAAUUAAUUCAAAAUUCUCAAAAGAUUAGUAUAUGACCUUUUUUCUUGUUUGUACUAGGAGAGGAAUAAAUGACAAAAAUUCAGAAAUUUGUGGAUUGCAAUUUGCUCAAAUGAUGUGUCUAUUAGUUCUUUGAAAUUUGUAUUGGUCAUAUUUAUUUUUACCUUUUAAUAGAUAUAUUGUGCUGUCAUCCCAAGAGAAGGAUCAAACAUUGAUGAUGCAGAGGUGCUAAGAUAUUGCAAGAAGAAUCUUGCAUCUUUCAAAGUCCCUGAAAAGGUCUUCAUUACUGAUUCUUUGCACAAGACUGCCACCGGAAAGAUUUUGCGUCGUCUUGUGGCAGAACACAUUGUCUCUCAAAUUUGAGCAACUGAUCAAGUCCUACUUUUGAAGCCUCCAUACCUGGCCAUACAUAGUUGGAGUCCACACACCAUAAAUUUCAACAAUAAUUUGGCAACUUGGCAUUUAAGAGGAGGGUAAUUCUGCAAAUGGUCUUUCAUUCAGGAUACAAUAGAUUGUAGUUUUCAAUGAUUCACGUGAAAUGUUCACAAUGUAAUGUUUUCAAUGUUUUAUAGGUCUUAAAUACCAAUAGCAGACAAGAUCAUGCUUAUGCUUUUUUGCUAUCGUGCUCCUGUUCCUUGCCACUGGUCUUGAUGAAGCCAAGCAUUGUCUCUUUGCCUUUUAAGUUGUACAUAGUUGCAAAACGGGUACAUGUGAAAGAAUCAUGCUUAUUAAAGGUAAGGUUGAUUUUAAAGUGGGCAUGCAAGAAUGCAUUCAUUAUCUCAAGUAAAUAAAUUCAAGCGAAUAUGUGAUUUGGAUUAGAGAAUAGUAUUAUCCAGUGCACACUAAAUUGGAGAGAUUCCCAACAUGUGGUUUCAAAACUAAAAGAACUUACCAACUAUUUGAAUUUUAAUCCACGUGAUCUAGCUAAUGUUUUCUAUCAGAGAAUUACAACUAGUUGAUCUUAAGUACAAAACUAUACUAAAUAUGCAAAUCUUUACAUCUAAAAACAGAAUUUAAAUAAGGCUCUCAAAUUUGAAGAAAAAAACGAAGAUAGCAAUGACUAAAAAUUGAUCAAUCUGCCAAUACAAUGAUAAAACAUCGGUUUAUUCUAAGCAACACUAAAAAGUGAUACUACAUGAGCAAAAAGAUUGAAAUUAUUGACCAUGCAGUAUGAAUGUACAGCAUUAUUUAUUUAAUUUUUCUAAUACAAUUUUAUUUUAUAUUAAUACACUAUAUCAUUAUGACAUCAACCCCCAACAUGAGUGGCCCAGUGGACAAGCCCAUCAAUCUAACAUGUCGGUUGAUAGCACUUGCAUAAACUUUUGUUCCUUGCAUCAUCUCAUGUGUCUCCAUUCUCCAUUCUCUGCUUCCACUAACGAUUAAACCUUAUUGAUUAGGGUUCAAUGAUUUUUCAAUGAAUAAAAUUAAUUUUAAAUUCUGAUUCUAACAGCUCACGUAUAGUCUGUUGAAUCAAAUGGAAUAGAAUCUUGAUAUCAUAAAGAAAAUUAAAAUUUGAUUCUUUGUGUAAAAUAAAGAAAUCUAAUUAAUUAUGCUUGUUAUGUUACUAUAUAUAUCAUUUUUCCGGUGUGGAGUAACAUCAAAAUCAAAGUAACAUAGUUACUUGCAUGUUACUCUAACCAUAAUUCUAGAUAAGUCGAAUAUGGUUUCAUGUUUUGUAAAACAAUUUAGAUCCCCUUUAUCAAAGUGUAUCUGUCUUUUACACAAGUUUUUUCACUUUAUUUUAUUUCCCCCAGAAUCAAUUGUUGUGUUAUUCAUACUAUUAAAUUAGUCUGAUAACUACCAUGUCGAUCAUUGUUAGUUUUGUUUCCACCAUUGUUCGGAGUACGUAUAUACUAUUACUUUAUGAUUAAACGUGUUACUUAAAUUGCAGAUAAAAACUCUUUAUAAUGAAGUACAAUUGUUUAUAACUACAACAAUUAUAUUGAGUCAAUUUAACACUCAUCAAAGGCAGAAAAGCUUUACUUUAAGAUUAGACAGAGGCUCAUACCAAUCAUGGCGGUGGUUAUAAUUACACACAUCAGCAACUGUAAAAGAUCUUGCACAGCCACAGAAAAAAAAAAUGCUUGAUGCACAUCUGAUAAACUCACUCAAGGUCUAUGUAUUAAUAGUGUAAAAGAGAGACUGAAUAUUAAAUGAUAAAAAUAUAAAAUAAUUGUUUUGUAUUGGCAGAGUACACAUAUAUAUGCCCAAAUGUAGAUUCAAAGUUCAAACAUUUUGGGCCUAGAUCAUCCCUCAUAGUCAUAGCCAUCUGAAUUGGAUCGACCCCACCCCAAGGUUUGUGUUGCAUCACUUGCAUGCAUUCACCCACCACAGUUGUUGUUAUAGUUUUCUCGUGAUUUUUGUAUUGGAAAAUACUAUGGACAAAUAUAAUUGAUACAGUCAUAAUUAGUUAUUGUCAUGUUGCAAUUACAAAGACUCCUCAAAGAAAAUGUUUAGUAAAUCAUGAUCAAGUAGAAAUUGCAAUGGCAAACUGUUUUUUAAAAUCUUAUUAGUCAGUUGUAUAAACCCAAAUUUAGUUAUAUCCAGGUAUGUAAUAUUUGCCAUUUUAGUGCUCUGUUUGGAAAUUUGCGUGUCGAAUUGUUUUUUUUAUACGUACCUACACAACACUCUUUAGCAAAUACCACUGUUCAUGGAGGAAUCUUUCCUGAAAGGAGUAUAGAACCAGAAACAAUAUGCGUGGUGGUAUCUAUCAUCUGUAAAAGAGAAAAAGUGGGAUACGUACAAUAGUAGGACUGUGACACUAGGGGUAGAAAUGAGCCGAGUAACUUGUCGAGGGCCUUUGGCUCGGCCUAUGUGAGGCUCGGCUCGGCUUAUUUACUAUAAAGGUUAAGCUCAAGCUUUUGAAAAAGUCUUUUUAGAUUAAAAGGCCAAGCCCAAACUAUAAAAAAAAAACUUGUUAAGCUUGACAAGCCGGCUUAUUUAACUACUACUACUACUAAUAAUAAUAAUAAUAAUAAUAAUAACUUUAUUUUAUCAAAUCUUAUCUUAUCCAGAUUUUAUUCCAUCUAGAUUUUAUUUCGUCCAGAUUUUAUUUCAUCCAAUCUUAUCUUAACUUGUCCAGAUUUUAUUUUAUUUCGUUUGUGGGCUUGGACUUAAAAUAGAUUUGUGAGCAUUGGGGCUGAGGACCUAUAUAACAGCACCAAGGUUUUAGUUUAGGGAGUUUUUUUUCGGAUAGGAGAAUAAUUCUAGGAUUUUAGAAUUCCAGUUUUUAUUACUGUUCAUGUACACUGUUCAUGUGGAAUAGAAUUCGUUUUCUGCAAUUUCGUUUCGACUUCAAUCUACAGUUUCAUUUCUACUAAUUAAUGGAAGGCUAAGUCUCUAGCAUUGUUUUCUCUUGAAGAUCAAGCAAAACUCUCUUUGAGGUUUUGUUAUUACUAUUGAAUACUAAUCAGUUUUUCCUCUUCACCCAUCACUUUGUAUUUGUUGCUAUUAAUCCAUGCAUGCUUAGUGCUUGAUUAAUUGUCUCUGCGCUUAAUUUAUGUUCAUGCUUAAUGAUCAGUUUCGUUCAUGAUUAAUUAGUGUAUGUGUUGUUUAAUCACAUAAUGACAACCUUAUGUUAAUUUUCGCUUAGUAAUUUAAUUUAGGGUUGGAUUAAGUAGUUGAACUGAUUAAGGAUAAAUUCUCGUAACCUAGGAUAAAAGACUUGCUUGUGAAUCAAGGGGAAACAUGUUUUAAUUAUGUUAUUUUCUAAUUCAAAUUUGCUUGUUGUUUAAUUUACAAAAACAAACAACCCCCCAAUUCGUUACUGUUUUAUUAUUAUCUGUUAUAAACGUUUGGUUGACCAUUGCUCGUUGGGAGACGACCUAGGAUCACUUCCUAGAUAUUGCAUUUUUAAUGUUUAUUUGAUUCGGGUAUGGCCUCGAUCAAUAGUAUAUAAGAUAUGACUUGAGUAGACUAAGAUGAAAUUAUUGUAGAUAUAUUUUUUAAAAAAAUAUUUAAUAUAAUUAUAUAUUCAAAAAUUGGAUUAAAAAUUGUUAAUUUAACUAAUAAUAAUUUUUGUUUGGCUAUAUUAGUGUAAAUCAUCUCUAAUCCAUACAUUUUUUAAUAUUAUGCUCUUUUUAUUUUCUUUUUAUAUACUUUGUGCUUUAACGACUUGAAUUCAAUAUGAUUUUGUUUAUCAAUUAUUUUUGGAUUUGUACAUUACUUAUACGAAAUUUUACAAGUUUUUUUUAGUUAGUAUUUCACUAGGUUUUAAAAUAAUUAAUUAAUCAAAGACGUCUUUAAGCAAACUUUUAAAUAGACUCGUGGGCUAAGCCAGACAUUUAUGUAAGCCGAGCCGAGCCUAAAAAAAAGCCUAUGACAGAUAAUGAGUCGAGUUCAAACCUUACGUAUUCAACUCAAGCCGAACUCAAGCCUAAUAAAGCUUGGCUUGGCUUGACUCAUUUUCACCCUAUGUGACACUACUAGAAAAAUCUAUGCACCUUUCAAGUCCCUAAAUUUAUGAACAAAAGAUUCAGGUGUCGUUUAUUGAAUUUGUUUUAUAUGGAGUGUAAAGUCAUAUCCAAUACUAAUAAGUGUAUGUUUAUAUAAUUCUUUUUAAAAUAAUUACUCUUCUUUAUUUACAUCUAAUAAAAAUGUUAUCACAUUAAUUCUUAAAAUAAGCUAAAUGAAGCAUGUUUCAUAAGAAAUUAACUUUUACUGUAAUUGUUACAUUUUUUAGUGACAAAGGGAGAUGGGUGAAGACGGUGAAGGAAAAAAAAAUGAAGAUAAUGUCUAUGUUGUUCAAAUAACAGUAUUAAUAGUAUUAAAAUAGUUAAUAUUAAAAAAUAAAUUAGUAAAUAUAACAACAAAUUGUUGUGUUGGUGCUAUUUAUUGUGCAUCAAAAUAUGUAAAAAUAAUAGUUAACUUGUAAUUCGUAUAGUUGGUAUGGGAUGUUUUAUCUAUCCUUGAUUUUGUUAUAUCACACAUAUAAUCAUUUAUAUAUAUAUGGGCUACUAUUGUCACUGCCAAAAAUGCUAUUGAGACUACCAAAGCAUUUGAAAUUACUUGGUUAUCCUUAGUUCCAUUUCCCCACACCUCCUAUCCUUCCCCUCUUUACGUUCAGCUACUCUCCCUCUUUACAUCCAAAAACAGAAUUUAAAUAAGGCUCUCAAAUUUGAAAAAAAGAAGAAGAUAGCAAUGACUACAAAUUGAUCAACCUGCCAAUAAUAAAACUUCGGAGUAUUCUAAGCAACACUAAACAGUGAUGCUACCUAAGCGAAAAGAUUGAAGUUUGAACCACACAUGAUCAAGGAAAUGAAAAUAGGCAUACCGCCAUGAUCUACAAAUCAGCAAAGGAGCAAUCACUAUCCAGAAUCCCACAAUAAAUCCAAUUGUCAUACUGACAAAAAACCAAUUCACUCCAUGCCCAUCACUUCCUUCAUAACUAUGGGUUUUCCCAUUGGAGCUGCAGUUUAUGGGCAGUGGUGGACCACAUAGAUUGUUGCCGAUGAAGCUGGAGGCAUCAAAGGUUUGCAAUUGAGUUCCUGUUGGAAUAUUUCCCUUCAAAUGAUUGUAAGACAAGUCUAGCAUGCUCAGAAAGCUCAAAUUUGCAAUGGUUGGAGGGAUUUCACCAGAAAGUUGAUUCCUCGAAAAAUCAAUGGACUGUAAUGAUCUCAUAUUACCUAUACCUUGUGGAAUAUGACCAAUCAAUUGGUUGUGGGACAUGUUUAAAAAAUUCAAUCCAUUUAGAUAUGUGAUUUCUCUUGGUAUUUCCCCUAAUAACUUGUUACUUGACAGAUCAAUGCUUGUUACCAAACCCAGAAAGUUUCUGUACUCAUCUCCUCUUCCUUUCAGCCAUAGUAGCACACUAACUAUACUAACUCUGGAAGAGUAAUCUGGACUCCAAGGAGCUACAGAAUAGAUACGAGGAUCUGUACUUUGGUUCAUUAGUGUCAUGGCACUCAAGUUACUGAAACAGCUCGGUAUAUUGCCAGACAGAUUGUUUCGUGCAAGGUCUAAAACCUGAAGAUGACUCAUCUGGCAUAUUUCAUUUGGAAUGUGGCCGGCAAAAUUGUUUGAUCGAAGGCGAAGGAUUUUCACAUUUAAGAGGUUUUCUCUAACCCAUGUUGGAAUAGUUCCUGAAAGAUUAUUUUCCCCAAGGUCCAAGGAUAUCAAUUGGUUAUUCUUCUUCAAACUGGUUGGAAAUAUUCCUGAGAGUGUGUUGUUACGAAUUUGUAAAGACUGCAGGUCCAAGGAACCCAUGGAUUGGGGUAAGUUCCCAACAAAAUGGUUGCUUUGUAAAUUUACAUCCACAAGAGAUGUCCAAUUCAUCCAGCAAUCAGGUAUCUCUCCUGACAAAUUAUUUGAUGCAAGAUUCAGAAAUUCUAAUUGCAUUGGCUCGUCCUGAUCGUUACAUAAAAAGUCAUUCAUGGAUUCAGAGAAUGAAUUGCUUGAAAGAUCUAACUGAAGCACAUCACUUGAAAGAUAGGGUAAUUUACCAAACAAGUGAUUUGAGCUUAGAUCAAUAGUUGGGACAGAUAUUGGAUUCUUUAAUGUAGUCCCAAUCUCACCAUGGAUAUGAUUACGAGAGAGGCUUAAAUACAAAACCUGAGAAAGUGCUUCCCACAUCUGUGUGGGAAUAGAAUCGAAAAUCCCCGUGUUAGAUAGUCCAACAUAUUGAAGUUGGUUUUGUGACUGAAUCCACAAUGGAAAGCUGGGACCUAACUGCCAUGAUGUCACUUCCAAAUAGGUAAGUUGAAAAUUAGGAAUCCAAUUGGGACCCACUUUUAAAGUUAAAUUGUUCCCCGAUGCGACAAACUCCGUCAAGCUUGUAAGAUUUGCAAGAUCAUCUUCCUUGACAACUCCGUGAAAAAGAUUGCCGUCAAUAUGAAGAGAUAACAAUUUAGAGAGUGAUCCAAGACUUUCAAAUGGAUUUCCACUGAAUUUAUUCAUAGAGAGAUCGAGAUAUCUUAAUGAUGAAAGUUUUCCAAAUGAUCUAGGAAGAGCAUCACCAAUUGAGUUGUUGGAAAAAAGUAACGUGUCAAUAUUUUUAAAUGCCCCAAUAUGAUCUGUCAGAUUGCCUGAAAGUCGUGAACUCUGAACUGCAAGUGUUGUGAGUCCAUGGGAAAUACAAGGAGCAAGAAUUUCUAAAAGUUCAUUAACCUGUUGGUUGAGUUUGAGAUAUGAUAAAUCUAUCACCCUUAAGUUGCAGAGAUUACCCAAAGAAGUUGGAAUGUUUCCUUCAAGUUGACUAUAUGACAAAUGAAGUUCAACAAGAGAAGUCAAAUUACCCAAAGAAGUUGGAAUGUUUCCUUCAAGUUGAUUACCUGAUAAAUCAAGUUCAACAAGAGAAGUCAAAAGAGAAGUCAAAUUACCCAAAGAAGUUGGAAUGUUUCCUUCAAGUUGAUUACCUGAUAAAUCAAGUUCAACAAGAGAAGUCAAAUUUCCCAAGGCAUCAGAAAUAGUCCCAUGCAAGUUGCUGGAACUUAGGUCCAAAGACGUGAGACGAUGAAGACCGUAUAAGCAAUCAGGUAUAGAAGAUGAGAAUGAAUUGAAAGAAAUGGCAGGGGAAUAACUAGUAACGGAAAGAUGGAGAGUUUGCAGAGAUGAGAAGUUGAGCAAGGAUGGUUCAUUAUAGUGAGGGAGUGUGCAGUAUGACAAAUAUAGGUGGGUCAAAGAAGGAAGAGAUUGGAGAGUGUGUAGCCAAUGAAAUGCUUUGGAUAGGUUUGCAUAACUCAAAUGAAGAUAUUCAAGCUUCCACAUAUUUGAUACCCAUUCUACAUUUUCAGCAUGAUAAUCACCUCCAAGUCCAAGAUACACCAAAUUGGAGAGAUUCCCAAUCUGAGAUGGAAUCUUCCCCAUCACUCCAGUAAGAGAGAGGUCGAGGUGAGUCAAGGAGGUCAUUGCACAAAGGAAAGAAGGAAUUGCCAUACCUUCAAAAUAAUUGGCGCUCAAGUCAAGAUAUCGAAGCUUAGAGAGAUUCCCGAUCUGAGAGGGUACUGUUCCGUUGGCAAAAACAGAACUCAGGUCAAGAUACACCAAAUUUGAGAGAUUCCCAAUCUGAGGAGGAAUCUUCCCACGGAAUCCAGUAUGAGAGAGGUUGAGGUGAGUCAAGGAAGUCAUUGUCCCAAGGAAAGAAGGAAUUGACAUACCUGCUCCAAGAAAUCUAUUGCCGCUCAAGUCCAAGUAAUUCAAAUGCUUUAAAUCAGCCAAACAAGGACUUAUCUCUCCACCAAACUGGGAUCUCUCAUAAGCUUCCUCAUCGUAGAAAGCAGAAUCAUAGUAGUCAUAAUAGAAAGCAUCAGAAAGUGAAGAGUUGAGGUGAAGCUGAAGAACAUGGGAAGUGACGUUGUGGCAGAGGACUCCAUACCAGUGGCAACAGUUGGUAUGAUUAUGAUUCCAAGACCAAAGCCUAUUUGAAGGAUCAUUCAGAUUAUUCUUAAUCUUCAAAAGUGUCUCACGCUCACUUGGGAUGCACACACUCUCUCUGCAUGGUAAGCUACAUAACCAAAGGUGGAGAAAGACAAGAAUAUAAAUGGAGGAGGAAUUCAUGAUCAUGCAAGUGUUGCUUCUGCAUAUUAAUCAUCAAACUUCUAUUAUUUAUACUGCUGCCCUGCCUGUUUUUUUUCUUCACUUUCAUUGUUUUUUUUACCUUUUUUUAUUAUUGUGCCUAAUACUAAAUUAUCGACUUAAUUAUCCAAUUUUCUCGAAUUAAUUCUUAGAAUACGAAAAUUUUUGUAUUUACUGUAUCAAUCUCCCUUUUUAAAAUUCCUAUAUACACUACAUUCAUAAAAAAAAUCAAAAUUAAUAACAAAGAAAUAUGAUUUAUUCUUGUGCUGAAUACUAACAUAAGAAACAUUCUUUUUGGUACAGUUUUUUUUUUUUUUUUACAAAAAUAAGUAAGAAUCAUUUUAUUUUAAUUUACCCUAUAAUACUGCUUAAAUGAAAAUCUGGUGUCAUUAAAAUUCAAAUUUUAACUUUUAUUUAAUCAAUCCUUUCGUUAAACUUUUGUUACAUACAAAAGUCCAAUAUUUUUUUAAGGAAAAAUCAAGUCUUCUAUUUCAUCAAAUCCCAACCCAUGAUUAAUAUUAAAUCAAGUCUUCUAUUUCAAGCCAUGAUGUUAAGGUCUGACUUCUUCAACUUGAACCAUAGGUCACUGCAUUACCUUCAUAUCAAACAAAUGUUGCGAGUUAAGUCAAGCAAGGAAAAAAAAUAUAAUUGAUGAAUAAAUCAAUUAUAGGAAAAGAGUUUACUUUAAAGACAAUUUUGGUUAAAAAAAUCUAUAAAAAAAAUUAUUUCGUUCCAAGCUAGCUAUUUAAUUUUGAUCAAUUUUUCAACUCACAAAAUAAUAUUCUUCUUAUAUGUGAAAAAGACUAAUUAAUCUUCAUUGUCAUUAAUGAUUGUUGUGUUGUCUAUUUCUAAUUGUUUUUUUAAUCAUAAUAUUAUUUUCUUUUUUAUUAAAAAUUAAUUAGUGAGAUACAAAGAAGUUUAAAUUGCUUGUUUAGCUUGGUCUAUCAUAAUUAUUGAGAUCAUAGUUUUUCCUUUUAUAAGUCUUGUUCCAAAUUUCUCCAUGUAUUGUAGAUCAUAUUUAACUUAAAAAGUAAAUUAGAAGAUCUACAAAGAAGUGUGGCAUGUUUUUUAAAUUAUAAAAUUAUGGUCCUAGCUAUUUAUUGUUAGACCACAAGUCUUCAUAUAUUAAAGUUUUUGUCUAAAUUUCAUUUAUGGUGAUAGUUUAAGAAUAGUGAUAGAAGAGAAAAAUAAAUAUACAGUUUAUUGAAAUAUCUAACUCAAUUAAUUGAUGAAUACAUCAAUUAUAGAAAAAGGGUGUACUUUAAAGACUAUUUCUAUUAAAAUAUCUAUAAAAAAAUUAUUUCGUUCCAAUAUAAUUAUUUAAUUUUAAUCAAUUUUUCAGUUCACAAAAUAAUAUUCUCUUAUAUAGGAAAAAAAUACUAAAUUUAAUUAUCAUCAAUUGGAAAAGUUAUUGUGUCAUGUAUUUUUAAUUGUAUUCGAACUUGAAUAUUAUUUUAUUUAUCAUAUAAAAAUUAAUUAGUUAUAUAAAAGAAGUAAAAAGAAUAUUAACUUUUUUUCUCAAAAAAAAAAUCAGUAUCAUAUUUUAUGUUUUUUACAAGUUAUCAACUUAAAUAAGAGGAGAAACAUAAUUUUAAUUUCCAUUUUACUUUUUAAAUAAUUGCAAGUGCCAAAUUUAAAUAAUCAUGAGAAUACUCAUGUUUAAUAUAAUAUUCUAAAAAAAAAAUCCAUACGAUAACUUAAACAAUCUACAAACAAAUAUAAUUUAUUCUUGUGCUAAAUACUAAAACAAGAAACAUUUUUUUAUUGUAGUUUACUGUAUAGAAUUGCUUAAAUCAAUGAAAUUUUUAUUUUAAGAAAAUAUUAAUGAUUUUUUUAAAACUUUAAGUAGUUUACAUCAAAGAUAAUUAAAUUUGACUUAAUUAGUCUUCAAAUUUUAACUAUUAUUCAAAUCAAACCUUUCGUUAAGUAAACAACAAAAAGUCUUGCCUUAUAAAAUUCAAAUAUUCUAUUACAUGCGGUUUGAACCCAUAAUUAAUUUUAAACUAUCAAAUUUUAAUUAUUCGAAAUAAAAGAAAUGAAAACAAAAUUGUCUACUAGAGAAACCGCUGGCCACUCCACCAAAUCCAUAUCAAGGUCCCCACUUUUCCAACUUGAACCAUAAACUACUCCAUCAAGUCCAUGUGAAGGUCCUCCAAUUUUUCAUCUUGAACCUUAGGACACUCCACAAAGUCCAGCCAUAUUAAGGUCUCUGACUUCUUCACCUUGAUCCAUAUCCCAUAGGCCACUCCAUCAAUUUCAUGACAAUGUCCCCCCACUUCUUCAACUUGAACCAUAGGUCACUACAUUACCUUCAUAUCAAGUUCUUUAUAAUUGACAACAAAUGUUUAGAAUUAAGUAAGGAAGGAAAAAAUUAUAAAUGAUGAAUACAUCAAUUAUAGGAAAAGAAUCUAAUUUAGAGACUAUUUAGAUUAAAAAAUCUAUAUAAAAAAAGAUUAUUUUGUUCAAAUUUAGUUAUUUAAUUUUGAUUUAUUUUUUAAUUCAUAAAAUAAUAUUCUUCUUAUAUGUAAAAAAAGACUAAUUUUCAUUGUUAUUAAUUGGAAAGAUUGUUGUGUCGUUUAUUUCUAAUCGUAUUUUAACCUGAAUAUUAUUUUAUUUUCCAUUAAAAGUUAAUUAGUGAGAUAUAAAGAAGUGUAAAUUGCUUGUUUAACUUGGUCUAUCAUAAUUAUUGAGAUCAUAGUUUUUUCUUUAAUAAGUCUUGGUCCAAAUUUCUCCAUGUAUUAAAAAGUAAAUUAGAAGAUCUACAAAUUAAGAAGUGUGACAUGUUUUUUAAAUUAUAAAAUUAUGGCCCUAGCUAUUUAUUGUUAGACCACAAGUCUUCAUAUAUUAAAGUUUUUGUCUAAAUUUCAUUUACUUAUGUGGUGAUAGUUUAAGAAUAGUGAUAGAAGAGAAAAAUAAAUAUACAAUUUAUUGAAAUAUUUAACUCCCGUGUGCGAAUUAGUCAAACUCCCUUGUCACUAGGUCCAUCUUGUGAUUAAAAAUAUAAUCAAACAAUUCAAUAAAACACAAGUCUAAUUGUCGCUAUUGUAAUUCAAAUAUUGCAUUAUAUUUUUUAUGUUAAUAAAUUUUUUAAAAAAGAUUGGUGUUUUUAGUAGAAUGAAAGUAAUUAAUAGAUUGAUUUCAAUGCAUUAAUUGAAUUCUGAUUUGACUUUUAAUUAAAAAACUGCAUAUAAAUGUUUUUAAAACUAUUGUGUGGUUUCCCUGGAAAAUAUUUGAAUUUGAAAAGAUUUUUUUUAUGAAAUUAAAAUUAAAGAUCAAAAAUAUAAAAGUUUAAAACUAUUGUGCGAUUUUGGUCUAUUGUCAGUUCCAAUUGGGAGAAUUGGAUUGGAUCCACUAGGCAUUGCAAUUUCAAUCCCUCCAUCCAUCUUACUUUGAAUAUUUAACAGAUAUUUACUGGCAUGACACUAGAUGAAAGGUAGAUAAUAUGACAACUAUCAUGUUGCCUAACACAUACUGAACUAAACUUUUGAUCCCUUAGAAUAUUGCAGUUAUAAGGAAGCAGAAGUGAAUAAGCCACAUCUAAGGGACCAAAUUAAACUUACAAAAUUAUAAUACCUAAUUUACGUAAUGCAUGGAGAUCAAAAGUGAAAUGAAACUAAAUAUAAAUUAUGAGAGCAUUCUAAAUCUGUCUUCAUUGUCUGAGGAGCAAAAGGACCUGACAAGUGUUUUGUAUUUUUUUUUUGUACAUGCAUAUAUAGUGUAUAUGCUAUUCUUUUUUUCUAUUUUUUCCCCCUACAUUUAUGAUCUCGGAACUGAAACAGUGAGAGAAACCGAUGUGAAAAUAGAUAGGGUGGAUGAAGAACUAGACAUCGGCCAGUGGAAGAAAAUGAACAGAUGGAAAACCAUCUUUUUGGGUAUUUCCCUAUUUCUUUUAUAAAGAUACCAGCUCCUCUCUCUCUAAUAGACACACUGGUGAUACAGGUGUGAUGGAAACCCUAUAUCUGAUAGCUUGAAACUUUAUUUUGUAUGCGGGAAUUCAAUACAACUAGUGACCCUUGUAUAAAACGAUAGGAACUAAUAUGAAUAAAAAAAUAAUAUUUCAUGAUUUUUAAAAUUUAAUCAAUCAUGAUUUGUCAAAUGAACUUGUUAAUGAGUAUUAUAGAAUAAGUGCAUCAAUACUCAGGAAAUGGGAAUGUGGAAUGUAUCAGAGUAAGGAACAGCGAGAGGGAAGAUGUGGAAGAGCUUAGAAACUGCAGAAUCCUAUGCAAGCUCCAACUUUCUACACUAAUUAAAUUCAUUCAGGCAAAUUCUUAGUUACAUGUUGUGUAAAACAAUCUUCUUAAAUCCAAUCACCGAGUGUGUCAUUUCAGUUAUUUUAAUGCUAAUCAUUGUUAGUGCACAGAUAGUAGAAGACAAUAAUGCGUCAUAAAUACAAAACAGAAUUUGAUACUCAAGUCUCAAGCUCGUCUAGUUCUCUUAACAUUAAGAACAUUUAAUACCAAUGAAAGCAAAACAGACAGAACACCACAGAUGAACAGGUACAUAGUAUGGUAAACCUUUUCACAUUUUUAAUGGCUAGACUAACACGUUGUAAUGUCUCACUUCUUAACAGUUAACAGGUAAACUCAUAAUUUCCCAAGUAACCUUCUUACCUUCAAAACUAUCAUCACAUAAAUCAGAUCUCUCAAGUGGUCAAGAUAAUGAAAAUAAGCAAGCCUCCAAGUUCUGUUGAAGAAAACAACACUGCAAAAACCCCAAAAUCCUGCUGCAAAUCCAACUCCCAUACCGAUAUAAAACUCUGAUGUUCCAAAGAAAUUACCAUCACCGUGUCCAACAGAAGCACUCUCCCUCAACCAUUCCUUGUUUGUGCAAUUUUUUGUUACAGGAGGACCACAAAGCUCAGGAUUUCCAGUGUAGCUAAGUUCAUCAAAGCUCUGAAGUUGGGUGCUCGUGGGAAUUCUGCCUGAUAAGUUGUGGUAUGAUAGAUUCAGGAAACUGAGGAAGGACAAAUCAGAUAAGCUUUGAGGGAUUUGACCUGAAAUGUUGUUUAGCGAGAGAUCAAGGGAUUCUAACAAUUUCAUUUUUCCCAUGUCAUUUGGUAUCUCUCCAGACAGAUGAUUUCUAGACAAGUUCAAAAACCGCAAAGCAAAUAGCUUGGAAAUUUCAGAUGGAAUUGCUCCAGACAGCUUAUUACUUGAAAGAUCAAUCAUUCUCACCAAUAUCAGAUUGUCUCUGUACUCUAACUCAUCUUUUUUGGGAACUAAGACAAGAGUUUCCUUGUAGUGGUUAUAACUGAAGUCAGAGCCAUAUGAAUAACUUGAAGGGUUUGCAAAGAAGUCAUCUUCACCAGCCAUUGUUUUCAUGUCAUCCAAACAAUUUGGAAUGGAUCCUGACAGGCUGUUAUUGCCAAGAUCCAGCACUAUAAGGGAAGAAAGUUGACACAUCUUUUGAGCAAUGCUGCCAUUGAAAUUGUUGGAUCUUAGACGAAGAACCAUUAGAUAUUGCAUUUCCCACAUCCAAUCUGGUAUUGUGUCAGAAAGUUGGUUAUUUCCCAUGUCUAUGAAUUUCAUUGUAGAGCAAUUUUGCAGUGUUGAAGGAAUAUAUCCUGAGAAGCGGUUGUCGUCUAACAGCAAAGACUCAAGUUGAGACAGAUACCCCAUGGAGUUUGGAAUUUCACCAGACAAAUUGUUACUGCCCAAGUUCACAUGCACCAAAGCUUGCCAAUGCACCCAACAGUGACCAAGAUCACCAGACAAGACAUUAUUUGAAAAAUCAAGCACACUUAACUUAUUAGUAGCAUUUGGAUUUCCACAUAAAAAGGGAGAAAUUGUUCCGGAAAUUGAGUUAUUGGCAACAUUCAGCACUUCAACAUUUGCAGACACACUUGGCAAUCUACCCUUGAACAAAUUAGAACUCAAAUUUAUCACGCUGGAAUUUAGAAAGAUGUUAGAUAGGUCUCCCCUUAACAGAUUGUUUGACAGAUCCAGGAAUUCAAUUUGCAAAGUCCAAAUCCAAAACCAACUUGGAACCAAGUCUGCAAUACCUGCCUUAGACAUUGUCAAAACCUUCACAGAACUUUGCCUUUUUAGCCAUUCUGGAAACUUAGGACCUAUUCCAAAGGAGCUCAGUAAAACAUAUUCAAGCUGAAAAGGAGGAGCCCAUCCAGAGUUGACACUGAGGAACAAGUUUGUCCAAGACAAACGUAGUUCCUUUAAUGUAAAAAGUUUUACAAAAUUUGACUCUUUUAUAGAUCCUUCUAACAAAUUAGAUGAAAGGUCUAACGUCACUAAAUUUGAGAGUGUUCCAAGAGUUACAGGCACAUCACCAGUCAAAGAAUUAGCUCCAAGAUUUAAUACCUGCAGGUUUUUGAGGAACUCAAAACUCUUAGGAAUGGUUCCAUUCAGUCAGUUGUGAGCAAGGUUUAAAGUUCUCAAGGAUGACAAGUUUGCAAAUGGUGAGGGAAUUGGACAAGUAAAGGUAUUAUUACUGAGAUCUAGAACUUCAAGAUGCUUAAGCUGGCCUAAUGAAUCUGGAAGUGGCCCACUGAGUUGAUUGUUCUGCAGGUCUAGAUUUUUUAUGUUCUGUAGGCUUGAUAUUAUUUGUGGAAUUUCACCCUGUAAAAGGUUACUGUGUAAAUCAAGUUGGACAAGAGUUUUGCUGAGAUUAAAUAGCCAUGAAGGGAUUUGCUGAUUGAGAUUGUUAUUUGAAAGAGCAAGGACUUGGAGAUGUGUGAAGUUGGUUUUUCCUUUUGGUGGUCCUAAGUUAUCAAUUUGACAGCUCUCCAAGUGUAGUUCUGAAAGAGAUGGAAGUGCACUCAGUACUUGAAGCCAGUUACCUUGUUUAUGAAGGUCUGAACCACUCAAAUCAAGGUACUCCAAGGAAGAUAGCCUUGAUAUCCAAUUAAGGUUAUCUAUCUGAAGAGCAUAAUUGUAUCCAAGAUUAAGGUGCUGCAGGUUUGAGAGGUUUCCUAGUUGAUGAGGGAUUAAUCCCAUGAACCCACUUAAGCUAAGGUCCAAGUAUCUCAGACUCUCCAAUGAGCCUAGGAAGCUUGGUAUUGGAGUAAGAACAAAAUAAUUUGAACUCAAGUCCAAAUGAUUCAAAUAUUUUAGUCCAAGCAAAGAAGGACUAAUCUCUCCAAUCAACUCCCUAUAGGGAGAGCCCACAGGUGUGUCCAGAUUGAUUUCCAUGACUUGACCAGUGUUGUUGCAGGGAACCCCUGGCCAUGUACAGCAAUCCGAUUUGUCAGACCAUGAUGAAAGCCUGUUUGAAGGGUCUGCUAGUCCAUGCUUCAAGCUGUGGAGUGCAUUCCUUUCCUUCUCACUGCAAGUCAUAUUGAGCCUUGCUGCCUUGCUUGCACUGAAGUGGAGAGUUGUUGCAGUGGACAAUAUCAAGAGAAGAACAUGAGUUGCAAAUAGCACUGCCAUGAAGAAGAAGGAAGACGAAAAAGGUUGAAUCCACAAUUUUCUGGUUCACGGUUGGUAUUUACUACUAACAAUGCCUAUGUAUGAUAUAUACCGUAGAAGGGUUAGCAUUUAAAAUUUUACUCCACUAAUGGUGGUGGUUGCAAAAUGCACACAUAUGUAGAGGUAUAUAUGUCAACAACGAGACAUUUAGGAUUAAAAGUGUCUAACCACACCACCAUUAUUUUGCACUAGUUUAUUUUAUUUUGAUUUAAUUACUCUUUUAGUCCUUAUAGUUUAUUUUAUUUUGAUUUAAUUACUCUUUUAGUCCUAUAAUUUAAGACAUUCAUUUUGGUUUCUAUAUUUACAUUUUUGUUACCUUUUUGUCCUCGCGGGGAAGAUUCAACUCACACAUAAACAUGAACAAAAUUAAUAAAAAUAGGGAAGCAAGCUCAGGUACAACUGAAGUGUAAUGGAGGUAUGAGACAAAGGCACUACACAUUCCAUUAUUCUUGAGUCUGCCACCGACCUCUGAAAGCUUAGCAUUUGCCAAUUGCCAUGAUGUAAUCUCCUUCUUGACAGUCUCUCAUCAAGUUGGAGUGGUAUCACAGCAUUGAACUAAGUUGAUCGUUCCAAUGGGAUGAUGGUUUUGAUUGCUGCAGAUAAAGUGUGUGAUUGUGAGUUUCUGGUUCCAUGAGUAACAGAUCGAGGUGUGGUAGUUUGUGCCUUCAUGGUUGGGAUGAUGUUGCAGGUGCCGGUUUCUUGUUGAGAGAAAAGAUGAUCAGCCAUGUCUCGUGUGUGCAUAGGAGAGUGUCUUUGCCCUCUCCAUAACAUUAGUUUCAACAAUUGACUUUAGUCGAAACUUGAUGGUGAGAAUCAAAGAGUAAAAAAAAAAAAAAAUUCAACCGGGACUAAAAUAGAAUGAUUUAAACUAUAAGAACUAAAAAGAAAUAUUGUCCUAACUUUACAAAAGGAUAAUUAAACCUUUUAUUUUUUUUGUAAAAACAGGUUUGGAAUUUGCAACUUUGAAUUCUAUCUAAUUAAGCUCUCAGUCUUUCAUUUUUGCAACUCUAUUUGGGUAGAAAGAGAAGAAAUCUGGGCCUAACUCAAAUCUAAAAGCUAGUUCAUAGGGUGAGGAUUGCCCUCACCUUAUAAACUCUUUCUUGAGAUUAUCUCUAACCAAUGUGAGACUUGAAUUUUUUUUUUUUAAUUCACCCCUCACGUUUAACACUCUUUGGGCAUGGUGCGUAAUCCUUUUGAAUGGAUCUAGGAUAUACCAAGAAAAAAUUUGGGCCUAACGGAAAGAAACCAAGUUUGAAGAUACAACAUUUGAUACUAUAACUGUUUGGUGUUUUGAAAAUCCCACUCACAUAUUUCCAAAUGUUACAGAAGACUUUGAUUCAGUGGUUAUUACGAAUUCCUUCCUAGCCUUUUUUACCAAGUCAGGGAAUUUGCAUUGUUGUGCAUGAUGGCUGCCACAAGGACCCUUGUACCAACCCAUUAGUGCAAGUGGUUUUUUUCUUAGGAGAAUUGAGAAACAAAUGAUGUGUUUUAUAAAAGGAAUUCUUUUGCUUUGAAUUUUGAACUUAUAAUGUUUUUUGUUUCCCUCACAGAACAAGUGAUGAAACUCUUGACGCCAUACGUACGCCUACUUUGAUGCUCUUUUUUCAUUCCACUUUUAUCUUAAUGGUAUCUCAAGUUAAUUAGAAUGUACGUAUAAUAAAAUAAUGAGAAUGGCAACUACUAGUAGUACUUAAUUAGAAAAAAAACUAUCAAAACUAAAACGAAAAUAACUUUGAUGAUGUUAAUACAUGAGUUUAAUUUAGAUAGACAGUGUAAAAAUUUAAAUUGUUAAUUAAUUAGAUAUCACCUAAUGAUUUGUAAAACAAUUACUAAAAAAAGUUAUAGGAGAAUAUAUAUAGUUAAUUGCAAUUCUAAGUGUAUUUAAAUAGAAUUCUUAAUUAACAUAUCCUUAUUGUGAUUUUUUGUAUAUUUUUUAUUUAUUGAGACAGUGGAAUGAGACCGCACUAUAAUUUUCAUCACGGGUGUGGUUGUCAAAUAUAAUAGGGAUGGUUAGUGAGGAAUUUUGGAAUGUUAGUUGGUUUUCGACUAUAGCCUCUUGUUCAGUGUUAACAUUUUCAUUAGAGUUAAGUUGCUUUUAGGGAAGAACAAAUGUCUUGAAAUUCCCUCUUCUCCAGAAGCAGUUUUAUUGUGUCUUUAUCGAAGCCAUCUUCUCCAGAAGCAGUUUUAUUAGUGUUAUGUUUUUUUAUAUAUUUUUUAUAUUUAUUUCUUUUCAAAUUUGAUGACAACAUUGUCAUUUGGUCUUUCUACCCUUCACAUCAGCAAAUUGGACAAUAAAGAGACUCGGUCAGAAACAAAUAACUACUAGGGGUAAAAUAACACGAGAGAAUUUAACACUUUUGGAAUAGGAAAAUGUACUUUUUUUUAAGAAAAUAAAAUUAUGUUUUUAAUCCAUGAUUUAUAUUCGACUUUUUAUUUGAUCUUUUGACAAUUUUUUUCUUCAACGAAAAUCUCUAAUAUUUGAAAUCUUUUGCUUUAAAUUUCUAUCAUUAGUUAAAUAAUAAUGUAUCGGUUAAAUAUUCGGUAGAUUGUUGCAGUGGUCUCACACAAGCCAUGAAGACCAACAAGAAGUGUGUCUGCCUUAUUCUCAAAGACAGGGAUGAUCCUGACCUUGGCUUGAAGAUUAACAUGACAAUUGCUGUUGGUCUCCCUUCUCUUUGCAAAACUCCUGAUAAUCUCAGGGAUUACGUUUAGCCGCGACAGCAUUAGUGCACUGCAGUUAGUUAGGGGACAGAGAUAGUGCUUUUCCCAAAUUCUGUUAUCCUCAAAUUCUGUUAUUAUCUGCUAGAAAACAAUAAGCAGUGUAAAUUGAGAGGGAACUUGAAUAAGAUUAAAACAGAAGAAGCUGAGAAAACAUUUUCCCGUUGUUUUUGUUUUUUUGGAUUUUAGAACACUUAUUUUGGAUAGGAUUCUCCAAACUUAUAUAUUUUGGAUAAGAAAUUGAUUACUAAGUAGUCUAAAAUUAUUUUAUAAAACAGUUUCUUAACUGAGAAUACUCAGGCCCUAAAUCUUCCAAUUUUAGUAUAUUUCUAAAAAAAUCAGAAUAUUUGUGGUCUAAGUUUUAUGAUUAUCAAGCCUUUCAUUUUCCUUAAAGAACAAAAGAGUGUUACAUUCCAUUUACUGUGUAAUGAAUGGUCAACAAGUCAUGUACUUCAAACUUUUCUACUUUUCUCAUUCAUAACUAGACAAUAACACAUUUUAAAGGGGAAAAAAAGGGCAUCUAAAUCUGCCAAUUUUACUUUGUUUGUGUAUCUGUUAUCUCUGAGUUUUCAACUGCGAAAGUUAAAAAUAUUUGAGGUUUGAUUUUUUCUCAAGAAAUUCUUGUUUGAAACGAUUUGAACAGCACUUCUGCACUUGGAUCCUAAAUCACCUGAAGCUAAAGCUUUUAAUCAAAUUGGUCAGAAAUCCAAUGGUGGUUCUAUUAGUCCUUCGCCCACUACUUCUGGUAGUGAUCCUUUCAACAAAAUAUUUCAUUUUUAGAAUUUAUUUUUGACAUUGACAUUUGAGUUUCAAUGGUGUAGUACUAAAUUUUGCAUUUACUUUUAAUGUGUUCUUUUGUGCAUUCAGCUGAAGGAAGUUCCCAGAAUGGUAGAAACCAGGGGACAGAUGAAACGGCCACAGCUAAGAAGAAUAGCGCGUCUUAUAUCUGGAAGAGAUUGUUAGAAAGUUUGGUUGCAGUUGCAGGGCUUCUAAUUUAGCUUUCAUGAGCUUAACUCAAAUACUACCUAUAUAUUACCAUUCUCAUAUCAGGUUGAAACGUAAACCAUUGAUUAGUUGAUAGUGUAAAAAUAUUUACACUCGAGUGUAUUAAAUCUCUGACAGACUCACAAUAGAUAUUAUUGCAAAACCUUAUUGGAGAUUUAUUUUUGUGAGCAUUUUGCCUUUAAUCUCAUACAACUAAAUGCUUGUUACACAAAUCUUAUUGUUCAGUCCUAAAAGUCUUUUAUCUCUAAUAAGUAAUAACGACUUGUUGUAAUAGAAAUUAAAAUCUUAUUAUUUUUUUUAAGUACACUUGAGGAAAAUUUUGGUAUCCCACUUUUCAAUUGCUCAGUUCGUCCCCAUAUUUUCAAAUUUUACAAAUUUGAUUCAUUAGUUAACUUGAUAUCCAAUCUUUGAUGGAGAUGUUUAUGAGGCUAUAUGUGAAAAUAGAGUGUUGGCAUGGAUCUCAACUUUUAAUUCCUCAAUUUUGUUUGCCAUAUUUUUAAAAUUAUGCGAUUUUGGAGCAGGAGUGUUGUUUUUCAAAUAUACCAAUACUACUCAGGGAUUAUGCAUGGGAAUCUUCUUACAUGUAUACUACUAUGAAUUAUGUUGUCUGCUUAAAGUUGUAGCAGAAAAAUACAGGUAAUUUUGAAGAAGGGGAAAUGCAUUUCAGAAGAGAAUAAUUGAGAUAAUGUGGAACAUUUACCUUGUAGCAUUUCCAUUUUGAAAAAUAAUAAGUUUCUAACAUUACAAAAUUAACAAACUAAUUUUUUUUUCUCGUAAAGCCUACAACUCAUAUCCGUCAAGCAUGAUAUGGUUUCUUUAGCCAAGUACAAGAUAAUCUAGAUUCUACUUCUAUCCUCCCAAGAUAUUCUAAGAAUGAAUGAAUUAAGUUGAAUAUGGAAAAAAAAAAGUAUUAAGAUGUUAUGGUUUGAUUAUCCCACUAACUUUUCUCCCAUGAUUCAACUUGUUGAAUUGAGCUUUCCUUUCUCUGUAAUGUUGCAUACAAAGUUGGAGGAUCAAAAGGGACAGGCAUGGUGCAAAGGUCGGUAUUUGCAGGAACCUUGACCAAUGAUUCCAUCAUAAAUUUCUUUACUGAUCCUUCUGCUCCACAAACCAUUGACUCCACACAUAGUUCUGUAGCAUUAGCACUUAUGGAGGGUUUGUAUCUGAAGAGUUUAGCAUAUGAAUUAAGGAGAUGAAACAUGUAGUCGUACACGUAGUCCAUCUUUACCUCUUCUUGAAUGAAUUGAAAUCACUCGCCACCUUGCCAAUUUGUUGUGCCUGAUAAAUUUCACAAAUAGAAAUGAAAUGAAACAAGUUAAACAUUGAGAAAGUGUUGUUUAAUUUAUUUAUUUCCUCCAAAAAAAUUUGCAUUAGGAGGUAAUUCUUGUUUAUUAUUUGUAUAAGCUCACAUUUUAGUAUAUAGUAUAUCUGCAUAUGGAUUGUGCAAUGAUGUAAAGGAUGAAUCAUUGAUUUGCAUAUAACUAUUGACCCUGAUUAAUAUUAAGUGAUUCACCAUUAAAUCAAAUAUUCCGAGGUGAAUUCUUUUAGGAUUAAUUAACUUGGUAAGAAUUAUAUUCUAGCCUUAGUGAAGAAGCAAAACUUCAAGAUUACCCUUUGCUUGUGAUUAUUUCCCCAAUCCACAGCAAACUUAAUGGAUCUGCACUUGUCAUCGUCCUUUAUGGGCCAAUAGUGGUGCACUGGAAUCAGUCCUCUUGUGAAAAAAUCAUAGUAUUUAGGUUUUACAAGUAGAGUGGUAGAGUCACAUGACAGAAUGUAUUUUUGACUGAUGACCAAGCAGAACCUUCAAUGUACACCUUAUAUCUGCACGAUCAUGAUUGAAUAGGAACAUUUAUUUAUUGAUAAACUGAACAUAUAUAUCCAAUAACAAAAAUAUAUUAUAUAAUUAUAACUGAAGCAUGAAUGGACAGUUUGAAUGUUAUACCUAUAAGUGCAUUGACUAGGCAAGUCUGAUUUGUUGAACCCCUCUUGUGAUUCUCGAAACCAAUCCUGGAACAAAAUUUUCAUUUGUCAAGAAGGAAGCUAUAUAUGUGGCUUUAUUGUGAGUCAAUUAACAGACAAAAUAUAUUGUCCAGAAGUAAAAAAUCAGUAAUGUUCAAUAACAGGUUAUUUCCUUUGAUUUUGAAUGUACUUUUAAGUUGUGUAUUAAUAAAAGAUUAAAAGUUAAAAAAGUGUAUAAUGUUAUAUACAAUAUUGAUACUGGCCAUUGUGUUGCUUGAAUUUGCCUGUUAUUUCUAGUUUCUGCACACCAUGUGCUUAAGCCAAUUUUAUAUAAUGAAACUUUUGCUUAUGAGAAAUAUUACAUACAAAAUUAAUUUUUUCAUAUCCAAAUAAUAAAACUACUUUCAAUAAGUGUAAUCAAACAAAGCUAAUAAGAAGUGUGAUACCUGGGCAAAUAAACGAGCAUUCCAAUCUUGAUUUUCAGAAACAUUGCAUUUAAUGAGGUCUUGUCUGGUUUCAGCAACAGCUGGAUUACCUUUCCAGUAAGCAUAAGGCUCUCUGUUCAGCCAUGGUAUCCUCGUAGUGCCUUCUUUCAACCCUCCCAACAAAAUAUGCCAUGGCUUUAUAUUAAUCUCUGACCUGUGCACCACACAUACAAUACUUUUUACUUAUUUAAAAAUUAAGGUCCCGUUAGGGGUGAUUGUCAAUUUUCAAUUUUCCGUUUUAAAAUAUAAUUUCGAAAUACAAACAUGUUCAACAAAAAUUACACUAAGUUGAUUUUUUACAUCUUUCUGAAAUUUUUUUUAUCACAUUUAACAAACAAUUUACUGAUUAUUGUUUAUGUUUUAACCUUUACUGUUUAUUUUUUAAUUAUUUUUAUUAUGUUUAAUUCUUUUUUAUUUAUUUUUUUGUCAACAUUUUUUUAAUAUUACAUGAUUUUAUAAUGGAGUGUGAUAAGAUUAAAUAUUUAAAUUAUUUUAUCUAUUAAUUAAUUUUUUUAAAUCUAAAAAAUAAAAUAAACUGAAACUAAAAACUCAAAACAUAAACUGAGUUUAAUUUUUAAUGAUUUUGAAACUGAACAAUAAAAACUACUUCUAGAAUUGUGUCCCAAACAAUGUAAUAAAAAUAUAAUUCUAUUGUAUAUUUGUAUAACAAAAUCAUAUUUAUGUAAAAAGAAUACUUCUAGAAUUUUCUAAUUUUCUACCCACAUGGGUAAUGUGAAUAGCAAUAUAAAAUCCUACUUAGCCUGCUGCGAUACGAUAAACAAAUUUUGAAAAUUUUCACUCAUAAAUGGACUCCUUUAGAUGUCCACACAUAGGUCCUUCUAGACUUGAAUGACAAAUUGAAAGGUACCCAAAAAAAAAGGUUUUGAUAUAAUAAUCACAUGCUAAAAGGUUAAUUUGUGUAUUGUGAAUUAUUGAUUUUGUUUAUUAUAUAUCCUUUUUCUUUUCCUUUUUUUUCAAAAUUUUAAUUAUUUGACAGUGUGAGCUAGGUUUGUAUGAUGGCUAUGAUAAUGAGGAAUUAAGUUUGACAAUGGAGAGAACCUGUUGCUCCAAACUACCUUCGAUACUUUAUGUUUGAAAGAAAACAAAAAGAUUGCUCCUACUGGGUCCUCAUACAGAAACUAUCUCCAGAGAAUUAGGGAGAAUAAAGGAAGAACAAGGUAAGAAAAGGGCAAUUUUUAUUCAUGUCAUAGCUUGUUAUUUACAUAGAUAUAUAUAUCAAUCUUCCUAACAGAAUUGUAUCAAUUUGCUCAAGGAAUAUUACACGUAUCAAAGUUUGUUAUGCUUGUCGGAGAGGAUAAGACAAACAUGACCCAAGCUAGACCUCUACUGCUAAAUUGCCCACUGCUGCUAUAUUGUCCAAUUUGCCCCUUUUUUCUUCAUACGUAAUCACGAAGGUAAGAUGGCUUUGUGACCUUUCUCUUAGUCUUUUCUUCUUUUUGCACCUCUGGUUUGUUAAUUACUGCUACUCCCUUCAAUGUUUCUGUCUUUCUGAUGCUUGCUUCUAGUUCCUUAUCCCUGUUAUCUGCUUCUGAUAUCCUAUCACUAUCUCAUGCUGAAAAUUACUUAUGAUGUUUUUAUAUCAUAACACAACAUUAUUUUUCUUAUAAGAAUAAGAAUCUUACUAACAACUACUCUUAUAGCAUUAAUUAAGAAAUUCAAAUGAAAAAUAUAGUGAACAUUAAAAUUUUUAAAAAAAUCAUAAAUAGCAUAAUUUUAUACACUUCAAUGAAAAUUAUUUUUAAAAAAAUCAUAAAUAACAUUAUUUUCACACGGCCAUUAUAUUUAUUACAAGAAAACCUUUAGAUAAAAAUUAUUUUUUUUGUACUUUUAGCUUGGUCGUAAACAUUAACAUUACAUCACGCACACACACAUAAAAGGCAAAUCAAAUUAUUUUAUAUCCCUAAAUUUUAUGAGGAAGGAUGCUAUAAAUAUUAACAAUACAUCUCACACACACAAAGACAUCUAAAAUUAUAUCACUAAGUUUUAUGAUGUGUUACGGUUUGCUUUAAAAUAUGGUACAAGGUUUAUCAGAGACCGGCUUAUAAGUAAAAAUUAAAUUUGUCAUAAAGGGAGUAAAAUGGAAAAUAAUUAAUUUCUUGAUUAGAAUUAAAUUAGAAUAAGCUGUGCAGAUCUUAUAAUUUUUGUUCACUAAUUCGCCCACCACAUAAUGUUUUAAUUUUUCCAACUUUGUAUAAUCUAAAAAGUAUAAAAAUGAAGAUUACGACUUUCAGCCUCCAGUUCCUUUUAAUGGAAGAAGUGAGUAAAUGUUGAUGCGAUAUCGGUAGCUUUCAUGGGCAGUGACCUUGUCAAAGAAUGCUUGGGCCAUGAUCAUUCAAAAAUACCCUUAAUUGAUCUUUAGCUCAACAUUUUGUAUAAUACGUUAAUUAAUUUUUUAAAAUUAUGAUUACUAUCAAUUAUUUAAUUCUUAAAACUGUUAAACAAAAGACAUUUUGUUUAUUUGUUGAUAUUUUUAUAAGGUUAAAAUAUAUUUUUAAUCUUAUAAAUAUUUAAAUAUUGAAAAGUUAUUUGAAUAAAAUUUUAAUAUAUUUUUCGUUCUCAUAAAAAUAAAAUAUAUUAUUUUUUUCUUGAAGUAAGAUUUAAACAUUCCAAAUUAUUUAUUACACUUUUGAUUAUAUGUAUAAUUAAUGUAAAAAUAAUAUAUUUACAUCGAUUAUAUAUAUGUAUAAUCAAUAUAAAAAUUCAUAAUUUAAAUUUAUCUGAAUCUACAUUCAGACCAAAUAAUAAUAAUGUAUUUUAAUUUUGUAAAGAUAAAAAAAUUUAUUAAAUUUUUACAAAAAUGAAUUCCAAAAAUUUAUAUAUUUAUCAAAUAAAAAAUUAGCCAAGAUACUUCCUGCGAUUUUGUUAUCACUCUUCUGUUUCAGGCUUCAUAUUCCGUUAGUUUUGGUUGUAAUUAAUACUGAUCCUGGAACACUUGAAUAUUAAUUCAUUUUGACUCUUCAAAAAAAUUGUUUUAUAAAGAUAAAUUAUUUAGUAUUUUUUGUGUUAAUUUUUAAGUAAAGUUAACAUUUCAAUUUGAUAAUCAAUUUUAAAAGCUGACUUUUAUUAUUAUAUAAAGUAAAACUUGAAAAAGCAAAACGAAUAAUACUUAAAAAGUUACACCUAUUAUUUGCCCUUUUUAUAGUUAUGGUAAUUUAGAAUAUUACUCCAACAAUUUUGUUGGUUCUCAAGCAUCAUUGGUUAUCUAUGGAUAUCUCAUCAAAGUUCUUGGCCUGGCCGGCUUGGAGAGUCAAGUCUUGUAUGCAGCCACGAGUCACGACUUUAAUUAACACGAAAGAACUAAUUAUUCACUUCAAUGGUUAGUGACUAAAAUUAAAUAUAAGUUUUUUUCCUAUUAAACCACGUUUUCUUGAACCACUAGUCCCCCAUUUUUUGGAAACAAGAAUGUGAUACACAGAAUUGAACAACUAGUUGAUCUUAACUACAAAUAUGCUCAAUAUGCAAAUAUGUACAUCCCAAAACAGAAUUUAAAUAAGACUCUCAAAUUUGAAAAAAAAAAAAAAGAAAGAAAGAAAGAAGAUAGCAAUGACUACAAUGGAAAUUGAACAACCUGGCAAUACAAUGAUACAACAUCGGUUGUAAGCAACACUAAACAGUGAUACUAUACGAGGAAAAAGAUUGAAGUUUGAACCACAGAUGAUCAAGGAAAUGAAAAUAGACAUGCCGCCAUGAUCUACAAAUCAGCAAAGGAGCAAUCACUAUCCAAAGUCCCACAACAAAUCCAAUUGUCGCACUAACAAAAAACCAAUUCACUCCAUGCCCAUGACUUCCUUCAUAACUAUGAGUUUUCCCAUUGGAGCUGCAGUUUAUGGGCAGUGGUGGACCACAUAGAUUGUUGCCAAUGAAUCUGGAGGCAUCAAAGGUUUGCAAUUGAGUUCCUGUUGGAAUUUUUCCCUUCAAAUGAUUAUAAGACACGUCUAGCAUGCUCAGAAAGCUCAAAUUAGAAAUGGUUGGAGGAAUUUCACCAGAAAUUUGAUUCCUCGAAAAAUCAAUGGUUUGUAACGAUCCCAUAUUACCAAUACCUUCUGGAAUAGGACCAAUCAAUUGGUUGUGGGACAAGUUCAAAAAGUUCAAUCCAUUUAGAUCUGUGAUUUCUCUAGGAAUUUCUCCUAAUAAUUUGUUACUUGACAGAUCAAUACUUGUUACCAAACCCAGAAUGUUUCCAUACUCAUCUCCUCUUCCUUUUAGCCAUAGUAGCACACUAACUAUACCUGAUACCGAAGAGUAUCGUGUAUUAUUUGGUGCUUGAGAAUAGAUUUGGGGAUCUGUACUCCGGUUCACUAGUGUCAUGGCACUCAAGUUACGGAAACAGCUGGGUAUAUUGCCAGACAAAUUAUUUUUUGCAAGGUCUAAAACCUGAAGAAGACUCAUCUGACAUAUUUCAUUUGGAAUGUGACCGGAAAAACUGUUUGAUCGAAGGCGGAGGAUUUUCAUAUUUGAGAGCUUUUCUCCAACCCAUGUUGGAAUACAUCCUGAAAGAUUAUUUUCUCCAAGAUCCAAGGAUAUCAAUUGGCUAGUCUUCUUCAGACUGGUAGGAAAUAUUCCCGAGAGCAAGUUGUUACGAAUUUCUAAUGACUGCAGCUCAGCCAAGGAACCCAUGGAUGGGGGGAAGUUCCCAACAAAAUGGUUGCUUUGUAAAUUCACGUCCACUAGAAAUGGCCAAUUAAUCCAACAAUCAGGUAUUUCUCCUGACAGAUUAUUUGAUGCAAGAUUGAGAAAUUCUAAUUGCAUUGGCUUGUCCUGAUUGUUACAUAAAAAAUCUUGCAUGGAUUCAGAGAAUGAAUUGGUUGAAAGGUCUAACUCAUACACAUCAUUUGAAAGAUAGGGUAAUUUACCACACAAGUGAUUUGUGCUUAGAUCAACAGUUUUGAUAGAUAUUGGAUUUUUUAUUGUAGUCACAAGCUCACCAUGGAUAUGAUUAUGAGAGAGGUUUAAAUACAAAACCUGAGAAUGUGCUUCCCAGAACCAAGUGGGAAUAGAAUCUAAAAUCCCUGUGUUAGACAGUCCAACAUAUCGAAGUUUGUUUUGUGACUGAAUCCACGAUGGAAAGUUGGGACCUAUCUGCCAUGAUGUCACAUCCAAAUAGGAAAGCUGGAAAUUAGGAAGCCAAUUGGGACCCACUUUUAAAGUGAAAUUGUUCCCUGAUGCAUCAAACUCCUUCAAACUUGUAAGAUUUGCAAGAUCAUCUUCGUUGACAACUCCUUGAAAAUUAUUGCCAUUAAUAAGAAGCGAUGACAAUUUAGAGAGUGAUCCAAGACUUUCAAAUGGAUUUCCACUGAAUUUAUUAAUAGAGAGAUAGAGAUAUUUUAAAUCUAUCUCCCUUGAGUUGCGGAGAUUACCCAAAAAAGUCGGAAUUGUUCCUUCAAGUUGAUUAUAUGACAAAUCAAGUUCAACAAGAGAAGUCAAAUUUCCCAAAGAAGUUGGAAUGGUUCCUUCAACUUGAUUAUGUGACAAAUCAAGUCCGACAAGAGAAGUCAAAUUUCCCAGGGCAUCAGAAAUAGUCCCAUGCAAGUUGCUGGAACUUAGGUCCAGAUACUUGAGACGAUGAAGACCGUAUAAGCAAUUAGGUAUAGAAGAUGAAAAUGAAUUGAAAGACAACUCAAGAUUUUGAAGAAGUGUGAGGUUUCGAAUACCACCAGGAAUCGGACCUUGAAUUUCAUUACCCUGUAAUUGAAGAGAAACAAGUUUCUUCAAUUUGAAUAUCCACUUGGGGACAAAAGAAAUGGCAGGGGAAUAACUAGUACGGGAAAGAUCGAGAGUUUGCAGAGAUGAGAAGUUGAGCAAGGAUGGUUCAUUAUAGUGAGGGAGUUUGCAGUCUGACAAAUCUAGGUGGGUCAAAGAAGGAAGAGAUUGGAGAGUGUGUAGCCAAUGAAAUGCUUUGGAUAGGUUUGCAUAACUCAAAUGAAGAUAUUCAAGCUUCCACAUACUUGAUACCCAUUCUACAUUUUCAGCUAACAGAUGUUCGACAGCAGAAUAAUCUACAUUUUCAGCAAACAGAUCAUAACUACCUCCAAGGCCAAGAUAGACCAAAUUGGAGAGAUUCCCAAUCUGAGAUGGAAUCUUCCCCAUGAAUCCAGUAUGAGAGAGGUCGAGGUGAGUCAAGGAGGUCAUUGUGUUGAGUUGGUUAGGAUUCAGUUACAGAGGAGAGAAAAAUAGAGAAUGAAGAUGAAAGAAGAAAAAAAUAUUAUGAUUGAUUUGUAAAGUGUGUGUUACAAAGUAUUUAUAUUCUCAGAUACAAGCUACUACUAAACAAGACUACAACUAACUAGUUAUAAUCUCAACACCCUCCCUCAAGCUUAUCAUGGUAGAUGUUGAUCAUGCUAAGCUUGGAGACAAAAUCAUGAAAUUUGGGUGGUGCCAAUGCUUUGGUGAGAAAAUCUGCCACUUGAUCACUUGUUGAAACUGGUAGUAGCUUUAGAGUGCCCUUCAAAAGCUUCUCUCGCACAAGAUGGCAAUCAAUUUCCAAGUGUUUUGUGCGUUCGUGAAAAACCGGAUUUGAGGCAAUGUGGACUGCGCUUUGGUUGUCACAGUAAAGAGUUGGAGUUCUGGUAAGCUGAACUCUCAAAUCUGCAAAAAGAUACAACAGCCAUUGCAACUCACAAGCAGCUGAAGACAGAGCCCUGUACUCUGCUUCUGAAGAUGAUCUGGACACAGUUGCUUGCUUUUUAGCACGCCAUGACACUAAAGAUUUGCCUAUGAAGAAACAAUAUCCAGAUAUGGAUUUUCUAGAAUCCAUACAGCCUGCCCAAUCAGCAUCUGAAUAACCUAUAAGUUGCAUUUCUGAAGUUCUGCUAAAGAAAAUACCUUGGCCUGGGUUGUUCUUCAAAUACCUCAAUACUCUACAUGCUGCAUUGAAAUGAACAUUUGUGGGUGCUUGCAUGAACUGGCUAAGUUGUUGUGUUGCAAAAGCAAUGUCUGGCCUAGUUGUGUUUAAAUACAACAACUUCCCAACUAUGCGCCUGUAACCUGAAAUAUCAGCAUAAGGAGUGCCUGCAGCACUGUGCAACUUUAUGGAUGUGUCAAGAGGUGUGCUAGCAGGUUUGCACCCAAGUAAUCCUGAAUCCUUAAGCAGAUCCAGACAAUAUUUCCUCUGUGAGAUGGUAAUACCCAGUCUAGAAUGAGCAACUUCAAGCCCAAGAAAGUAUUUCAACUUACCCAGAUUUUUAAUUUUGAAAGCUAAAUCAAGAACAUUCUUGAUCCUGUCAAAUUCAUCAAUUGAAUCACCUGCAAGAAUGAUGUCAUCUACAUAUACCAACAGUGCAGUGAAAGUAUUUCCUUUGGUGAGAGUAAAUAGGGAGUAAUCUGAAAUUGAUUGUAUGUAACCUUCUUUGAGAAGCAAAUUAGUCAGCUUUUCAUACCACUUCCUACUUGCUUGCUUCAACCCAUACAAGCUCUUUUGUAGCUUGCAAACAGAAUUAGGCUUGGCACAAGUUACCCCAUCUGGUAUUUUCAUGUAAACAUCUUCUUGAAGAUCUCCAUGAAGAAAAGCAUUAUUGACAUCCAGUUGAUGAAGGUGCCAAUUCUUUAUGGCAGCUACUGCCAAAAGAGUCCUAACAGUGGUAAUCUUAGCCACAGGGGAGAAGGUCUCAAAAUAGUCAAUCCCUUCUACUUGAUUGUAGCCUUUGGCUACUAAUCUGGCUUUGUAUCUCUCUAUUUGGCCAUUUGCUUUGUGUUUGACUUUAUAAACCCAUUUACAUCCUAUGGGUUUAGUAUGAGGUGGGAGUUCAACAAUUUUCCAGGUACAAUUUUUAGCCAAAGCAUUUAAUUCUUCCUUCAUGGCUGUUACCCAGUGUUCAUGCUUACUAGCUUCCUCAUAAGAUUGAGGCUCAGUGCAGUGUGUGAUUGACAUACUAAAUGCCUUGUGUGAAGGAGACAAAAGUGUAAGUGAAUGAAAAGAAGACAAGGGAUAUUUAGACUUUGUACCUGAAGUGAGAGAUUCGUGUGAAGUUGGAGAUGUAUUGUGACAAACAUAGUCAGACAAAUGUAAUGGUGCCCUUCUUUGUCUGAUGGGUUUGGAAUGUAAUAGAGGAGAAUCAUUGUGAUCUUUAGGUGGAGGUGUGGAGGUAGAGGUAUCAGAAAUGACAGUGUCAUUUGAAAUAUUAGGAGAUAAAGAUGAGUGGGGUGGUGAUGGUGACUGCUCAGCAUUAAUGUCUAAGGAAAUGUCACUAUCUAAGGUAAUGUCACUGUCAUUUGGAGUAGGACUGAUGGAAUGAUACUCCCAAGGAGUCUUGGGAGAUGAGGACUGAUAGGGAAAAAUGUGUUCAUGGUGAGUCACAUCCCUAGACAAGAAUAUGGAAUUAUUUAAUAGAUCAAGGAGUACAACUCCUUUCACACCAGAUUUAUAUCCUAGAAAAACACAUUUUCUAGCUCUAAGGUCUAACUUGGUUCUAUGUGAUUGUAAAGUAGAUGCAAAAACUAGAGAACCAAACACUUUGAGAGUAUCAAAAUCAGGGGCAGUAUUAUACAAUAAAGUAUAAGGAGAUUUGUUUUGUAAAUUUGGUGCAGGGACUCUAUUCAUGAUGUAUACAGCAUGGGAAACAGCAUAACACCAAAAAGACUUGGGGAGAUUAGACUGAACAAGAAGAGCUCUACCUAUGUUUAGAAUUUGCUGAUGUUUUCUCUCAACCCUGCCAUUUUGCUGGGGAGAGUCAACACAGCUAGUCUGGUGUAAUAUACCUUUGGAGGCAUAGAAAUCUGGCAUAAGGAACUCAGGACCAUUGUCUGUACGAAUGGAUUUAACAGAAUGAUUAUAUUGGGUUUUAAUAAAAUGAAUAAAGUUUUGAACAUGAAGUCUAGCUUCAGAUUUAUUUUUCAUUAGGGUUAUCCAAGUAUAUCUAGAAUGGUCAUCAACAGCAGUAAGAAAAUAAGCAUGAUUAUGAACAGAUUUAAUAGAGAUGGGACCCCAUAUGUCAAAAUGAAUCAAAUCAAAACAUUUUAUUGCUUUAUGAUAACUGUGUACAAAAGGUAAUUUUCUGUGUUUAGCAAAGUGACAGAUGUCACACACAGAACUAGAAUCAUUUACAAUAAAGGGGAAUUGAGAGUGUAAAAGAGCAAUUCUAGAACUAGACAGGUGACCUAACCUGAAAUGCCAAAUUGCAUUUUCAGGUAUAUGGACAUUAUUUGCUGAGGAAAAAAUGGAAGAAAUGUUGUAGUUGGAAGAAGCACAUUCCUUAUUUGUCUGAGUCAAGUAGUACAAGCCAUCUCUGCUUUCACCCAAACCAAUCAUCUUCAGUGAUUUCUGCUCCUGUAUGGAACAAAUAGUGUCAGUGAAAUUGAGUGUAUAAGGUGUAUGGUGACAUAAUUGAGAGACAGAAAUCAAAUUGACUGUAAAGGUAGGAACAUAUAGGACAUUGGUGAUACUAAAAGAAGAGGAAAACACAACUGUGCCUGCAUAUUUAGUGGUGACAUGAUUACCAUUUGGUAAUUUUAUAAUCAUGGGAUUGAUUUCACUAUAAGAGUGAAACCAGUGCAGUGAGGCACAUAUGUGAUGACUAGCACCUGAAUCUAUGAUCCAGGUAUCAAGAGCAAUAUUAUUACAAAUAGAAGAAUAAAAAAAAUGAGAUAUUUUCAUACCCUUCGUAUCUGCUGAUGAAGGACCAGCAGUGUUGAAUGAGCAAACCUGUUUAGAAGUAGAAGCAUUACAAUGGUUAACAGAAGGAGGUUGAAUUAACUGCAGAAGCUUAUCUAAUUGUUCCUGAGUAAGUGAAGGAGUCAUGGUGACACUUGUGGUGUUCUGAGAUGCAGUUGAAGAUUCAACACGUUCUCCCCCAUCAACUGCAGAAUGAUGAGCAGAACCAGAGUGAUUUUUCAUCAUGUGAGGAGGAACACCAUGCUUUUGAAAGCAAUUCUCAACAAAGUGAUUCGUCUUAUGACAAUAGGUACAGUAGCGCUUGGAACCAGAAUUAGAUCUUCCAUUAGCAGAACCUUGAGACUUACUAGUUGAAGCAUUAACAAGAGCCUUUGAAUCAUCAAGAUUAGGAACACAAUUUUGACGUUCAAAUUGAAUCACCAUAGAAAAGAUCUUGGUGAUAGAAGGUAGAGGUUCAAUCAGAAGAAUCUGAGAUUUAACCGCAUUGAAUUCAUCGUUUAAACCAGUCAAGAAACGCAUAACAUGAAGCGUAUGAUGAUGACGACGAGCAAGACGCAUCGCAUCACAAGAACAACGAUGAUGACAUGUGCAAUUUGGAAUCGGCAUGUAAAUUUCAAGUUCUUCCCAAAGCGCUUUCAGAUCAGAAUAGAAAGUAGUUACAGAUCGAGUACCUUGAGUGAGAGCGUAAAUCUCUUGUUGAAUUUCUGAAACACGAACCAAAUCACCUUGUGAGAAACGCUCUUUCAGAUCGAGCCACACAUCGGAAGCGUUAUCCAUGAAAACGAUGGAUCGGGAAAUGGAAGGUUCAACGGAGUUGAGAAUCCAGCUAUGAAUCAACAUAUUGCAGCGAUUCCAAGCUCGGAACGACGGAUCGAAGGCAUCAACCGGCAUCGGAAUUGUUCCGUCAAGAAAUUCGAACUUGAGUUUGGCUCCGAGAGCGCGUCGCAGAGACCUCGCCCAAGAAUGGUAGUUGGAACCAUCGAGGAGUGGUGUGACCUUGACGGAGGAGGGACCGUCGCUAGGAUGAACAAAGAACGGACUAGUAGGAUCAGUAGAGGGAUCCGCCGGUGGCGGUGGUGCUAUACGCGGUGGCAUAGUGGCGGAAGCAAAAGGAAUGGAUCGUUAGGUCGAUGAUACCAUGUUGAGUUGGUUAGGAUUCAGUUACAGAGGAGAGAAAAAUAGAGAAUGAAGAUGAAAGAAGAAAAAAAUAUUAUGAUUGAUUUGUAAAGUGUGUGUUACAAAGUAUUUAUAUUCUCAGAUACAAGCUACUACUAAACAAGACUACAACUAACUAGUUAUAAUCUCAACACAUUGCACAAAGGAAAGAAGGAAUUGCCAUACCUUCUCCAAGUAAAUCAUUGUCGCUCAAGUCAAGAUAUCGAAGCUUAGAGAGAUUCCCGAUCUGAGAGGGUACUGUUCCGUUGGCAAAAACAUAACUCAGGUCAAGAUACACCAAAUUUGAGAGAUUCCCAAUCUGAGGAGGAAUCUUCCCAUAGAAUCCAGUAAGAGAGAGGUCGAGGUGAGUCAAGGAAGUUAUUGUCCCAAGGAAAGAAGGAAUUGACAUACCUGCUCCAAGUAAAUAAUUGGCGCUCAAGUCCAAGUAAUUCAAAUGCUUUAAAUCAGCCAAACAAGGACUUAUCUCUCCACCAAACUGGAAUCUCCUAUAAGCUCCCCUGUCAUAGAAAGCAGCAGAAAACGUAGUGUUGAGGUGAAGCUGAAGAAGAUGGGAAGUGACGUUGUGGCAGAGGACUCCAUACCAGUGGCAACAGUUGGUAUUAUUAUGAUUCCAAGACCAAAGCCUAUUGGAAGGAUCUAUGAGAUUAUUCUUAAACUUCAAAAGUGUCUCACGCUCACUUGGGAUGCACACACUCUCUCUGCAUGGUAAGCUCAACAACCAAAGCUGGACAAAGACAAGAAUAUAAAUGGAGGAAUUCAUGAUCACACAAGAAUAUAUAGAAAACAAGUGUAGUUGUUGGUUCUGCAUAUAAAUCAUCAAACUUCUAUUAUUUAUACUGCUGCCCUGCCUGUUUUUUUAGGUACAGUUUUUUUUUACAAAAAUAAAUAAGAAUUAUUUUAUUUUAAUUUACUCUAUAAUACUGCUUAAAUGAAAAUUUGGUGUCAUUAAACUUCAAAUUUUAAUUAUUAUUUAAUCAAUCCUUCCGUUAAACUUUUGUUACGUACAAAAGUCCAACAUUUUUUUAAGAAAAAAUCAAGUCUUUUAUUUCAUCAAAUUUAAUAUUAAAUUAUCAAAUUUUCAAUAUUCAAAACUAAAAAUAAUGUAAAAGAAAAUUGUCUUCUAAAUCAUAGCUUACACCAUCAAGUCAAUCUCAAGGUUUUUCAUUUUUUCAUCUUGAACCUUUGGACACUUCACAAAGUCCAGCCAUGAUGUUAAGGUCUGACUUCUUCAACUUGAACCAUAGGUCACUGCAUUAAUUACCUUCAUAUCAAGUUCCCUGUCAUUGACAACACAUGUUGCAAGUUGAGUCAAGCAAGGAAAAAAAAUAUUAUUGAUGAAUAAAUCAAUUAUAGGAAAAGAGUUUACUUUAAAGACUAUUUUGGUUAAAAAAAUCUAUAAAAAAAAUUAUUUCAUUCCAAGCUAGCUAUUUAAUUUUGAUCAAUUUUUCAAUUCACAAAAUAAUAUUCUUCUUAUAUGUGAAAAUGACUAAUUAAUCUUCAUUGUCAUUAAUGAUUGUUGUGUUGUCUAUUUCUAAUUGUUUUUUUAAUCAUAAUAUUAUUUUCUUUUUAUUAAAAAUUAAUUAGUGAGAUACAAAGAAGUUUAACUUGAUCUAUCAUAAUUAUUGAGAUCAUAGUUUUUCCUUUUAUAAGUCUUGGUCUAAAUUUCUCCAUGUAUUGUAGAUCAUAUUUAACUUAAAAAGUAAAUUAGAAGAUCUACAAAGAAGUGUGACAUGUUUUUUAAAUUAUAAAAUUAUGGUCCUAGCUAUUUAUUGUUAGACCACAAGUUUUCAUAUAUUAAAGUUUUUGUCUAAAUUUCAUUUAUGGUGAUAGUUUAAGAAUAGUGAUAGAAGACAAAAAUAAAUAUUCAAUUUAUUGAAAUAUCUAACUCAAUUAAUUGAUGAAUACAUCAAUUAUAGGAAAAGGGUGUACUUUAAAGACUAUUUCUAUUAAAAAAUCUAUAAAAAAAUUAUUUCCUUCCAAUCUAAUUAUUUAAUUUUAAUCAAUUUUUCAGUUCACAAAAUAAUAUUCUCUUAUAUAGGAAAAAAAGACUAGAUUUAAUUAUCAUCAAUUGGAAAAGUAAUUGUGUCAUGCAUUUAUAAUUGUAUUCUAACUUGAAUAUUAUUUUAUUUAUCAUAUAAAAAUUAAUUAGUUAUAUAAAAGAAGUAAAAAUAAUAUUAACUUUUUUUCUGAAAAAAAAAUCAGUGUCAUAUUUUAUAUUUUUUACAAGUUAUCAACUUAAAUAAGAGGAGAAACAUAAUUUUAAUUUCCAUUUUACUUUUUAAAUAAUUGCAAGUGCCAAAUUUAAAUAAUUAUGAGAAUCACGUUCAAUAUAAUAUUCUAAAAAAAAUCCAUAUGAUAACUUAAACAAUCUAUAAAGAAAUAUAAUUUAUUCUUGUGCCAAAUACUAAAACAAAAAACAUUUUUUAUUUUAGUUUACCGUAUAGAACUGCUUAAAUCAAUGAAAUUUUUAUUUUAAGAAAAUAUUAAUGAUUUUUUUUAAAACUUUAAGUAGUUUACAUCAAAGAUAAUUAAAUUUGGCUUAAUUAGUCUUCAAAUUUUAACUAUUAUUCAUAUCAAUCCUUUCGUUAAACCUGUACGUGUUAAGUAAACAACAAAAAGUCUUGUCUUAUAAAAUUCAAACAUUCUAUGACAUGCGGUUUGAACUCAUAAUUAAUUUUAAACUAUCAAAUUUUAAUUAUUCAAAAUAAAAGAAAUGAAAACAAAAUUGUCUCCUAGAGAAACCGCUGGCCACUCCACCAAAUUCAUAUCAAGGUCCCCACUUUUCCAACUUGAACCAUAGACUACUCCAUCAAAUCUAUGUCAAGGUCCUCCAUUUCAAGGUCCCCACUUUUCCAACUUGAACCAUAGACUACUUCAACCUUAGGACACUCCACAAAGUCCACCCAUAUUAAGGUCUCUGCCUUCUUCAACUUCUGCAACGCAUAUAUAGAAAACAACUUAAUUGUAUAAGUGCUUCUUGCUUCUGCAUAUAAAUCAUAAAACUUCUAUUAUUUAUACUGCUGCAAGUGUCUUUCUUGACUUUUUUUCUUUUUUUUAUGAUGUUUCCUUUUUUUAAUUAUUGACUUUAUUAUCCAAUUCUCCCGAGUUAAUUCUUAGAAUAGGAAAUAAUUUUGAAUUUACUUUAUCUAUCUCCCUUUUUAAAAUUCCUAUAUACACAAAAUUUUAUAUUGAAUUUAACUAUUAUUUAAUAUAUCCUUUCGUUAAACUUUUGUUAAUUAAACAAUAAAAGUCCAACAUUUUAUUAAAAAAAUUCAAGUCUUCUAUUUCAUGGACUCCAUCAAGUCUUUUAUUAAAAGUCCAACUUUUGUUAAUUCAAGUCUUUUACAAAAUUUUGUUAAUUCAACUUUUGUUAAUUAUUACAAAAUUUGGUAUUGAAUUUAACUAUUAUUUAAUUCAAGCCUUUUAUUAAAAGUUCAAAUUUUGUUAAUUUAAAUAUUAUUUUGUUAAUUAAACCAUAGCUGACUCCAUCAAGUCGUAUUUUUUCAUCUUGAACCUUUGGACACUCCACAAAGUCCAGCCAUGUUAUGGUCUCUGGCUUCAACUUGAACCAUAGCCUGGGCCACAAACAAUAUAUUAAUGAUAAAUACAUCAAUUAUAGGAAAAUGGUCUAAUUUAAAGACUAUUUCAGUUAAAAAAUCUAUAUAAAAAAAAUUAUUUCGUUCAUAUCUUGGUAUUUAAUUUUGAUCAAUUUUUUAAUUCACAAAAUAAUAUUCUCUUAUAUAUGAAAAAGCUAGACUAGAUUUAAUCGUCAUUUGGAAUGGUUGUUGUGUGAUCUAUUUCUAAUUGUAUUCAAACAUGAAUAUUAUUUUCAUUAUCAUAUAAAAAUUAAUUGGUGAUAUAAAAAGAAGUGUGAAAAAGAAUAUUAAUUUUUUUCUAAAAAAAAUUAGUAGCAUAUUUUGUAUUUUUUUACACGUCAUCAACUUAAAUAAUAGGAGAAACAUAAUUUUAAUUUCCAUUUUAAUUUUUAAAUAAUUUUAAUUGCCAAAUUUAAGCAAUCAUAAAAUUUCUCAUGUUCAAUAUAAUAUUCUAAAAAAAAAUAUUCAUAUGAUAACUUAAAUAAUCUACUAAGAAAUAUGAUUUAUUCUUAUGCAGAUCGAAUACUAAAAUAAGAAAAAAAAAUAUUUUAGAUCACAAUAUAAAAUUGCUUAAAUCAAUGAAAUUUCAUUUUAAGAAAAUAUUAAUAAUUUUUAAUACUUUAAAUCAAAGAUAAUUAAAUUUGGUUUAAUUAGUCUUCAAAUUUUAACUAUUAUUUAAAUCAAUCCUUUCAUUACACCUUUGUUAAGUAAAUGAUAGCAUAGCAAGCAAGGAGGUGCUAGCAGUAACACUCUCACAAAGAUAAAGAUCUUUAAGCCAUCAUUUUUUUUCCUUUUCUUUUCUAUGAACUGUCAUUUCUUAUCUCUACAUGGAAUGUCUAGAAGUUGAAAACUUGAGCUUUCUUUAACUAUACUGCUUUCCAUUUUGGCGAACUGCUUUUCUUUCUCAUAAUGAACUUUCCACUUCCAAUGAUGGUUCAACAUUAAUAAUUCUUUAUCUAUUUUGUCUAAAAAUUUCCAAUCACUUUUUGUGAGUGGUGUGAAUGUCAUGCAGACAAAUGAUGUCCAAGCUCCACUUUUUCCAUUCAUUGCAAGUUGUAAGCAGAAUGUAGAAUGUACGUAUAAUAAAAUAAUGAGAAUGCCAACUACUAGUACGUAGUACUUAAUUAAAACAAAAGUAUCAAAAUUAGAACGAAAAUAACUUUGAUGCUGUUAAUACAUGAGUUUAAUUUUGAUACACAGUGUAAAAAUUUAAAUUUUUAAUUAAUUAGAAAUCACCUAAUGAUUUGUAAAACAAUUACUAAAAAAAGUUUCAUUUGAAACUUAGUCUUCCACCCGUCUCAAGCUCUCCACAUGAACACUAAGCUCUAGACAAAAAUAAAUAAAUAAAUAAAUAACCACGAGAAAUAAUAUAUAACUCUUUAGUGGACAAUUGGUGUUCUUUUGUGCAUUCAGUUGAAGGAAGUUCCCAGAUUGGCAGAAAGCAAGGGACAGAUGAAACGGCCACAGCUAAGAAUAGUGCAUCUUAUAUCGGGAAGAGAUUGUUAGAAAGUUUGGUUGCAGUUGCAGGGCUUCUAAUUUGGCUUUCAUGAGCAUUACUCAAAUACUACCUAUAUAUUACCACUUUCAUAUCACAAAAUGUCUUGCCUUAUAAAAUUUAAAUAUUCUAUUACUUGCAGUUUGAAUCCAUAAUUAAAUUUAAAAUAUCAAUUUUUUAUUAUUCCAAAUAAAAGAAAUGAAAACAAAAUUGUCUAGUCUCCUAGACAAACCACUUCCCACUCCACCAAAUUCAUAUCAAGGACCCCACUUUUCCCACUUGAACCAUAGACUACUCCAUCAAGUCCAAGUCAAUGUCCUUCAUUUUUUCAUCUUGAAUCUUAGGACACUCCACAAAGUCCAGCCAACCAUAUUUAGGUCUCUAUCUUCUUCAACAUGAACCAUAGGUCACUACAUUACCUUCAUAUCAAGUUCCUUAUCAUUGACAACAAAUGUUUAGAAUUAAGUAAGCAAGGAAAAAAAAUAUAAAUGAUGAAUACACCAAUUAUAGGAAAAUGAUCUAAUUUAAAGACUAUUUCGGUUAAAAAAUCUAUAUAAAAAAAGACUCUUUCGUUUCAAUCUAACUAUUUAAUUUUGAUCUAUUUUUUAAUUUACAAAAUAAUAUUCUUCUUAUAUGUGAAAAAAAAACUAAUUUUCAUUGUCAUUAAUCGGAAAGAUUGUUGUGUCGUCUAUUUCUAAUUGUAUUUUAGCCUGAAUAUUAUAUUCUUUUUCAUUAAAAAUUAAUUAGUAAGAUACAAAGAAAUGUAAAAUGCUUGUUUAACUUGGUCUAUCAUAAUUAUUGAGAUCAUAACUUUUUUCUUUUAUAAGUCUUUGUCCAAAUUUCUCCAUAUAUUGUAGAUCAUAUUUAGCUUAAAAAGUAAAUUAGAGGAUAUGAUAUACCAAGAAGUGUGGCAUGUUUUUUUAAAUUAUUUAUCUAUGGCCUUAGCUAUUUUAUUUUUAGACCACAAGUCUUCAUAUAUUAAAGUCUUUGUCUGAAUUUCAUUUACUUGUGUGGUGAUAUUUUAAGAAUAGUGAUAGAAGAGAAAAAUAAAUAUAUAAUUUAUUGAAAUAUCUAACUUAUGAAGAUUUGCAUUCUUAAUGCAUAAGAUUUUCAGUUUAUAUAUUAUCAUUAUUUGGAAAUAUUUUUUGUGUUAAUUGUCUAUUUCUAAUUAAUUUGAAAAUGAAUCUUAAUUUUUUAUCAUAAAAAUUAGUAUUAUAUUUUUUAUUUUCUUUACAAGUUAUCAACUUAAAUACUAAUAGGAGCAACAUAAUUUUAAUUUCCAUUUUACUUUUUAAAUAAUUUUAAGUGCCAAAUUUAAGCAAUCAUAAAAAUACUCACGUUCAAUAUAAUAUUUUUAAAAAAUAAUUCAUGAGAUCACUUAAAUAAUCUUCAAAGAAAUAUAAUUUAUUCUUGUGCCAAAUAAACAACAAAAAAAGUCUUGCAUUAUUAAAUUCAAGUCUUCUAUUACAUGCAAUUUGAACCUAUAACUAAUUUUAAAUGAUCAAAUUUUUAUUAUUCAAAAUAAAAGAAAAGAAAAAAAAAUUGUCUUCUAGACAAACCAGAGACAACUCCACCAAAUCCAUAUCAAGGUCCCCACUUUUUUAACUUGAACCAUAGGCCACUCCAUCAAAUCUAUGCCAAAGUUUCUUAUCAUUGACAACAAAUGCUGAGAGUUAAGUCAAGCAUGAAAAAAAAUAGGGUAAAAUAUAUCAUUUCUAUCCCUAUAAAAUUUUAAUGUGCUACUUUUUUUUUUUAUCCUGAGUUAAGUUUGGAUGAUAGAUAAUUAUCAUGUAUUCUUAGAUUUUGGUGUCAUUUUAGGAUAUUUAUGUGAUAUAUGUCUUUUAUGCUUUUUUAUUGUCAUGAACUAAUCUUCUCUUUUGUUGGAGUUGAAUAUAAUUGGUUCAUUUUUCAUGUAAUGACUAUUUUUUAUUGAAUAAAGCAUUCUAAUUGUUUCUCUUCUAUGUUUAAUAUGUGUUUUUGGCUUAAUCACCUGUUUGUAUGAUUUUUUUUAUUCAAUUGUAAUUUAAAUUUUUUUUUGAACUAUGAAUUGCAAAAAACACCUAAUAAUUUUUAUGUCUAGGAAUAAGAUAAAAAGAAUUGAGCAUCAAUAAACACUUUAUCUUAAUGAAAAUCAUUUAGUUAUAUUAAUUUAAGGGAUUAAGGGAUUUAGGUCUCUUCACUAGGAAUUAAAGUGAAGAUAAUAUGAUGGGAUUAUGAUAAUAUAACCUUUAUUAAAUAUAAAUGUGUAGUUAUUAGGUAAUAGAAACUUCAAUGAAAUUAAACCCCAACAAUUUUUUCAUUGAUUUAACCCCAACAAUUACAUGAGGUGUUUGUUAAAAUUCCCAAACAAUUUUUUUCCUUAAUUUUUUCCUUAAUUUUUUCUUUUAUUUUCUUCUUUAGUUUUCUUAUUUUUAUUUCUUACUUUAAUUUCUUUAUCUUUAUGCAUAUUGUUAUUUAAAUCAAAUUAGCUAAUGUUAAUUAAUUUCAAAUAUGCAUAGUAUAGAAAUUAUACUUUUUAUUACCCAAUUAUUGCCUAAGUCCUGUUAAUGCUAAUCAUUGUUAGAGCACAGAUAGUAGAAGACAAUAAUGCGUGAUAAAUACAAAACAGAAUUUGAUGCUCAAGUCUGAAGCUCGUCUAGUUCUCUUAACAUUAAGAACAUUUAUUACCAAUGAAAGCAAAACAAACAGACACCCCAUAUGAACAUGUACAUAGUAUGGUAAACCUUUUCACAUUUUUAAUGUCUAGAAUAACACGUUGUAAUGUCUCUCACUCCUAACAGUUAACAUGUAAACUCACAAUUUCCCAAGUAACCUUCUUACCUUCAAAACUAUUAUCACAUAAAUCAGAUCUCUCAAGUGGUCAAGAUAAUGAAAAUAAGCACGCCUCCAAGUUCUGUUGAAGAAAACAACACUGCAAAAACCCCAAAAUCCUGCUGCAAAUCCAACUCCCAUACCGAUAUAAAACUCUGAUGUUCCAAAGAAAUUACCAUCACCGUGUCCAACAGAAGCACUCUCUGUCAACUCUUCCUUGUCUGUGCAAUUUUUUGUCACAGGAGGACCACAAAGCUCAGGAUUUCCAGUGUAGCUAAGUUCUUCAAAGCUCUGAAGUUGGGUGCUCGUGGGAAUUCUGCCUGAUAAGUUGUUGUAUGAUAGAUUCAGGACACUGAGGAAGGACAAAUCAGAUAAGCUUUGAGGGAUUUGACCUGAAAUGUUGUUUAGUGAGAGAUCAAGGGAUUCUAACAAUUUCAUUUUUCCCAUGUCAUUUGGUAUCCCUCCAGACAGAUGAUUUCUAGACAAGUUCAAAAACCGCAAAGCAGAUAGCUUGGAAAUUUCAGAUGGAAUUGCUCCAGACAGCUUAUUACUUGAAAGAUCAGUCAUUCUCACCAAUAUCAGAUUGUCUCUGUACUCUAACUCAUCUCCUUUGGGAACUAAGACAAGAGUUUCCUUGUAGUGGUUAUAACUGAAGUCAGAGCCAUAUGAAUAACUUAAAGGGUUGGCAAAGAAGUCAUCUUCACCAGCCAUUGUCUUCAUGUCAUCCAAACAAUUUGGAAUGGAUCCUGACAGGCUGUUAUUGCCAAGAUCCAGCACUAUAAGGGAAGAAAGUUGACAAAUCUUUUCAGUAAUGCUGCCAUUGAAAUUGUUGGAUCUUAGACGAAGAACCAUUAGAUAUUGCAUUUCCCACAUCCAAUCUGGUAUUGCGUCAGAAAGUUGGUUAUUGCCCAUGUCAAUGAAUUUCAUUGUAGAGCAAUUUUGCAGUGUUGAAGGAAUAUAUCCAGAGAAGCGGUUGUCGUCUAACAACAAAGACUCAAGUUGAGAUAGAUACCCCAUGGAGUUUGGAAUAGCACCAGACAAAUUGUUACUACCCAAGUUCAAAUGCACCAAAGCUUGCCAAUGCACCCAACAGUGACCAAGAUCACCAGAUAAGACAUUAUUUGAAAAAUCAAGCACACUUAAAUUAUUAGUAGCAUUUUCCUUUCCACAUAAAAAGGGAGAAAUUGUUCCGGAAAUUGAGUUAUUGGCAACAUUCAGCACUUCAACAUUUGCAGACACACUUGGCAAUGUACCCUUGAACAAAUUAGAACUCAAAUUUAUGAGGCUGGAAUUGAGAAAGAUGUUAGAUAGGUCUCCACUUAACAGAUUGUUGGACAGAUCCAGGAAUUCAGUUUGCAAAGUCCAAUUCCAAAACCAACUUGGAACCAAGUCUGCAAUACCUGCCUUAGACAUUGUCAAAACCUUCACAGAACUUUGCCUUUUUAGCCAUUCUGGAAACUUAGGACCUAUUCCAAAGGAGCUCAGUAAAACAUAUUCAAGCUGAAAAGGAGGAACCCAUCCAGAGUUGACACUGAGGAACAAGUUUGUCCAAGACAAACGUAGUUCCUUUAAUUUCAAAAGUUUUACAAAAUUUGACUCUUUUAUAGAUCCUUCUAACAAAUUAGAUGAAAGGUCUAACAUCACUAAAUUUGAGAGAGUUCCAAGAGUUACAGGCAUAUCACCAGUCAAAGAAUUAGUUCCAAGAUUUAAUACCUGCAGGUUUCUGAGGAACUCAAAACUCUUAGGAAUGGUUCCAUUCAGUCGGUUGUGAGCCAGGUUUAAAGUUCUCAAGGAUGACAAGUUUGCAAAUGGUGAGGGAAUUGGACAAGUAAAGGUAUUAUUACUGAGAUUUAGAACUUCAAGAUGCUUAAGCUGGCCUAAUGAAUCUGGAAGUGGCCCACUGAGCUGGUUGUUCUGCAGGUCUAGAUUUUUUAUGUUCUGAAGGCUUGAUAUUAUUUGUGGAAUUUCUCCCUGUAAAAGGUUACUGUGUAAAUCAAGUUGGACAAGAGCUGUGCUGAGAUUAAAUAGCCAUGAAGGGAUUUGCUGAUUGAGAUUGUUAAUUGAAAGAUCAAGGACUUGGAGAUGUGUGAAGUUGAUUUUUCCUUUUGGUGGUCCUAAGUUAUCAAUUUGACAGCUCUCCAAGUGUAGUUCUGAAAGAGAUGGAAGUUCACUCAGUACUUGAAGCCAGUUACCUUGUUUAUGAAGGUCUGAACCACUCAAAUCAAGGUACUCUAAGGAAGAUAGCCUUGAUAUCCAAUUAAGGUUAUCUAUCUGAAGAGCAUAAUUGUAUCCAAGAUUAAGGUGCUGCAGGUUUGAGAGGUUUCCUAGUUGAUGAGGGAUUAAUCCCAUGAACCCACUUAAGCUAAGGUCCAAGUAUCUCAGACUCUCCAAUGAGCCUAGGAAGCUUGGUAUUGGAGUAAGAACAAAAUAAUUUGAACUCAAGUCCAAACGAUUCAAAUAUUUUAGUUCAAGCAAAGAAGGACUAAUCUCUCCACUCAACUCCCUAUAGGGAGAGCCCGCAGGUGUGUCAAGAUUGAUUUCCAUGACUUUACCUGUGUUGUUGCAGUGAACCCCUGGCCAUGUACAGCAAUCCGAUUUGUCAGACCAUGAUGAAAGCCUGUUUGAAGGGUCUGCUAGUCCAUGCUUGAAGCUGAGGAGUGCAUUCCUUUCCUUCUCUCUGCAAGUCAUAUUGAGCCUUGCUGCCUUGCUUGCACUGAAGUGGAGAGUUGUUGCAGUGGACAAUAUCAAGAGAAGAACAUGAGUUGCAAAUAGCACUGCCAUGAAGAAGAAGGAAGACGAAAAAGGUUGAAUCCACAAUUUUCUGGUUCACGGUUGGUAUUUACUACUAACAAUGCCAAUGCCUAUAUAGGAUAUAUACCAUAGAAGGGUUUGCAUUUAAAAUUUUAUUCCACUAAUGGUGGUGGUUGCAAAAUGCACACAUAUGUAGAGGUAUAUAUGUCUACAAGGAGACAUUUAGGAUUAAAAGUGCCUAACCACACCACCAUUAUUUUGCUCUAGUUUAUUUUAUUUUGAUUUAAUUAUCCUUUUAGUCCUUAUAGUUGUGAUAAUUUGUUUUAGUCCCUAUAGUUUAAGACAUUCAUUUUGGUUCUUAUAUUUCCAAUUUUUUUUAUCUUUUGGUCCUCGCGGGGAAGAUUCAACUCACACAUAAACAUGAACAAAAUUAAUAAAAAUAGGGAAGCAAGCUCAGGUACAAAUGAAGUGUAAUGGAGGUAUGAGACAAAGCCACUACACAUUCCAUUAUUCUUGAGUCUGCCACCGACCUCUGCAAGCUUAGCAUUUGCCAAUUGCCAUGAUGUAAUCUCCUUCUUGACAGUCUCUCAUCAAGUUGGAGUGGUAUCACAGCAUUGAACUAUGUUGGUCGUUCCAAUGGGAUGAUGGUUUUGAUUGCUGCAGAUAAAGUGUGUCAUUGUGAGUUUCUGGUCCCAUGAGUUAAACUAUAAGGACUAAAAAAAAUAUUGUCGUAACUUUAAGGGCCAAAAGGAUAAUUAAACCUUUUAUUUUUUUAUAAUUUUUUUUUACAACGGGUUAUAUAUAUGUAGCAGUUUAUUCUAAACAAUGGACUACGUGUGAAAUCUUUGAAUUCUAUGUAAGAAAUGUUAUUUCAAAUUUCUCAUCAGUCUUCAUGUCAAUGAUGACAUGCUCCAUUUGAAUUCUAUGUCUAAUUAAGCUCUCGGUCUUCCGUUUUUGCAACUUUAUUUCGUAGAAAGAAGCCAAAUUUGAAGAUACAACAUUUGAUACUAUAACUGUUUGGUGUUUUGAAAAUCUCACUGACAUAUUUCCAAAUGUUACAAUCUCCUAGCCUUUUUUACCAAGUCAGGGAAUUUGCAUUGUUGUGCAUGAUGGCUGCCACAAGCACCCUUGUGCCAACCCAUUAGUGCAAGUGGUUUUUUCUUAUGAGAAUUGAGAAACAAAUUAUAUAUGUGUUUUAUAAAGGGAAUUCUAUUAUUUUUAAUUUUGAACUUGUAAUGUUUUUUGUUUCCCUCACAGAACAAGUGAUGUGACUCUUGAUCGACGCCAUACGUACGCAUACUUUGAUGCUCUUUUUUCUCACCACUUUUAUCUUAAUGGUAUCUCAAGUUGACAAUCAUAAAUUAAAAUAGCUAACUAUAGUUGAUUAGUAGAGACAAACAGCUCAAAGAUAAAGAUCUUUAAGCCAUCAUUUUUUUUUCCUUUUCUUUUCUAUGAGCUGUCAUUUCUUAUCUCUACAUGGAAUGUCUAGAAGUUGAAAAUUACUUGAGCUUUCUUUACCUACUGCUUUCCAUUUUGGCGAACUGCUUUUCUUUCCCAUAACCAGGAAUUCAUGGGAAGUGACGUUGUGGCAGAGGACUCCAUACCAGUGGCAACAGUUGGUAUUAUUAUGAUUCCAAGACCAAAGCCUAUUGGAAGGAUCUAUGAGAUUAUUCUUAAACUUCAAAAGUGUCUCACGCUCACUUGGGAUGCACACACUCUCUCUGCAUGGUAAGCUCAACAACCAAAGCUGGACAAAGACAAGAAUAUAAAUGGAGGAAGAAUUCAUGAUCAUGCAAGAAUAUAUAGAAAACAAGUGUAGUUGUUGGUUCUGCAUAUAAAUCAUCAAACUUCUAUUAUUUAUACUGCUGCCCUGCCUGUUUUUUUCUCCACUUUCAUUAUUUUUUACCUUUUUUAUUAUUGUGCCAAAUACUAAAAUAUUCUUCCAUUCUUUUUUUUUACGGUGACCUCUUUAAAUUAUCGAUUUAAUUAUCCAAUUCUCCCGAAUUCAUUAUUUCAUUCCAAGCUAGCUAUUUAAUUUUGAUCAAUUUUUCAAUUCACAAAAUAAUAUUCUUCUUAUAUGUGAAAAAGACUAAUUAAUCUUCAUUGUCAUUAAUGAUUGUUGUGUUGUCUAUUUCUAAUUGUUUUUUUAAUCAUAAUAUUAUUUUCUUUUUAUUAAAAAUUAAUUAGUGAGAUACAAAGAAGUUUAACGUGAUCUAUCAUAAUUAUUGAGAUCAUAGUUUUUCCUUUUAUAAGUCUUGGUCCAAAUUUCUCCAUGUAUUGAAGAUUAUAUUUAACUUAAAAAGUAAAUUAGAAGAUCUACAAAGAAGUGUGACAUAUUUUUUAAAUUAUAAAAUUAUGGUCCUAGCUAUUUAUUGUUAGACCACAAGUUUUCAUAUAUUAAAGUUUUUGUCUAAAUUUCAUUUAUGGUGAUAGUUUAAGAAUAGUGAUAGAAGAGAAAAAUAAAUAUUCAAUUUAUUGAAAUAUCUAACUCAAUUAAUUGAUGAAUACAUCAAUUAUAGGAAAAGGGUGUACUUUAAAGACUAUUUCUAUUAAAAAAUCUAUAAAAAAAUUAUUUCCUUCCAAUCUAAUUAUUUAAUUUUAAUCAAUUUUUCAGUUCACAAAAUAAUAUUCUCUUAUAUAGGAAAAAAAGACUAGAUUUAAUUAUCAUCAAUUGGAAAAGUUAUUGUGUCAUGUAUUUAUAAUUGUAUUCUAACUUGAAUAUUAUUUUAUUUAUCAUAUAAAAAUUAAUUAGUUAUAUAAAAAGAAGUAAAAAGAAUAUUAACUUUUUUUCUCAAAAAAAAAAUCAGUAUCAUAUUUUAUAUUUUUUACAAGUUAUCAACUUAAAUAAGAGGAGAAACAUAAUUUUAAUUUCCAUUUUACUUUUUAAAUAAUUGCAAGUGACAAAUUUAAAUAAUCAUGAGAAUACUCACGUUCAAUAUAAUAUUUAAAAAAAAAAAAUCCAUACGAUAACUUAAACAAUCUAUAAAGAAAUAUAAUUUAUUCUUGUGCCAAAUACUAAAAUAAGAAACAUUUUUUAUUUUACUUUACCGUAUAGAAUUGCUAAAAUGAAUGAAAUUUUUAUUUUAAUAAAAUAUUAAUGAUUUUUUUAAAACUUUAAAUAGUUUACAUCAAAGAUAAUUAAAUUUGGCUUAAUUAGUCUUCAAAUUUUAACUAUUAUUCAAAUCAAUCCUUUCGUUAAACCUGUACGUGUUAAGUAAACAACAAAAAAUCUUGUCUUAUAAAAUUCAAACAUUUUAUUACAUGCGGUUUGAACCCAUAAUUAAUUUUAAACUAUCAAAUUUUAAUUAUUCAAAAUAAAAGAAAUGAAAACAAAAUUGUCUCCUAGAGAAACCGCUGACCACUCCACCAAAUUCAUAUCAAGGUCCCCACUUUUCCAACUUGAACCAUAGACUACUCCAUCAAGUCUAUGUCAAGGUCCUCCAUUUUAAGGUCCCCACUUUUCCAACUUGAACCAUAAACUACUUCAACCUUAGGACACUCCACAAAGUCCACCCAUAUUAAGGUCUCUGACUUCUUCAACUUCUGCAACGCAUAUAUAGAAAACAACUUAAUUGUAUAAGUGCUUCUUGCUUCUGCAUAUAAAUCAUAAAACUUCUAUUAUUUAUACUGCUGCAAGUGUCUUUCUUUUCUUUUUUCUUUUUUUUAUGACGUUUCCUUUCUUUAAUUAUUGACUUUAUUAUCCAAUUCUCCCGAGUUAAUUCUUAGAAUAGGAAAUAAUUUUGAAUUUACUUUAUCUAUCUCCCUUUUAAAAAUUCCUAUAUACACAAAAUUUUAUAUUGAAUUUAACUAUUAUUUAAUCUAUCCUUUCGUUAAACUUUUGUUAAUUAAACAAUAAAAGUCCAACAUUUUAUUAAAAAAAUUCAAGUCUUCUAUUUCAUGGACUCCAUCAAGUCUUUUAUUAAAAGUCCAACUUUUGUUAAUUCAAGUCUUUUACAGAAUUUUGUUAAUUCAACUUUUGUUAAUUAUUACAAAAUUUGGUAUUGAAUUUAACUAUUAUUUAAUUCAAGCCUUUUAUUAAAAGUUCAACUUUUGUUAAUUUAAAUAUUAUUUUGUUAAUUAAACCAUAGCCGACUCCAUCAUGUCUAUCUCAAGGUCCUGUAUUUUUUCAUCUUAAACCUUUGGACACUCCACAAAGUCCAGCCAUGUUAUGGUCUCUGGCUUCAACUUGAACCAUAGCCCAUAGGGCACAAACAAUAUAUUAAUGAUAAAUACAUCAAUUAUAGGAAAAGGGUCUAAUUUAAAGACUAUUUCAGUUAAAAAAUCUAUAUAAAAAAAGAUUAUUUCAUUCAUAUCUUGCUAUUUAAUUUUGAUCAAUUUUUUAAUUCACAAAAUAAUAUUCUCUUAUAUAUGAAAAAAAGACUAGAUUUAAUCGUCAUUUAAAAUGGUUGUUGUGUGAUCUAUUUCUAAUUGUAUUCAAACAUGAAUAUUAUUUUCUUUAUCAUAUAAAAAUUAAUUAGUGAUAUAAAAAGAAGUGUGAAAAAGAAUAUUAAUUUUUUUCUAAAAAAAAUUAGUAGCAUAUUUUGUAUUUUUUUACACGUCAUCAACUUAAAUAAUAGAAGAAACAUAAUUUUAAUUUCCAUUUUAAUUUUUAAAUAAUUUUAAUUACCAAAUUUAAGCAAUCAUAAAAUUUCUCAUGUUCAAUAUAAUAUUCUCAAAAAAAAAUAUUCAUAUGAUAACUUAAAUAAUAUACUAAGAAAUAUGAUUUAUUCUUAUGCAGAUCCAAUACUAAAAUAAGAAAAAAAAAUAUUUUUGAUCACAAUAUAAAAUUGCUUAAAUCAAUGAAAUUUCAUUUUAAGAAAAUAUUAAUCAUUUUUUUAAUACUUUAAAUCAAAGGUAAUUAAAUUUGGUUUAAUUAGUCUUCAAAUUUUAACUAUUAUUUAAAUCAAUCCUUUCGUUACACCUUUGUUAAGUAAAUGAUAGCAUAGCAAGCAAGGAGGUACAAGCAGUAACACUCUCACAAAGAUAAAGAUCUUUAAGCCAUCAUUUUUUUUUCCUUUUCUUUUCUAUGAACUGUCAUUUCUUAUCUCUACAUGGAAUGUCUAGAAGUUGAAAACUUGAGCUUUCUUUAACUAUACUGCUUUCCAUUUUGGCGAACUGCUUUUCUUUCUCAUAAUGAACUUUCCACUAUUCCAAUGAUGGUUCAACAUUAAUAAUUCUUUAUCUAUUUUGUCUAAAAAUUUCCAAUCACUUUUUGUGAGUGGUGUGAAUGUCAUGCAGACAAAUGAUGUUCAAGCUCCACUUUUUCCAUUCAUUGCAAGUUGUAAGCAGAAUGUAGAAUGUACGUAUAAUAAAAUAAUGAGAAUGCCAACUACUAGUACGUAGUACUUAAUUAAAACAAAAGUAUCAAAAUUAGAACGAAAAUAAAUUUGAUGCUGUUAAUACAUGAGUUUAAUUUUGAUACACAGUGUAAAAAUUUAAAUUGUUAAUUAAUUAGAAAUCACCUAAUGAUUUGUAAAACAAUUACUAAAAAAAGUUUCAUUUGAAACUUAGUCUUCCACCCGUCUCAAGCUCUCCACAUGAACACUAAGCUCUUGACAAAAAUAAAUAAAUAAAUAAAUAACCACGAGAAAUAAUAUAUAACUCUUUAGUGGACAAUUGGUGUUCUUUUGUGCAUUCAGUUGAAGGAAGUUCCCAGAAUGGUAGAAAGCAAGGGACAGAUGAAACGGCCACAGCUAAGAAUAGUGCAUCUUAUAUCGGGAAGAGAUUGUUAGAAAGUUUGGUUGCAGUUGCAGGGCUUCUAAUUUGGCUUUCAUGAGCAUUACUCAAAUACUACCUAUAUAUUACCACUUUCAUAUCACAAAAUGUGUUGCCUUAUAAAAUUCAAAUAUUCUAUUAUUACUUGCAGUUUGAACCCAUAAUUAAUUUUAAAAUAUCAAUUUUUUAUUAUUCCAAAUAAAAGAAAUGAAAACAAAAUUGUCUAGUCUCCUAGACAAACCACUUCCCACUCCACCAAAUUCAUAUCAAGGACCCCACUUUUUCCACUUGAACCAUAGACUACUCCAUCAAGUCCAAGUCAAUGUCCUUCAUUUUUUCAUCUUGAACCUUAGGACACUCCACAGCCAACCAUAUUUAGGUCUCUAUCUUCUUCAACAUGAACCAUAGGUCACUACAUUACCUUCAUAUCAAGUUCCUUAUCAUUGACAACAAAUGUUUAGAAUUAAGUAAGCAAGGAAAAAAAUUAUAAAUGAUGAAUACAUCAAUUAUAGGAAAAUGAUCUAAUUUAAAGACUAUUUCGGUUAAAAAAUCUAUAUAAAAAAAGACUCUUUCGUUUCAAUCUAACUAUUUAAUUUUGAUCUAUUUUUUAAUUUACAAAAUAAUAUUAUUCUUAUAUGUGAAAAAAAACUAAUUUUCAUUGUCAUUAAUCGGAAAGAUUGUUGUGUCGUCUAUUCUAAUUGUAUCUUAGCCUGAAUAUUAUAUUCUUUUUCAUUAAAAAUUAAUUAGUAAGAUACAAAGAAGUGUAAAAUGCUUGUUUAACUUGGUCUACCAUAAUUAUUGAGAUCAUAACUUUUUUCUUUUAUAAGUCUUGGUCCAAAUUUCUCCAUAUAUUGUAGAUCAUAUUUAGCUUAAAAAGUAAAUUAGAGGAUAUGAUAUACCAAGAAGUGUGACAUGUUUUUUUAAAUUAUUUAUCUAUGGCCUUAGCUAUUUUAUUGUUAGACCACAAGUCUUCAUAUAUUAAAGUCUUUGUCUGAAUUUCAUUUACUUGUGUGGUGAUAUUUUAAGAAUAGUGAUAGAAGAGAAAAAUAAAUAUAUAAUUUAUUGAAAUAUCUAACUUAUGAAGAUUUGCAUUCUUAAUGCAUAAGCUUUUCAGUUUAUAUAUUAUCAUUAUUUGGAAAUAUUAAUUUGUUGUGUUAAUUGUCUAUUUCUAAUUAAUUUGAAAAUGAAUCUUAAUUUUUUAUCAUAAAAAUUAGUAUCAUAUUUUUUAUUUUCUUUACAAGUUAUCAACUUAAAUACUAAUAGGAGCAACAUAAUUUUAAUUUCCAUUUUAUUUUUUAAAUAAUUUUAAGUGUCAAAUUUAAGCAAUCAUAAAAAUACUCACGUUCAAUAUAAUCUUUUUAAAAAAUAAUUCAUGAGAUCACUUAAAUAAUCUACAAAAAAAUAUAAUUUAUUCUUGUGCCAAAUAAACAACAAAAGAAGUCUUGCAUUAUUAAAUUCAAGUCUUCUAUUACAUGAAAUUUGAACCUAUAACUAAUUUUAAAUGAUCAAAUUUUUAGUAUUCAAAAUAAAAGAAAAGAAAAAAAAAUUGUCUUCUAGACAAACCACAGACAACUCCACCAAAUCCAUAUCAAGGUCCCCACUUUUUCAACUUGAAUCAUAGGCCACUCCAUCAAAUCUAUGCCAAAGUUUCUUAUCAUUGACAACAAAUGUUGAGAGUUAAGUCAAGCAUGAAAAAAAAUAGGGUAAAAUAUAUCAUUUCUAUCCCUAUAAAAUUUUAAUGUGCUACUUUUUUUUUUUAUCCUGAGUUAAGUUUGGAUGAUAGAUAAUUAUCAUGUAUUCUUAGAUUUUGGUGUCAUUUUAGGAUAUUUAUGUGAUAUAUGUCUUUUAUGCUUUUUUAUUGUCAUGAACUAAUCUUCUCUUUUGUUGGAGUUGAAUAUAAUUGGUUCAUUUUUCAUGUAAUGACUAUUUUUUUAUUGAAUAAAGCAUUCUAAUUGUUUCUCUUCUAUGUUUAAUAUGUGUUUUUGGCUUAAUCACCUUGUUUGUAUGAUUUUUUUUAUUCAAUUGUAAUUAAAAAAUUCUUUGAACUACGAAUUGCAAAAAACACCUAAUAAUUUUUAUGUCUAGGAAUAAGAUAAAAAGAAUUGAGCAUCAAUAAACACUUUAUCUUAAUGAAAAUCAUUUAGUUAUAUUAAUUUAAGGGAUUGAUAGUGUAAUCAAGGGAUUUAGGUCUCUUCACUAGGAAUUAAAGUGAAGAUAAUAUGAUGGGUUUAUGAUAAUAUAACCUUUAUUAAAUAUGAAUGUGUAGUUAUUAGGUGAUAGAAACUUCAAUGAAAUUAAACGCCAACAAUUUUUUCAUUGAUUUAACCCCAACAAUUACAUGGGGUGUUUGUUAAAAUUCCCAAACAAUUUUUUUUCCUUAAUUUUUUUCUUUUAUUUUCUUCUUUAGUUUUCUUAUUUUUAUUUCUUCCUUUAAUUUCUUUAUCUUUAUGCAUAUUGUUAUUUAAAUCAAAUUAGCUAAUGUUAAUUAAUUUCAAAUAUUCAUAGUAUAGAAAUUAUACUUUUUAUUACCCAAUUUUAUUACCCAAUUAUUGCCUAAGUCCUGUUAAUGAGUAUUAUAGAAAAAAUGCACGAAUAGCGAGAGAAGGAAGAUGUGGAAGGGUUUAGAAACUGCAGAAUCCUAUGCAAGCUCCAACUUUCUACACUAAUUAAAUUCAUUCAGGCAAAUUCUAAGUUACACGUUGCGUAAAACAAUCUUCUUAAAUCCAAUCACCGAGUGUGUCAUUCCAGGUAUUUUAAUGCUAAUCAUUGUUAGUGCACAGAUAGUAGAAGACAAUAAUGCGUCAUAAAUACAAAACAGAAUUUGAUGCUCAAGUCUGAAGCUCGUCUAGUUCUCUUAACAUUAAGAACAUUUAUUACCAAUGAAAGCAAAACAAACAGACACCCCAUACGAACAUGUACAUAGUAUGGUAAACCUUUUCACAUUUUUAAUGGCUAGACUAACACGUUGUAAUGUCUCUCACUCCUAACAGUUAACAUGUAAACUCACAAUUUCCCAAGUAACCUUCUUACCUUCAAAACUAUUAUCACAUAAAUCAGAUCUCUCAAGUGGUCAAGAUAAUGAAAAUAAGCACGCCUCCAAGUUCUGUUGAAGAAAACAACACUGCAAAACCCCCAAAAUCCUGCUGCAAAUCCAACUCCCAUACCCAUAUAAAACUCUGAUGUUCCAAAGAAAUUACCAUCACCGUGUCAAACAGAAGCAGUCUCUGUCAACUCUUCCUUGUCUGUGCAAUUUUUUGUUACAGGAGGACCACAAAGCUCAGGAUUUCCAGUGUAGCUAAGUUCUUCAAAGCUCUGAAGUUGGGUGCUCGUGGGAAUUCUGCCUGAUAAGUUGUUGUAUGAUAGAUUCAGGACACUGAGGAAGGACAAAUCAGAUAAACUUUGAGGGAUUUGACCUGAAAUGUUGUUUAGUGAGAGAUCAAGGGAUUCUAACAAUUUCAUUUUUCCCAUGUCAUUUGGUAUCCCUCCAGACAGAUGAUUUCUAGACAAGUUCAAAAACCGCAAAGCAGAUAGCUUGGAAAUUUCAGAUGGAAUUGCUCCAGACAGCUUAUUACUUGAAAGAUCAAUCAUUCUCACCAAUAUCAAAUUGUCUCUGUACUCUAACUCAUCUCCUUUGGGAACUAAGACAAGAGUUUCCUUGUAGUGGUUAUAACUGAAGUCAGAGCCAUAUGAAUAACUUGAAGGGUUUGCAAAGAAGUCAUCUUCACCAGCCAUUGUUUUCAUGUCAUCCAAACAAUUUGGAAUGGAUCCUGACAGGCUGUUAUUGCCAAGAUCCAGCACUAUAAGGGAAGAAAGUUGACAAAUCUUUUCAGUGAAUGCUGCCAUUGAAAUUGUUGGAUCUUAGACGAAGAACCAUUAGAUAUUGCAUUUCCCACAUCCAAUCUGGUAUUGUGUCAGAAAGUUGGUUAUUGCCCAUGUCAAUGAAUUUCAUUGUAGAGCAAUUUUGCAGUGUUGAAGGAAUAUAUCCAGAGAAGCGGUUGUCGUCUAACAACAAAGACUCAAGUUGAGAUAGAUACCCCAUGGAGUUUGGAAUAACACCAGACAAAUUGUUACUACCCAAGUUCAAAUGCACCAAAGCUUGCCAAUGCACCCAACAGUGACCAAGAUCACCAGAUAAGACAUUAUUUGAAAAAUCAAGCACACUUAAAUUAUUAGUAGCAUUUUCCUUUCCACAUAAAAAGGGAGAAAUUGUUCCGGAAAUUGAGUUAUUGGCAACAUUCAGCACUUCAACAUUUGCAGACACACUUGGCAAUGUACCCUUGAACAAAUUAGAACUCAAAUUUAUGAGGCUGGAAUUGAGAAAGAUGUUAGAUAGGUCUCCACUUAACAGAUUGUUGGACAGAUCCAGGAAUUCAGUUUGCAAAGUCCAAUUCCAAAACCAACUUGGAACCAAGUCUGCAAUACCUGCCUUAGACAUUGUCAAAACCUUCACAGAACUUUGCCUUUUUAGUCAUUCUGGAAACUUAGGACCUAUUCCAAAGGAGCUCAGUAAAACAUAUUCAAGCUGAAAAGGAGGAACCCAUCCAGAGUUGACACUGAGGAACAAGUUUGUCCAAGACAAACGUAGUUCCUUUAAUUUCAAAAGUUUUACAAAAUUUGACUCUUUUAUAGAUCCUUCUAACAAAUUAGAUGAAAGGUCUAACAUCACUAAAUUUGAGAGAGUUCCAAGAGUUACAGGCAUAUCACCAGUCAAAGAAUUAGUUCCAAGAUUUAAUACCUGCAGGUUUCUGAGGAACUCAAAACUCUUAGGAAUGGUUCCAUUCAGUCGGUUGUGAGCCAGGUUUAAAGUUCUCAAGGAUGACAAGUUUGCAAAUGGUGAGGGAAUUGGACAAGUAAAGGUAUUAUUACUGAGAUUUAGAACUUCAAGAUGCUUAAGCUGGCCUAAUGAAUCUGGAAGUGGCCCACUGAGCUGGUUGUUCUGCAGGUCUAGAUUUUUUAUGUUCUGAAGGCUUGAUAUUAUUUGUGGAAUUUGUCCCUGUAAAAGGUUACUGUGUAAAUCAAGUUGGACAAGAGUUGUGCUGAGGUUAAAUAGCCAUGAAGGGAUUUGCUGAUUGAGAUUGUUAAUUGAAAGAUCAAGGACUUGGAGAUGUGUGAAGUUGGCUUUUCGUUUUGGUGGUCCUAAGUUAUCAAUUUGACAGCUCUCCAAGUGUAGUUCUGAAAGAGAUGGAAGUGCACUCAGUACUUGAAGCCAGUUACCUUGUUUAUGAAGGUCUGAACCACUCAAAUCAAGGUACUCCAAGGAAGAUAGCCUUGAUAUCCAAUUAAGGUUAUCUAUCUGAAGAGCAUAAUUGUAUCCAAGAUUAAGGUGCUGCAGGUUUGAGAGGUUUCCUAGUUGAUGAGGGAUUAAUCCCAUGAACCCACUUAAGCUAAGGUCCAAGUAUCUCAGACUCUCCAAUGAGCCUAGGAAGCUUGGUAUUGGAGUAAGAACAAAAUAAUUUGAACUCAAGUCCAAACGAUUCAAAUAUUUUAGUUCAAGCAAAGAAGGACUAAUCUCUCCACUCAACUCCCUAUAGGGAGAGCCCGCAGGUGUGUCAAGAUUGAUUUCCAUGACUUUACCUGUGUUGUUGCAGUGAACCCCUGGCCAUGUACAGCAAUCCGAUUUGUCAGACCACGAUGAAAGCCUGUUUGAAGGGUCUGCUAGUCCAUGCUUGAAGCUGAGGAGUGCAUUCCUUUCCUUCUCGCUGCAAGUCAUAUUGAGCCUUGCUGCCUUGCUUGCACUGAAGUGGAGAGUUGUUGCAGUGGACAAUAUCAAGAGAAGAACAUGAGUUGCAUAUAGCACUGCCAUGAAGAAGAAGGAAAACGAAAAAGGUUGAAUCCACAAUUUUCUGGUUCACGGUUGGUAUUUACUACUAACAAUGCCUAUAUAGGAUAUAUACCAUAGAAGGGUUUGCAUUUAAAAUUUUAUUCCACUAAUGGUGGUGGUUGCAAAAUGCACACAUAUGUAGAGGUAUAUAUGUCUACAAGGAGACAUUUAGGAUUAAAAGUGUCUAACCACACCACCAUUAUUUUGCUCUAGUUUAUUUUAUUUUGAUUUAAUUACCCUUUUAGUCCUUAUAAUUGUGAUAAUUUUUUUUAGUCUCUAUAGUUUAAGACAUUCAUUUUGGUUCUUAUAUUUACAAUUUUUUUUAUCUUUUGGUCCUCGAGGGGAAGAUUCAACUCACACAUAAACAUGAACAAAAUUAAUAAAAAUAGGGAAGCAAGCUCAGGUACAAAUGAAGUGUAAUGGAGGUAUGAGACAAAGCCACUACACAUUCCAUUAUUCUUGAGUCUGCCACCGACCUCUGCAAGCUUAGCAUUUGCCAAUUGCCAUGAUGUAAUCUCGUUCUUGACAGUCUCUCAUCAAGUUGGAGUGGUAUCACAGCAUUGAACUAAGUUGAUCGUUCCAUGGGAUGAUGGUUUUGAUUGCUGCAGAUAAAGUGUGUGAUUGUGAGUUUCUGGUCCCAUGAGUUAAACUAUAAGGAUUAAAAAAAAUAUUGUCAUAACUUUAAGGGCGAAAAAGAUAAUUAAACCUUUUAUUUUUUUUAACAACGGGUUAUAUAUAUGUAGCAGUUUAUUCUAAACAAUGGACUACGUGUGAAAUCUUUGAAUUCUAUGUAAGAAAUGUUAUUUCAAACUUCUCAUCAGUCUUCAUGUCAAUGAUGACAUGCUCCAUUUGAAUUCUAUGUCUAAUUAAGCUCUCGGUCUUCGUUUUUGCAACUUUAUUUCGUAGAAAGAAGCCAAAUUUGAAGAUACAACAUUUGAUACUAUAACUGUUUGGUGUUUUGAAAAUCUCACUCACAUAUUUCCAAAUGUUACAAAAGAAUUUGAUUCAGUGGUUAUUACGAAUUCCUUCCUAGCCUUUUUUACCAAGUCAGGGAAUUUGCAUUGUUGUGCAUGAUGGCUGCCACAAGGACCCUUGUACCAACCCAUUAGUGCAAGUGGUUUUUUCUUAUGAGAAUUGAGAAACAAAUUAUAUGUGUUUUAUUAAGGGAAUUCUAUUAUUUUUAAUUUUGAACUUGUAAUGUUUUUUGUUUCCCUCACAGAACAAGUGAUGAAACUCUUGAUGAUCGACGCCAUACGUACGCCUACUUUGAUGCUCUUUUUUCACACCACUUUUAUCUUAAUGGUAUCUCAAGUUGACAAUCAUAAAUUAAAAUAGCUAACUAUAGUUGAUUAGUAGAGACAAACAGCUCAAAGAUAAAGAUCUUUAAGCCAUCAUUUUUUUUUCCUUUUCUUUUCUAUGAGCUGUCAUUUCUUAUCUCUACAUGGAAUGUCUAGAAGUUGAAAAUUACUUGAGCUUUCUUUACCUACUGCUUUCCAUUUUGGCGAACUGCUUUUCUUUCUCAUAAUGAACUUUCCACUUCCAAUGAUGGUUGAACAUUAAUAAUUCUUCAUCUAUUUUGUCUAAAAAUUUCCACUCACUUUUUUUAGUGGUGUUAAUGUCAUGCAGACAAAUGAUGUCCAAGCUCCACUUUUUCCAUUCAUUGCAAGUUGCAAGCAGAAUGUAGAAUGUACGUAUAAUAAAAUAAUGAGAAUGGCAACUGCUAUAAGUACUACUUAAUUAGAACAAAAGUAUCAAAAUUAAAACGAAAAUAACUUUGAUGCUGUUAAUAUAUGAGUUUAAUUUUGAUAGAUAGUGUAAAAAUUUAAAUUGUUUAUUAAUUAGAAAUCACCAAAUGAUUUGUAAAACAAUUAGUAAAAAAGUUAUAAGAAAUAUAUAUAUAAUUAAUUAAUUGCAAAUGAAAGUGUAUUUAAAUUAAAUUCUUAAUUAACAUAUCCUUAUUGUGAUAUUUUGUAUAUUUUUUAUUUAAUUGAGACAGUGGAAUGAGACCGCACUAUAAUUUUCAUCACGGGUUGUAUUGUCUAAUAUAAUAGGGAUGGUUGGUGAGGAAUUUUGGAAUGUUAGUUGGUUUUAGACUAUAUAUCCUCUUGUUCAGUUUUCACAUUCUCAUUAGAGUUAAGUUGCUUUUGGGGAAGAACCAAUGUCUUGAAAUUCCCUCUUCACCAGAAGCAGUUUUAUUGUGUCUUUAUCGAAGUCAUCUUCUCCAGAGACUUGCCUUUAACUUUGAAGAUAGGAAAUAGAUCAGUCAAACAUUGUUUCAGUUUAUUUGGAUUUUAUUUUAAGGACAUGUGAUUUACAAAGACUUCUUACAACUCACAACCUUUGGAAUUUCUCUAUGCCUGGUUAACCCACAAUUUCUGGCGCCUGUUGCGGUUAGGAACAUAGGCUAGCAAAAACACUAAUCAUUUCAAGAGAAAUGUUAACACACUUUUCUAAUAUAUUAUUUUUUAUAUUAAAAUUUAUUAAAAUAAAAAAUUCAGCUGAUCUCAUAUUUUAUUUAGCAAAUUUUUCCCAUAUAUUAAGUCUUAGGUUUUUAAAAUUAUAAAGCUAAAACUAAAAUGUUUUACUAAAUGUAUUUUAAAGUAAAUUUUACACACAAAAAUAUUAUGAUUUUAUAAAAAUUGUUUGGUCAAGGGAGACAUAUUGAGCCAUAGAAAUACUAAGUUAUGGGCAAGAUUUUGAUAUACUAUAACCUUAAUUUUUACAAUAAACCUAAAUGUCUAAAUAUCAUAACUCAACCAUGCGACGAAAUGACAAUGUGUUAAUUUUGUUGUGUCCUCAACCAUGCGUAUGCCUCAGGCCGAGGGAAUUCUCACACACCACUCCUAACAAUUUCUAAGGAAUUCCACAACGUGUCUAUGCUUCAGACAACAAUAACGUACCAAAUAAACAAGUAGCAUCUAAUAAUGUUAAAAUAAGCACACAUAUAUCGAGCCAACCAACGUUGGAGGUAGAAGAACAACAAUAAUAUCAAUAUUUAAUUUCAUUUAGUGUUAAUUUAUUCGGAACUCAACGUAAAAUAACAAUUUAAUAGAAAACAAACAGAGUAUUUAUUAAGAAUAAAAAUAUAUUUAAUUUCAUUUAGUGUUUAAUAGUGUUUUGGUCUAUGUUUUUUUUUUUGUUUUUUUAUAGUUAUUUCUUUUCAAAUUUGAUGACAACAUUGUCAUUGGGUCCUUCUACCCUUCACAUCAGCAAAUUGGACACUAAAGAGACUCGGUCAGAAACAAAUAACUACUAGGGGUACAAUAACAUGAGAGGAUUUAACACUUUUGGAGUAGGAAAAUGUACUUUAAGAAAAGAAAAUUAUAUGUUUAUCCAUGAACACUAAGCUCUAGAGAAAAAAAAAACCACGAGAAAUAGUAUAUAACUCUUUAGUGGACAAUUGGUGUUGUACAAAAUUGAAAUGAUCCAGACUAAGUCAACAAACUGGUCUUCUUCAUUGAACUCACAGUGAAACCACAGAAUUUAUUUUCAUCUGCUAGUUUCCUUCCCAAUUCCCAUGUUUUCUAAAACAUAACACACUACAGAACCUUCUAAUAAAUUAAAACAAAAAAAUCAAUAUUUUACAUGUAGCACCACAACCUAACAAUUUCUACCUACAACUUUUUCUAUAGACUAUAAUAUAAUCUAUCUCCACUCAAUCAUUCAUCAAGAUUGAAAAAUGGAUUCAAAUGCUUGUCUACCACACUUGCUAGUGUUAGCAAUAACAUUGGUAUUGGUUAGUCAUGCAAUGGGAGAUUCAGCUAAAGACAAGUGUUGUCUCUUUGCCUUUUAAGUUGUACAUAGUUGCAAAACAGGUAUAUGUGAAAGAAUAAUGCUUAUUAAAGGUAAGGUUGAUUUUAAAGUGGGCAUGCAAGAAUGCAUUCAUUAUCUCAAGUAAAUAAAUUCAAGCGAAUAUCUGAUUUGGAUUAGAGAAUAGUAUUAUCCAGUGCACACUAAAUUGGAGAGAUUCCCAACAUGUGGUUUCAAAACUAAAAGUACUUACCAACUAUUUGAAUUUUAAUCUACGUGAUCUAGCUAAUGUUUUCUAUCAGAGAAUUACAACUAGUUGAUCUUAAGAACAAAACUAUACUAAAUAUGCAAAUCUUUACAUCUAAAAACAGAAUUUAAAUAAGGCUCUCAAAUUUGAAGAAAAAAAAGAAGAUAGCAAUGACUACAAAUUGAUCAAUCUGCCAAUACAAUGAUAAAACAUCGGUUUAUUCUAAGCAACACUAAAAAGGGAUACUACAUUAGCAAAAAGAUUGAAAUUAUUGACCAUGCAGUAUGAAUGUACAGCAUUAUUUAUUUAAUUUUUCUAAUACGAUUUUAUUUUAUAUUAAUACAAAAACUCUCACAAAACAACUUCUUAACUACUAGUUAAUUACUACUUUUAUACAUAAAAAAACUAGUUAAUUACUACUGCUACAUAGCAGAAAUUCCUUAAUUCUUCGAGAAUUAUAUUCCUUAAUUUCACGUGGUUUGCCUCAGUUGUUUGCCGCAGGUUUCAGUAUAUCCUUAGGAAUCGUCGAUUGUCAAAUCGUUGUUAAAUAACGGCGCUAUAUAUAAUUUUAGUAUUUUGACGUUUUUAAAUGAAUUUCUUAUUUAUGAUUAUAUAUUUACAAUUUUUAAUUUCACUUAAAAAAAAGAGUUUUUUUGGAUUUACAGAGAAAAAAAAUAGAGUUUUUAGUUAACACACUGUUACUAUAUAGUGCGGAGACAAUUACCCCACAAGCUUUUCAUUAACUUGUCAUAAUAUAAUAUAUGUGAAUACAAACUGUCCCUAUAAUUUAAAAUAAAAUAAAUGAAAAGUCAAUAACUUUAUAAGUAUUGUCUCCACACAUAUAUAUUAUCCUAUAACUUACAAUUUUAAUAUUUAUUAUUGAUAUUCUUAAUUAACUAAGUAAAAAUAUUUUUUUUAUAAUUUUUAAGAUAAUUAUUAUAAAUAUUAAUAAAUUUAUUAUAAAUAACAUUUUUAUAUGUGUAAGUGCAUGUAUAUUAUUUAUUGAAAUAUUUUAUUUGAAUUUUUCAUUAAAAAUACUAAAUUUAUUAACAUGAUAUGUGCCUCGUUAGAGCAGUGGUUUAAUUAAAUUGGAUAGUGAGAACUGAAUUGACGACAGAUUCUCUUUCCAUAUGUGAUGAAAGAGUUGUACGAAAUCUUUAUGACAUCAACCCCCAACAUGAGUGGCCCAGUGGACAAGCCCAUCAAUCUAACAUGUCGGUUGAUAGCACUUGCAUAAACUUUUGUUCCUUGCAUCAUCUCAUGUGUCUCCAUUCUCCAUUCUCUGCUUCCACUCACGAUUAAACCUUAUUGAUUAGGGUUCAAUGAUUUUUCAAUGAAUAAAAUUAAUUUUGAAUUCUUGAUUCUAACAGCUCACGUAUAGUCUGUUGAAUCAAAUGGAUUAGACUCUUGAUAUCAUAAAGAAAAUUAAAAUUUGAUUCUUUGUGUAAAAUAAAGAAAUCUAAUUAAUUAUGCUUGUUAUGUUACUAUAUCAUUUUUCCGGUGUGGAAUAACAUCAAAAUCAAAGUAAUAAAGUUACUUGCAUGUUACUCUAACCAUAAUUCCAGUUAAGUCGAAUAUGGUUUCAUGUUUUGUAAAACAAUUUAGAUCCCCUUUAUCAAAGUGUGUCUGUCUUCUACACAAGUUUUUUCACUUUAUUCUAUUUCCCCAGAAUCAAUUGUUGUGUUAUUCAUGCUAUUAAAUUAGUUCGAUAACUACCAUGUCGAUCAUUGUUAGUUUUGUUUCCACCAUUGUUGGGAAUACGUAUAUACUAUUACUUUAUGAUUAAACGUGUUACUUAAAUUGCAGAAAAAAACUCUUUAUAAUGAAGUACAAUUGUUUAUAACUACAACAAUUAUAUUGAGUCAAUUUAACACUCAUCAAAGGCAGAAAAGCUUUACUUUAAGAUUAGACAGAGGCUCAUACCAAUCAUGGCGGUGGUUAUAAUUAGACACAUCAGCAACUGUAAAAGAUCUUGCACGGCCACAGAAAAAAAAAAUGCUUGAUGCACAUCUGAUAAACUCACUCAAGGUCUAUGUAUUAAUAGUGUAAAAGAGAGACUGAAUAUUAAAUGAUAAAAAUAUAAAAUAAUUGUUUUGUAUUGGCAGAGUACACAUAUAUAUGCCCAAAUGUAGAUUCAAAGUUCAAACAUUUUGGGACUAGAUCAUCCCUCCUAGUCAUAGCCAUCUGAAUUGGAUCGACCCCACCCCAAGGUUUGUGUUGCAUCACUUGCAUGCAUUCACCCACCACUGUUGUUGUUAUAGUUUUCUCGUGAUUUUUGUAUUGGAAAAUACUAUGGACAAAUAUAAUUGAUACAGUCAUAAUUAAUUAUUGUCAUGUUGCAAUUACAAAGACUCCUCAAAGAAAAUGUUUAGUAAAUCAUGAUCAAGUAGAAAUUGCAAUGGCAAACUGUUUUUUAAAAUCUUAUUAGUCAGUUGUAUAAACCCAAAUUUAGUUAUAUCCAGGUAUGUAAUAUUUGCCAUUUUAGUGCUCUGUUUGGAAAUUUGCGUGUCGAAUUGUUUUUUUUAUACGUACCUACACAACACUCUUUAGCCAAAUACCACUGUUCAUGGAAAAAUCUGUCCUGAAAGGAGUAUAGAACCAGAAACAAUAUGCGUGGUGGUAUCUAUCAUUCUGAAAAAGAAAAAAAGUGGGAUUCUUACAAUAGUAGGACUGUGACACUACUAGAAAAAUCUAUGCACCUUUGAUGUCCCUAAAUUUAUGAACAAAAGAUUCAGGUGUCGUUUAUUGAAUUUGUUUUAUAUGGAGUGUAAAGUCAUAUUCAAUACUAAUAAGUGUAUGUUUAUAUAAUUCUUUUUAAAAUAAUUACUCUUCUUUAUUUACAUCUAAUAAAAAUGUUAUCACAUUAAAAUUUUUAAAAUAAGCUAAAUGAAGCAUGUUUCAUAAGAAAUUAACUUUUACUGUAAUUGAUACAUUUUUUAGUGACAAAGGGAGAUGGGUGAAGACGGUGAAGGAAAAAAAAAUGAAGAUAAUGUCUAUGUUGUUCAAAUAACAGUAUUAAUUGUAUUAAAAUAGUUAAUAUUAAAAAAUAUAUUAGUAAAUAUAACAUUGUUGUGUUGGUGCUAUUUAUUGUGCAUCAAAAUAUGUAAAAAUAAUAAUUAACUUAUAAUUUGUAUAGUUGGUAUGGGUUGUUUUAUCUAUCCUGGAUUUUGUUGAAUCACACAUAUAAUCAUUUAUAUAUAUAUAUGGGCUACUAUUGUCACUACCAAAAAUGCUAUGGAGACUACCAAAGCAUUUGAAAUUACUUGGUUAUCCUUAGUUCCAAUUCCCCACACCUCCUAUCCUUCCCCUCCUUACGUUCAGCUACUCUCCUUCUUUACAUACAAAAACAGAAUUUAAAUAAGGCUCUCAAAUUUGAAAAAAAAAAGAAGAUAGCAAUGACUACAAAUUGAUCAAGCUGCCAAUACAAUGAUAAAACUUCGGAGUAUUCUAAGCAACACUAAACAGUGAUACUACCUAAGCGAAAAGAUUGAAGUUUGAACCACACAUGAUCAAGGAAAUGAAAAUAGGCAUACCGCCAUGAUCUACAAAUCAGCAAAGGAGCAAUCACUAUCCAGAAUCCCACAAUAAAUCCAAUUGUCAUACUGACAAAAAACCAAUUCACUCCAUGCCCAUCACUUCCUUCAUAACUAUGGGUUUUCCCAUUGGAGCUGCAGUUUAUGGGCAGUGGUGGACCACAUAGAUUGUUGCCGAUGAAGCUGGAGGCAUCAAAGGUUUGCAAUUGAGUUCCUGUUGGAAUAUUUCCCUUCAAAUGAUUGUAUGACAAGUCUAGCAUGCUCAGAAAGCUCAAAUUUGCAAUGCUUGGAGGGAUUUCACCAAAAAGUUGAUUCCUCGAAAAAUCAAUGGACUGUAAUGAUCUCAUAUUACCUAUACCUUGUGGAAUAUGACCAAUCAAUUGGUUGUGGGACAUGUUUAAAAAAUUCAAUCCAUUUAGAUAUGUGAUUUCUCUUGGUAUUUCCCCAAAUAACUUGUUACUUGACAGAUCAAUGCUUGUUACCAAACCCAGAAUGUUUCUGUACUCAUCUCCUCUUCCUUUCAGCCAUAGUAGCACACUAACUAUACUUUCCAUCGACGUACCAUGUUUUCCUUGAGAAUAGAUACGAGGAUCUGUACUUUGGUUCUUUAGUGUCAUGGCACUCAAGUUACUGAAACAGCUCGGUAUAUUGCCAGACAGAUUGUUUUGUGCAAGGUCUAAAACCUGAAGAUGACUCAUCUGACAUAUUUCACUUGGAAUGUGUCCGGCAAAUCUGUUUGAUCGAAGGCGGAGGAUUUUCACAUUUAGAUAGGUUUGUAUAACUCAAAUAAAGAUAGACCAAAUUGGAGAGAUUCCCAAUCUGAGAUGGAAUCUUCCCCAUGAAUCCAGUAUAAGAGAGGUCGAGGUGAGUAUUCCCGAGAGCAAGUUGUNNNNNNNNNNNNNNNNNNNNNNNNNNNNNNNNNNNNNNNNNNNNNNNNNNNNNNNNNNNNNNNNNNNNNNNNNNNNNNNNNNNNNNNNNNNNNNNNNNNNGGGAAGUUCCCAACAAAAUGGUUGCUUUGUAAAUUCACGUCCACUAGAAAUGGCCAAUUAAUCCAACAAUCAGGUAUUUCUCCUGACAGAUUAUUUGAUGCAAGAUUGAGAAAUUCUAAUUGCAUUGGCUUGUCCUGAUUGUUACAUAAAAAAUCUUGCAUGGAUUCAGAGAAAGAGAUACCAAUUUAGAGAGUGAUCGAAGACUUUCAAAUGGAUUUCCAAUGAAUUUAUUCAUAGAGAGAUCGAGAUAUCUUAAUGAUGAAAGUUUUCCAAAUGAUCUAGGAAGAGCACCACCAAUUGAGUUGUUGGAAAAAAGUAACGUGUCAAUAUUUUUAAAUGCCCCAAUAUGAUCUGUCAGAUUGCCUGAAAGUCGUGAACUCUGAACUGCAAGUGUUGUGAGUCCAUGGGAAAUACAAGGAGCAAGAAUUUCUAAAAGUUCAUUAACCUGUUGGUUGAGUUUGAGAUAUGAUAAAUCUAUCACCCUUAAGUUGCAGAGAUUACCCAAAGAAGUUGGAAUGUUUCCUUCAAGUUGAUUACCUGAUAAAUCAAGUUCAACAAGAGAAGUCAAAUUUCCCAAAGAAGUUGGAAUGUUUCCUUCAAGUUGAUUACCUGAUAAAUCAAGUUCAACAAGAGAAGUCAAAUUUCCCAAAGAAGUUGGAAUGUUUCCUUCAAGUUGAUUACCUGAUAAAUCAAGUUCAACAAGAGAAGUCAAAUUUCCCAAAGAAGUUGGAAUGUUUCCUUCAAGUUGAUUACCUGAUAAAUCAAGUUCAACAAGAGAAGUCAAAUUUCCCAAAGAAGUUGGAAUGUUUCCUUCAAGUUGAUUUCGUGAUAAAUCAAGUUCAACAAGAGAAGUCAAAUUUCCCAGGGCAUCAGAAAUAGUCCCAUGCAAGUUGGUUUCCCCUAGGUUGAGGAACUUGAGACGAUGAAGACCGUAUAAGCAAUUAGGUAUAGAAGAUGAAAAUGAAUUGAAAGACAAGUCAAGAUUUUGAAGAUGUGUGAGGUUUCGAAUACCACAAGGAAUCGGACCUUGGAUUUGAAAAUUAUAUGAUAAUUGAAGAGAAACAAGUUUCUUCAAUUUGAAUAUCCACUUGGGGACAAAAGAAAUGGCAGGGGAAUAACUAGUUAAGGAAAGAUGGAGAGUUUGCAGAGAUGAGAAGUUGAGCAAGGAUGGUUCAUUAUAGUGAGGGAGUAAGGAUCGUGACAAAUAUAGGUGGGUCAAAGAAGGAAGAGAUUGGAGAGUGUGUAGCCAAUGAAAUGCUUUGGAUAGGUUUGCACUACUCAAAUCAAGAUAUUCAAGCUUCCACAUACUUGAUACCCAUUCUACAUUUUCAGCAAACAGAAAUCCGAGAUCAGUCAAAUAACCUCCGAGGUCAAGGUAGACCAAAUUGGAGAGAUUCCCAAUCUGAGGAGGAAUCUUCCCCGUGAAUCCAGUAUAAGAGAGGUUGAGGUGAGUCAAGGAAGUCAUUGUCCCAAGGAAAGAAGGAAUUGACAUACCUUCUCCAAGGAAUUCAUUGCCGCUCAAGUCCAAGUAAUUCAAAUGCUUUAAAUCAGCCAAACAAGGACUUAUCACUCCACCAAACUGGGAUUUCUCAUAAGCUUCCUCAUCGAAGUCUGAGUAGAGAUAGCCAUCAUGGUCAUGAUAGAAAGCAGAAUCUGAAGUGUUGAGGUGAAGCUGAAGAACAUGGGAAGUGACGUUGUGGCAGAGGACUCCAUACCAGUGGCAACAGUUGGUAUUAUUAUGAUUCCAAGACCAAAGCCUAUUUGAAGGAUCUAUGAGAUUAUUCUUAAUCUUCAAAAGUGUCUCACGCUCACUUGGGAUGCACACACUCUCUCUGCAUGGUAAGCUGAACAACCAAAGCUGGACAAAGACAAGAAUAUAAAUGGAGGAAUUCAUGAUCACACAAGAAUAUAUAGAAAACAAGUGUUGUUGUUGGUUCUGCAUAUAAAUCAUCAAACUUCUAUUAUUUAUACUGCUGCCCUGCCUGUUUUUUUCUUCACUUUCAUUAUUUUUUACCUUUUUUAUUAUUGUGCCAAAUACUAAAAUAUUCUUCCAUUCUUUUUUUACGCUGGCCUCUUUAAAUUAUCGAUUUAAUUAUCCAAUUCUCCCGAAUUAAUUCUUAGAAUACGAAAAUUUUUGUAUUUACUGUAUCAAUCUCCCUUUUUAAAAUUCCUAUAUACACUAAAUUCAUAAAAAAAUCAAAAUUAAUAACAAAGAAAUAUGAUUUACUUGUGCUGAAUACUAACAUAAGAAACAUUUUUUUUGGUACAGUUUUUUUUUUUUUACAAAAAUAAGUAAGAAUCAUUGUAUUUUAAUUUACCCUAUAAUACUGCUUAAAUGAAAAUUUGGUGUCAUUAAAAUUCAAAUUUUAACUAUUAUUUAAUCAAUCUUUUCGUUAAACUUUUGUUACGUACAAAAGUCCAAUAUUUUUUUAAGAAAAAAUCAAGUCUUCUAUUUCAUCAAAUCCCAACCCAUGAUUAAUAUUAAAUUAUCAAAUUUUCAACAUUCAAACUAAAAAUAAUGUAAAAGAAAAUUGUCUUCUAAAUCAAAGCUCACACAAUCAAGUCAAUCUCAAGCUUUUCCAUUUUUUCAUCUUGAACCUUUGGACACUCUACAAAGUCCAGCCAUGAUGUUAAGGUCUGACUUCUUCAACUUGAAUACCUUCAUAUCAAACAAAUGUUGCGAGUUAAGUCAAGCAAGGAAAAAAAAAUAUAAUUGAUGAAUAAAUCAAUUAUAGGAAAAGACUUUACUUUAAAGACUAUUUUGGUUAAAAAAAUCUAUAAAAAAAAUUAUUUCGUUCCAAGCUAGCUAUUUAAUUUUGAUCAAUUUUUCAAUUCACAAAAUAAUAUUCUUUUUAUAUGUGAAAAAGACUAAUUAAUCUUCAUUGUCAUUAAUGAUUGUUGUGUUGUCUAUUUCUAAUUUUUUUUAAUCAUAAUAUUAUUUUCUUUUUUUAUUAAAAAUUAAUUAGUGAGAUACAAAGAAGUUUAAAUUGCUUGUUUAGCUUGGUCUAUCAUAAUUAUUGAGAUCAUAGUUUUUCCUUUUAUAAGUCUUGUUCCAAAUUUCUCCAUGUAUUGUGUAGAUCAUAUUUAACUUAAAAAGUAAAUUAGAAGAUCUACAAAGAAGUGUGGCAUGUUUUUUAAAUUAUAAAAUUAUGGUCCUAGCUAUUUAUUGUUAGACCACAAGUCUUCAUAUAUUAAAGUUUUUGUCUAAAUUUCAUUUAUGGUGAUAGUUUAAGAAUAGUGAUAGAAGAGAAAAAUAAAUAUACAAUUUAUUGAAAUAUCUAACUCAAUUAAUUGAUGAGUACAUCAAUUAUAGAAAAAGGGUGUACUUUAAAGACUAUUUCUAUUAAAAAAUCUAUAAAACAUUAUUUUGUUCCAAUAUAAUUAUUUAAUUUUAAUCAAUUUUUUAGUUCACAAAAUAAUAUUCUCUUAUAUAGGAAAAAAAAGACUAAAUUUAAUUAUCAUCAAUUGGAAAAGUUAUUGUGUCAUGUAUUUCUAAUUGUAUUCGAACUUGAAUAUUAUUUUAUUUAUCAUAUAAAAAUUAAUUAGUUAUAUAAAAGAAGUAAAAAGAAUAUUAACUUUUUUUCUCAAAAAAAAAAUCAGUAUCAUAUUUUAUGUUUUUUACAAGUUAUCAACUUAAACAAGAUGAGAAACAUAAUUUUAAUUUCCAUUUUACUUUUUAAAUAAUUGCAAGUGCCAAAUUUAAAUAAUCAUGAGAAUACUCAUGUUUAAUAUAAUAUUCUAAAAAAAAAAUCCAUACGAUAACUUAAACAAUCUACAAAGAAAUAUAAUUUAUUCUUGUGCUAAAUACUAAAACAAGAAACAUUCUUUUAUUUUAGUUUACCGUAUAGAAUUGCUUAAAUCAAUGAAAUUUUUAUUUUAAGAAAAUAUUAAUGAUUUUUUUAAAACUUUAAGUAGUUUACAUCAAAGGUAAUUAAAUUUGACUUAAUUAGUCUUCAAAUUUUAACUAUUAUUCAAAUCAAUCCUUUCGGUAAACCUGUACGUGUUAAGUAAACAACAAAAAGUCUUGCCUUAUAAAAUUUAAAUAUUCUAUUACAUGCGGUUUGAACCCAUAAUUAAUUUUAAACUAUCAAAUUUUAAUUAUACAAAAUAAAAGAAAUGAAAACAAAAUUGUCUCCUAGACAAACCACUGGCCACAUCACAAAAUCCAUAUCAAGGUCCCCACCUUUACAACUUGAACCAUAGACUACUCCAUCAAGUCAUGUCAAGGUCCUCCAUUUUUUCAUCUUGAACCUUAGGACACUCCACAAAGUCCACCCAUAUUAAGGUCUUCAACUUCUGCAACGCAUAUAUAGAAAACAACUUAAUUGUAUAAGGGCUUCUUGCUUCUGCAUAUAAAUCAUAAAACUUCUAUUAUUUAUACUGCUGCAAGUGUCUUUCUUUUCUUUUUUCUUUUUUUUAUGACGUUUCCUUUUUUUAAUUAUUGACUUUAUUAUCCAAUUCCCCCGAGUUAAUUCUUGGAAUAGGAAAUAAUUUUGAAUUUACUUUAUCUAUCUCCCUUUUUAAAAUUCCUAUAUACACAAAAUUUUGUAUUGAAUUUAACUAUUAUUUAAUUUUGAUUAAUCAAUCCUUUCGUUAAAAUUUUGUUAAUUAAACAAUAAAAGUCCAACAUUUUAUUAAAAAAAUUCAAGUCUUCUAUUUCUAAUUUUAUUUGAACUUGAAUAUUAUUUUUUUAUCAUAUAAAAAUUAUUAGUUAUGUAAAAAGAAGUGUGAAAAAGACUAUUAACUUUUUUUCUCCAAAAAAUCAGUAUCAUAUUUUAUAUUUUUUACAAGUUAUCAACUUAAAUAAGAGGAGAAACAUUAUUUUAAUUUCCAUUUUACUUUUUAAAUAAUUUUCAAGUGUCAAACUUAAAGAAUCAUAAAAAUACUCACGUUCAAUAUAAUAUUCUCAAAAAGAAAAAUAUUGAUAUGAUAACUUAAAAAAUCAACAAAGAAAUAUAAUUUAUUCUUGUGCCAAAUACUAAAAUAGGAAACUUUUUUAUUUUAGUUUACCGUAUAGAAUUGCUUAAAUCAAUGAAAGUUUUAUUUUAAGAAAAUAUUAACAAUUUUUUAAAACUUUGAGUAGUUUACAUCUAAGGUAAUUAAAUUUAGCUUAAUUAGUCUUCAAAUUUUAACUAUUAUUUAAAUCAAUCCUCUAAGUAUAUAACAAAAAGUCUUGCAUUAUAAAAUUCAAAUAUUCUAUUACUUGGAAUUUGAACCAUAAUUAAUUUUAAACUAUCAAAAUUUUAUUAUUCAAAAUUAAAAAAAUUAAAAACAAUUUUUUCUCCUAGACAAAUCGCUGGCUACUCCACCAAAUCCAUAUCAAGGUCCCUACUUUUUCAACUUGAACCAUAGGCUACUCCAUCAAGUCCAUGUCAAGCUCCUCCAUUUUUUCAUCUUGAACCUUAGGACACUCCACAAAGUCCAACCAUACUAAGGUCUCUGACUUCUUCAACUUGAUCCAUAUCCCAUAGGCCACUCCACCAAUUUCAUGACAAUGUCCCCCCACUUCUUCAACUUGAACCAUAGGUCACUACAUUACCUUCAUAUCAAGUUCUUUAUCAUUGACAACAAAUGUUUAGAAUUAAGUAAGGAAGGAAAAAAUUAUAAAUGAUGAAUACAUCAAUUAUAGAAAAAGAAUCUAAUUUAGAGACUAUUUAGAUUAAAAAAUCUAUAUAGAAAAAGAUUAUUUUGUUCCAAUUUAGUUAGUUAAUUUUGAUUUAUUUUUUAAUUCACAAAAUAAUAUUCUUCUUAUAUGUAAAAAAAGACUAAUUUUCAUUGUUAUUAAUUGUAAAGAUUGUUGUGUCGUUUAUUUCUAAUCGUAUUUUAACCUAAAUAUUAUUUUCUUUUUCAUUAAAAGUUAAUUAGUGGGAUAUAAAGAAGUGUAAAUUGCUUGUUUAACUUGGUCUAUCAUAAUUAUUGAGAUCAUAGUUUUUUCUUUAAUAAGUCUUGGUCCAAAUUUCUCCAUGUAUUAAAAAGUAAAUUAGAAGAUCUACGAAUUAAGAAGUGUGGCAUGUUUUUUAAAUUAUAAAAUUAUGGUCCUAGCUAUUUAUUGUUAGACCACAAGUCUUCAUAUAUUAAUGUUUUUGUCUAAAUUUCAUUUACUUAUGUGGUGAUAGUUUAAGAAUAGUGAUAGAAGAGAAAAAUAAAUAUACAAUUUAUUAAAAUAUUUAACUCCCUUGUGCGAAUUAGUCAAACUCCCUUGUCACUAGGUCCAUCUAGUGAUUAAAAAUAUAAUCAAACAAUUCAAUAAAACACAAGUCUAAUUGUCGCUAUUGUAAUUCAAUAAUUGUAUUAUAUUUUUUAUGUUAAUAAAUUUUUUUAAAAAGAUUGGUGUUUUUAGUAGAAUGAAAGCAAUUAAUACAUUGAUUUCAAUGCAUUAAUUGAAUUCUGAUUUGACUUUUAAUUAAAAAAACUGCAUAUAUAUAAAUGUUUUUAAAACUAUUGCGUGGUUUCCCUGGAAAAAAAACUAUUGUAUGGUUCUAUUAUAAUUGACUGAAUUUGAGUUUGAAAAGAUUUUUUUUAUGAAAUUAAAAUUAAAGAUAAAAAAUAUAAAAGUUUAAUUGCAUAUAUUCUUUAUUCUUCAGGUACAGUAAUUGUGCGAUUUUGGUCUAUUGUAAGUUCCAAUUGGGAGAAUUGGAUUGGAUCCACUAGGCAUUGCAAUUUCAAUCCCUCCAUCCAUCUUACUUUGAAUAUUUAACAGAUAUUUACUGGCAUGACACUAGAUGAAAGGUAGAUAAUAUGACAACCACCAUGUUGCCUAACACAUACUGAACUAAACUUUUGAUCCCUUAGAAUAUUGCAGUUAUAAGGAAGCAGAAGUGAAUAAGCCACAUCUAAGGGACCAAAUUAAACUUACAAAAUUAUAAUACCUAGUUUACGUAAUGCAUGGAGAUCAAAAGUGAAAUUAAACUAAAUAUAAAUUAUGAGAGCAUUCUGAAUCUGUCUUCAUUGUCUGAGGAGCAAAAGGACCUGACAAGUGUUUUGUAUUUUUUUUUUUGUACAUGCAAUUUUUUGUUACAGGAGGACCACAAAGCUCAGGAUUUCCAGUGUAGCUAAGUUCUUCAAAGCUCUGAAGUUGGGUGCUCUUGGGAAUUCUGCCUGAUAAGUUGUGGUAUGAUAGAUUCAGGAAACUGAGGAAGGACAAAUCAGAUAAGCUUUGAGGGAUUUGACCUGAAAUGUUGUUUAGUGAGAGAUCAAGGGAUUCUAACAAUUUCAUUUUUCCCAUGUCAUUUGGUAUCUCUCCAGACAGAUGAUUUCUAGACAAGUUCAAAAACCGCAAAGCAGAUAGCUUGGAAAUUUCAGAUGGAAUUGCUCCAGAAUGCUUAUUACAAUUUUAACCUUUACUGUCUAUUACAAUUUUACUUUUUGGGGUUAUUCGGUAAAUGAAUUCCUUUUCUUUUUUCUUUUUAUUUUAAAAAAGACAAUCGUGUUUUUGUUUGUUCUAUUGGAAUUAUUGGACCCCGACAUUCGAUUUCUAGAAAAAUAGUUUCUCCUUUGUAUUUUUUGUUCACAUUAAUUAAUUCGUGUGGGAAGUAACCAAAACCAAAAAAAAAAAAAAGUCAACAACAACAACCACCCAAUUAUGAAGCAAGUGUAGAGUCUAAAUCCAUGGGCAUUAUAAGAAUGAUUAGGGACUUGUGUUAACUACCCCAAUUAGGACAAUAUUCUAACUAUGGUGGUUGUGAAUAUUUUUUAUAGGACAAAGAAAUUAAUGGUGCAGAUGGCGUCAACAAAUUCCAAUCAGGGGAAGAAGAGGAAGAUAAGGAACAGUGCAGUCCAGUAUCUGUUUUAGACCCACCCUUCGAUGACGAUGAUGAUGGGCAUGAUGAUGACCAUGAAGGGGAUGGUUUUGAUUUGGACUGUAGCUAUGCCAAUGUACAAAGUAUGUCAUAGUUUAAAAAUAUUUUAUUUUAUUUUGUAGCAUUUUAUGUUGUGUGGUCGUCUUCCAUCAACAUGCCAUCGUACACGCUUCUUCAAAGUUGAUUGUCUGUUACAAAAUACCAUAAGCUGAGAUGUUUUGUGCUAAUGCCACCUAUCUUUGGUGGGUUCCAUUGGAAGAUUGCAAUAGCUCAUCAUCCAACAUGCAUUUCGCAUUCAAUGUGAAAUUGGACUACUCUUUGUUCAGAGCUAUAAAUUUCAACAUGACCCACAAAUUAUGUUCAUUCUCAUUCUUGGCGCUGUUAGUCUAGUGUGAAAACCGACAAAUUCAGUUUCCUGUUAUAUAUGGCACUGUAUAUAAAAAGGAAAUAAAAAAAAAAGUAGAAUUUGAUUAUGGCUAAUUUCACCCAUUAUAUUUAUUACAAGAAAACCUUUAGAUACAAAUUAUUUUUGUUGUACUUUUAGCUUGGUCGUAAACAUUAACCAUACAUCACGCACACACACAUAAAAGGCAAAUCAAAUUAUUUUAUAUCCCUAAAUUUUAUGAGGAAGGAUGCUAUAAAUAUUAACAAUACAUCUCACACACACAAAGACAUCUAAAAUUAUAUCACUAAGUUUUAUGAUGUGUUACGGUUUGCUUUAAAAUAUGGUACAAGGUCUAUCAGAGACCGGCUUAUAAGUAAAAAUUAAAUUUGUCAUAAAGGGAGUAAAAUGGAAAAUAAUUAAUUUCUUAAUUAGAAUUAAAUUAGAAUAAGCUGUGCAGAUCUUAUAAUUUUUGUUCACUAAUUCGCCCACCACAUAAUGUUUUAAUAUUUCCAACUUUGUAUAAUCUAAAAAGUAUAAAAAUGAAGAUUACGACUUUCAGCCUCCAGUUCCUUAUAAUGGAAGAGUGAGUAAAUGUUGAUGCGAUAUGGGUAGCUUUCAUGGGCAGUGACCUUGUCGAAGAAUGCUUGGGCCAUGAUCAUUGGUUAUCUAUGGAUAUCUCAUCAAAGUUCUUGGCCUGGCCGGCUUGGAGAGUCAAGUCUUGUAUGCAGCCACGACUUUAAUUAACACGAAAGAACUAAUUAUUCACUUCAAUGGUUAGUGACUAAAAUUAAAUAUAAGUUUUUUUCCUAUUAAACCACGUUUUCUUGAACCACUAGUCCCCCAUUUUUGGAAACAAGAAUGUGAUACACAGAAUUGAACAACUAGUUGAUCUUAACUACAAAUAUGCUCAAUAUGCAAAUAUGUACAUCCCAAAACAGAAUUUAAAUAAGACUCUCAAAUUUGAAAAAAAAAAAAAAAGAUAGAAAUAACUACAAUGCAAAUUGAACAACCUGGCAAUACAAUGAUACAACAUCGGUUGUAAGCAACACUAAACAGUGAUACUAUACGAGGAAAAAGAUUGAAGUUUGAACCACACAUGAUCAAGGAAAUGAAAAUAGGCAUGCCGCCAUGAUCUACAAAUCAGCAAAGGAGCAAUCACUAUCCAAAGUCCCACAACAAAUCCAAUUGUCGCACUAACAAAAAACCAAUUCACUCCAUGCCCAUGACUUCCUUCAUAACUAUGAGUUUUCCCAUUGGAGCUGCAGUUUAUGGGCAGUGGUGGACCACAUAGAUUGUUGCCGAUAAAGCUGGAGGCAUCAAAGGUUUGCAAUUGAGUUCCUGUUGGAAUAUUUCCCUUCAAAUGAUUAUAAGACACGUCUAGCAUGCUCAAAAAGCUCAAAUUAGAAAUGGUUGGAGGGAUUUCACCAGAAAGUUGAUUCCUCGAAAAAUCAAUACACUGUAACGAUCCCAUAUUACCAAUACCUUCUGGAAUAGGACCAAUCAAUUGGUUGUGGGACAAGUUCAAAAAGUUCAAUCCAUUUAGAUCUGUGAUUUCUCUAGGAAUUUCUCCUAAUAAUUUGUUACUUGACAGAUCAAUACUUGUUACCAAACCCAGAAUGUUUCGAUACUCAUCUCCUCUUCCUUUUAGCCAUAGUAGCACACUAACUAUACCUGAUACCGAAGAGUAUCGUGUAUUAUUUGGUGCUUGAGAAUAGAUACGGGGAUAUGUACUCCGGUUCACUAGUGUCAUGGCACUCAAGUUACGGAAACAGCUGGGUAUAUUGCCAGACAAAUUAUUUUUUGCAAGGUCUAAAACCUGAAGACGACUCAUCUGACAUAUUUCAUUUGGAAUGUGACCGGAAAAACUGUUUGAUCGAAGGCGGAGGAUUUUCAUAUUUGAGAGCUUUUCUCCAACCCAUGUUGGAAUACAUCCUGAAAGAUUAUUUUCUCCAAGAUCCAAGGAUAUCAAUUGGCCAGUCUUCUUCAAACUGGUAGGAAAUUGUUAGAGAACCAGUAUCAAGCUAGAAGAAGAGGUCUAGCACCUCCAGAAAUUAAGGACGGAACAGAGCACACAGAAGGAGGAGAAGGCUGUAAUCAUUCUUAUUGCCUUUGCUUGUUAUUACAUGGUUUUUAUAGAAUUCCUAAUAUGGAAUAAUCCUAGGAAUAUUACAAUAACCGUUUUAUUGAUAAGAAUUGCUCAGCAGGAUCACAAUUCCAAGCAAGGCGAUCCGGGGAAAGAUCUGCAGAAGCUUCUGUUUUGGCAGGAUUCUUCAAACGAAUUCAUCCAGGUAAGUGGGCCUCUUUAUCUUGCGUUUGGGCUUGACUUCUUGCUGCACCUCCUGUUUUGCGAUUUCCACCUCUGAGUUUGCAUUUUGGUCUUCUUCUUCUCCUGAUAUCGUAUCAUCCCUGGGCCCUUGUAAGAUCACCUUGUCCUCAAGGUGAUAUUCUUCUUGCAAUUCAUUCCAAUCUUCCCAUGAAGUCUCGUCCGGAGAUAGUCCGCGCCAUUGAACUAAGACCUCCCAAGGAGCUUCCGGAGAGGUUCGUCGGUGAUUUAAUAUAGCCAAGGGUGAAAUCAGGGGCUGGUCAUUGAUGAAAGUUUGUGGAAGUGACUCAGGGGAUGGUGAUGUCGGUGGUCCUCGAAAGGGUUUAAGCUUCGAACAAUGGAAUACCGGGUGUAUUUUUGCCUCAUCAGGUAGCUUGAGCUUAUAAGCAACUGGGCCAAUGCGUUCAAUGACUUGGAACGGACCGUAGAAGCGUUUUGCUAGCUUGGCGCAAACUGAGGAAUUCCCCUUGGUUGAAGAUUGUCGGUAAGGGCGUAACCGGAGAAGAACCCAAUCACCGACCUGGUAAUGGACCUCUCUUCUUUUCUGGUCAGCUUGUUGCUUCAUCUGGGCCUGAGCCUUCAAUAGUUUCUUACGAAUGUCCUGAAAAGUAGUGUCUCGGUCAGUUAACAAGUCCUCAACAGCUUCAAUGUUUGUCGUGCCUGAGAGGUAUUCCGGAAAAUUGAAUGGUUUUCGGCCAAAUGUCACUUCGUAAGGGGUUGACCCGGUUCCUGCAGUCCACGAGGUAUUGUGGGACCACUCUACCCAGGGAAGAAGCUUACCCCAUCGCUGAGGGCGUCGGUGCACGAAGGCACGCAGGUAUUGCUCUACGAUUCUGUUGAUGACCUCUGUUUGUCCGUCACUUUGGGGAUGGUAAGCAGAGCUCAUCUUCAGGUGAGUGCCGCUGGCCCUGAAUAAUUCUUGCCAAAAGUGGCUGAGGAAGAGAGGAUCUCGGUCAGAAACGAGGCUCCUUGGAACGCCGUGAAUUUUAACCACUAUAUUGAUGAAAAGUGUGGCGACCAUGUAAGCGGUGUGAGCUGUUGGAAGUGUACCCAAGUGUAUGCCCUUUGAGAAACGAUCCACCACGACGAGAAUGGUGGUGUGGCCCUGGCAUGGUGGUAAUCCGACAAUAAAAUCAAGGGAGAGGUCCUCCCAUGGCCGGCAAGGAAUCGGAAGAGGACACAGCAACCCAGCUGCCUUUCGGGCUUCGUACUUGGUCAUCUGACAAUCCAAGCAAUUAGAAACAACCCUUCUGACAUCCUCACGAAGGCCGGACCAGGUGAAGUUCUCCGAUAUCCUUGCUAGUGUUUUCGCGAUUCCAGCGUGGCCCCCUGCUGGUGUGUUGUGAUAUUCCAAAAGGAGUGUGGAGGUGAUGGGUAAUUCCCGAGGCAGCCAUAUGCGGCCCUUCCACAGCCAUAUGUGGAGGUGAUGGAAUUGCUCCAGACAGCUUAUUACUUGAAAGAUCAAUCAUUCUCACCAAUAUCAGAUUGUCUCUGUACUCUAACUCAUCUCCUUUGGGAACUAAGACAAGAGUUUCCUUGUAGUGGUUAUAACUGAAGUCAGAGCCAUAUGAAUAACUUAAAGGGUUGGCAAAGAAGUCAUCUUCACCAGCCAUUGUCUUCAUGUCAUCCAAACAAUUUGGAAUGGAUCCUGACAGGCUGUUAUUGCCAAGAUCCAGCACUAUAAGGGAAGAAAGUUGACAAAUCUUUUCAGUAAUGCUGCCAUUGAAAUUGUUGGAUCUUAGACGAAGAACCAUUAGAUAUUGCAUUUCCCACAUCCAAUCUGGUAUUGCGUCAGAAAGUUGGUUAUUGCCCAUGUCAAUGAAUUUCAUUGUAGAGCAAUUUUGCAGUGUUGAAGGAAUAUAUCCAGAGAAGCGGUUGUCGUCUAACAACAAAGACUCAAGUUGAGAUAGAUACCCCAUGGAGUUUGGAAUAACACCAGACAAAUUGUUACUACCCAAGUUCAAAUGCACCAAUGCUUGCCAAUGCACCCAACAGUGACCAAGAUCACCAUAUAAGACAUUAUUUGAAAAAUCAAGCACACUUAACUUAUUAGUAGCAUUUUCCUUUCCACAUAAAAAGGGAGAAAUUGUUCCGGAAAUUGAGUUAUUGGCAACAUUCAGCACUUCAACAUUUGCAGACACACUUGGCAAUGUACCCUUGAACAAAUUAUAACUCAAAUUUAUGACGCUGGAAUUGAGAAAGAUGUUAGAUAGGUCUCCACUUAACUGAUUGUUUGACAGAUCCAGGAAUUCAAUUUGCGAAGUCCAAUUCCAAAACCAACUUGGAACCAAGUCUGCGAUACCUGCCUUAGACAUUGUCAAAACCUUCACAGAACUUUGCCUUUUUAGCCAUUCUGGAAACUUAGGACCUAUUCCAAAGGAGCUCAGUAAAACAUAUUCAAGCUGAAAAGGAGGAACCCAUCCUGAGUUGACACUGAGGAACAAGUUUGUCCAAGACAAACGUAGUUCCUUUAAUUUCAAAAGUUUUACAAAAUUUGACUCUUUUAUAGAUCCUUCUAACAAAUUAGAUGAAAGGUCUAACAUUACUAAAUUUGAGAGAGUUCCAAGAGUUACAGGCAUAUCACCAGUCAAAGAAUUAGUUCCAAGAUUUAAUACCUGCAGGUUUCUGAGGAACUCAAAACUCUUAGGAAUGGUUCCAUUCAGUCGGUUGUGAGCCAGGUUUAAAGUUCUCAAGGAUGACAAGUUUGCAAAUGGUGAGGGAAUUGGACAAGUAAAGGUAUUAUUACUGAGAUUUAGAACUUCAAGAUGCUUAAGCUGGCCUAAUGAAUCUGGAAGUGGCCCACUGAGCUGGUUGUUCUGCAGGUCUAGAUUUUUUAUGUUCUGAAGGCUUGAUAUUAUUUGUGGAAUUUGUCCCUGUAAAAGGUUACUGUGUAAAUCAAGUUGGACAAGAGUUGUGCUGAGAUUAAAUAGCCAUGAAGGGAUUUGGUGAUUGAGAUUGUUAAUUGAAAGAUCAAGGACUUGGAGAUGUGUGAAGUUGGUUUUUCCUUUUGGUGGUCCUAAGUUAUCAAUUUGACAGCUCUCCAAGUGUAGUUCUGAAAGAGAUGGAAGUGCACUCAGUACUUGAAGCCAGUUACCUUGUUUAUGAAGGUCUGAACCACUCAAAUCAAGGUACUCUAAGGAAGAUAGCCUUGAUAUCCAAUUAAGGUUAUCUAUCUGAAGAGCAUAAUUGUAUCCAAGAUUAAGGUGCUGCAGGUUUGAGAGGUUUCCUAGUUGAUGAGGGAUUAAUCCCAUGAACCCACUUAAGCUAAGGUCCAAGUAUCUCAGACUCUCCAAUGAGCCUAGGAAGCUUGGUAUUGGAGUAAGAACAAAAUAAUUUGAACUCAAGUCCAAACGAUUCAAAUAUUUUAGUUCAAGCAAAGAAGGACUAAUCUCUCCACUCAACUCCCUAUAGGGAGAGCCCGCAGGUGUGUCAAGAUUGAUUUCCAUGACUUUACCUGUGUUGUUGCAGUGAACCCCUGGCCAUGUACAGCAAUCCGAUUUGUCAGACCAUGAUGAAAGCCUGUUUGAAGGGUCUGCUAGUCCAUGCUUGAAGCUGAGGAGUGCAUUCCUUUCCUUCUCACUGCAAGUCAUAUUGAGCCUUGCUGCCUUGCUUGCACUGAAGUGGAGAGUUGUUGCAGUGGACAAUAUCAAGAGAAGAACAUGAGUUGCAAAUAGCACUGCCAUGAAGAAGAAGGAAGACGAAAAAGGUUGAAUACACAAUUUUCUGGUUCACGGUUGGUAUUUACUACUAACAAUGCCUAUAUAGGAUAUAUAGUUAUAUACCAUAGAAGGGUUUGCGUUUAAAAUUUUAUUCCACUAAUGGUGGUGGUUGCAAAAUGCACACAUAUGUAGAGGUAUAUAUGUCUACAACGAGACAUUUAGGAAUAAAAGUGUCUAACCACACCACCAUUAUUUUGCACUAGUUUGUUUUAUUUUGAUUUAACUACCUUUUUAGUUCUUAUAGUUGUGAUAAUUUUUCUUUUAGUCCCUAUAGUUUAAGACAUUUAUUUUGGUUCCUAUAUUUACAAUUUUUUUUAACUUUUGGUCCUCACGGGGAAGAUUCAACUCACACAUAAACAUGAACAAAAUUAAUAAAAAUAGGGAAGCAAGCUGAGGUACAACUGAAGUGUAAUGGAGCUAUGAGACAAAGGCACUACACAUUCCAUUAUUCUUGAGUCUGCCACCGACCUCUGCAAGCUUAGCAUUUGCCAAUUGCCAUGAUGUAAUCUCCUUCUUGACAGUCUCUCAUCAAGUUGGAGUGGUAUCACAGCAUUGAACUAAGUUGAACGUUCCAAUGGGAUGAUGGUUUUGAUUGCUGCAGAUAAAGUGUGUGAUUGUGAGUUUCUGGUUCCAUGAGUAACAGAGGUGAGGUAGUUUGUGCCUUCAUGGUUGGGAUGAUGCAUGUUGCAGGUGCCGGCCGGUUUGUUGUUGAGAGAAAAGAUGAUCAGCCACGUCUCGUGUGUGCAUAGGAGAGUGUCUUUGCCCUCUCCACGACAUUAGUUUCAAAAAUUGACGUUAGUCGAAACUUGAUGGUGAGAAUCAAAAGAGUAAAAAAUAAAUUCAACUGGGACUAAAGUAGAAUGAUUUAAACUAUAAAAAAUAUUGUGAUAACUUUAAGGGUCAAAAGGACUAUUAAACUUUCUUUUUUUUUUUGAAACGGGUUAUAUAUAUGUAGCAGUUUAUUCUAAACAAUGGACUACGUGUGAAAUCUUUGAAUUCUAUGUAAGAAAUGUUAUUUCAAACUUCUCAUCAGUCUUCAUGUCAAUGAUGACAUGCUCCAUUUGAAUUCUAUGUCUAAUUAAGCUCUCGGUCUUCCGUUUUUGCAACUUUAUUUUGGUAGAAAGAAACCAAAUUUGAAGAUACAACAUUUGAUACUAUAACUGUUUGGUGUUUUGAAAAUCUCACUCACAUAUUUCCAAAUGUUACAAAAGAAUUUGAUUCAGUGGUUUUUACGAAUUUCUUCCUAGCCUUUUUUAACAAGUCAGGGAAUUUGCAUUGUUGUGCAUGAUGGCUGCCACCAGGACCCUUGUACCAACCCAUUAGUGCAAGUGGUUUUUUCUUAUGAGAAUUGAGAAACAAAUUAUGUGUUUUAUAAAGGGAAUUCUAUUAUUUUUAAUUUUGAACUUGUAAUGUUUUUUGUUUCCCUCACAGAACAAGUUAAUUUAGGGAUAUAAAAUAAUUUGGUUGCCUUUUAUGCAUGGUUAUCAAACUCUCGAGUUAACUCGCUAACUCUUACGAGUUUACGAGUCCACUUGUCCUUUGCGAGUUGACUCUUGAGUAAACGUAAACUCUGGAUAAACUCUAAGUAAACUCGGUAGACUCUCGAGCUUACCACCGAGUUAACGAGUUAGCAAUUAAAAAAAUUAGACCAAAAUGUAAGUCAUUUUUUUAUUGUUUUAUGUGUGUUUAGCAUUCAACAUAUCUUCAUUGAGCAUGUUAUUCUCAAAUACAAAAUUCUCAUAUUUAAUAAUAUCAAACUCCUAUUCUCAAAUAACAUCAAACCCUUGAUGAGAAUGAUCUACCACUACUAUAACAUUUACAAGUUAUUGUCUACUAGUGAUGUAUUAUUACUAGACAUGGUUAUUUAAAUAUUCUGAACUUUAUGAUUUAUUGUUUUGCUUUAUUAUAUUGUUGAAAUGUUUAAUUCGUAUGAUAUUUAUAGAUAUUUUGUUAUUAUUUUUAUAUGAAGUAGACUCUUACGAAUCUAUGAGUUAAGUUUACGAGUCGAGUCUAUAGAACUCUCACGAGUCUGCGAAAACUCUCGAGUUUGAUAACCUUGCAUCAAAUGAUUUGUAAAACAAUUAAAACCCACAAUUUGAAGGACAUCUGAUUUACAAAAACUUCUUACAACUCACAACCUUUGGAAUUUCUCUAUGCCUGGUUAACCCACAAUUUCGGCGCCUGUUGCGGUUAGGAACAUAGGCUAGCAAAAACACUAAUCAUUUCAAGAGAAAUGUUAACACACUUUUCUAAUAUAUUAUUUUUUAUAUUAAAAUUUAUUAAAAUAAAAAAUUCAGCUGAUCUCAUUUUAUUUAGCAAAUUUUUCUCAUAUAUUAAGUAUUAGGUUUUUAAAAUUAUAAAGCUAAAACUAAAAUGCUUUACUAAAUGUAUUUUAAAGUAAAUUUUAUACACAAAAAUAUUAUGAUUUUAUAAAAAUUGUUUGGUCAAGGGAGACAUAUUGAGCCCUCCUAACUAUAAGCUACCCUGAGGGUUUCUAUCUUUUUUUUUUCCCACUUAAUUUUUGACUUUGGCAGCAAGGGUUAAACCUACCACAUCUACAUGACUAUGUCUUACUUUCCAAUAAGUUACACCUAAAUAGCUAACAUAUUCCUCUUGCUCACGCACACUAUCUUUCGUAAACUUUUCACGAUCAUCUUUAUAUUAUCAAAUUCAUUUAAUUAAAUAUACAAUUAUCUUAAUAUUAUAAGCAAGUCUCUGUAUAAUCAUGUAGUGUUUCUAAAUUGAAUGAGCCUAAAUCACACAGUCCUGAAAAAAAAAAGAGUCAUAUUGUCAAAAUAGCCGUAAAAAGAUAGAAAUACUAAGUUAUGGGCAAGAUUUUGAUAUACUAUAACCUUAAUUUUUACAAUAAACCUAAAUGUCUAAAUAUCAUAACUCAACCAUGCGACGAAAUGACAAUGUGUUAAUUUUGUUUUGUCCUCAACCAUGCGUAUGCCUCAGGCCGAGGGAAUUCUCACACAAUAUUUUACAUGUAGCACCACAACCUAACAAUUUCUACCUACAACUUUUUCUAUAGACUAUAAUAUAAUCUAUCUCCACUCAUUCAUUCAUCAAGCACACAUAUAUCGAGCCAACCAACGUUGGAGGUAGAAGAACAACAAUAAUAUCAAUAUUUAAUUUUAUUUAGUGUUAAUUUAUUAGGAACUCAACGUAAAAUAACAAUUUAUUAGGAAAUAAAUACAAAAUUUGAGUAUUUAUUAAGAAUAAAAACAUAUUUAAUUUCAUUUAGUGUUUAAUAGUGUUUUGGUCUUUUUUUUUUUGUUUUUUUAUAGUUAUUUCUUUUCAAAUUUGAUGACAACAUUGUCAUUGGGUCCUUCUACCCUUCACAUCAGCAAAUUGGACACUAAAGAGACUCGGUCAGAAACAAAUAACUACUAGGGGUACAAUAACAUGAGAGGAUUUAACACUUUUGGAGUAGGAAAAUGUACUUUAAGAAAAGAAAAUUAUAUGUUUAUCCAUGAACACUAAGCUCUAGACAAAAAAAAAAAAACCACGAGAAAUAGUAUAUAACUCUUUAGUGGACAAUUGGUGUUGUACAAAAUUGAAAUGAUCCAGACUAAGUCAACAAACUGGUCUUCUUCAUUGAACUCACAGUGAAAGCACAGAAUUUAUUUUCAUCUACUAGUUUCCUUCCCAAUUCCCAUGUUUUCUAAAACAUAACACACUACAGAACCUUCUAAUAAAUUAAAACAAAAAAACCAAUAUUUUACAUGUAGCACCACAACCUAACAAUUUCUACCUACAACUUUUUCUAUAGACUAUAAUAUAAUCUAUCUCCACUCAUUCAUUCAUCAAGAUUGAGAAAUGGAUUCAAAUGCUUGUCUACCACACUUGCUAGUGUUAGCAAUAACAUUGGUAUUGGUUAGUCAUGCAAUGGGAGAUUCAGCUAAAGACAAACAGAGAUGUGCAGAAUCCCUGACAGGUGUUGCAACGUGUCUGCCAUAUUUGGGUGCUGACGCGAAAGCACCCACAGCAGAUUGUUGCAGUGGUCUCACACAAGCCAUGAAGACCAACAAUAAGUGUGUCUGCCUUAUUCUCAAAGACAGGGAUGAUCCUGACCUUGGCUUAAAGAUUAACAUGACAAUUGCUGUUGGUCUCCCUUCUCUUUGCAAAACACCUGAUAAUCUCUCACAGUGUUCUGGUACGUUCAAUUUCUAAUUAAGCCUUCCUUUUUCUUAAAGAACACUACACUACAGUGUUAUGUUUCCAUUUCCUAUGCAAUGAAUGAUCUAUCAGUCUUGUUAGUUGUCAUAUAACAACUUAUGAUUUUACAUUCAGUUGAUGGAAGUUCCCAGAAUGGUAGAAAGCAGGGGACAGAUGAAACGGCCACAGCUAAGAAUAGUGCAUCUUAUAUCGGGAAGAGAUUGUUAGUUGAUAGUGUAAAAAAUAUUUAUACUCUUGAGUGUACUAAAUCUCUGACAGACUCACAAUAGAUAUUAUUGCAAAACCUUUUGGAGAUUUAUUUUUGUUUUUAAUACUAACCUAGAGUCUACAGAUCAAAGUUAAUUAAUUGCUGAAAAUUAUGUUCAUUCUCAUUCUUGGCGCUGUUAGUCCAGUGUGAAAACGGACAAAUUCAGUUUCAUGUUAUAUAUGGCUCUGUAUAUGAAAAGGAAAUUAAAGAAAAAGUAGAAUUUGAUUAUGGCUAAUUUCACACAUUAUAUUUAUUAUCAGAAAACCUUUAGAUAAAAAUUAUUUUUUUGUACUUUUAGCUUGGUUGUAAACAUUAACAUUACAUCACGCACACAAACAUGAAAGGCAAACCAAAUUAUUUUACAUCCCUGAAUUUUAUGAGGAAGGAUGCUAUAAAUAUUAACAAUACAUCUCACACACACAAAGACAACUAAAAUUAUAUCACUAAAUUGAGGUGGGGAUAGUUUUGAAAAAAAAAAUAGUUGGUGUGGUUGUGUAGGUGUGUUUUUAUGUUUUUCAAUUCAGGAUAUUAAAUUUACAAAUAAUUUUAUGUUUUUCAAUUAGAUUUUAACAAUAAUUAAGAAAUAAAUCUAAAUCAUUCUACAUUUGUUUAUAGGUACUUGGCGAAUUGGAGAUGCUAUAUGGGAAUCUAAAUUUUGCUUAACACAAAUGUGGUAUAUGCAAGGAAAAAUCAAAUUGAAAAAUUUUUAACCACCACUUCAAAUUUUAAAAGAUUUGUUUCAAAAUAAGGAUAUGAAGAACAAAUUGUUUUUACAGAACAUUCCCUCCAUGAUGUUUUCCUUUCCGUUAGGUGAAAAAAAUAGACAUUUCCAAAAAUAAUGGAAGUGAACCUUAUAUAAUGCUGUUUAUAUAGAGAAGUCUUUCAAAAUACAAGUUAAAGUACUAUUACUACAAACUAUUUUGUAUCAUAUAUCUCUUAUAUAUUUUGAUAUAAAACAUUUAGUAAUUUUUUUUAUUUCUUAGUAGCAUGUACAUGAAAGUCAAUCCAAACCGAAUCGAGGAUUUAUGUGGCAUUUAACUUUUAUCACUUUCUGCCCUCAAAGAUCACACUCUAAUCAUGUACCAACAUUUUGUGGUGUACAAGAAAACUCUUCUAUUUGAGAGCAGACGAUUUUUAUUUGAACCUCUUUUGGCAAAUGGAACUAGCUUUGGAUUACCAUGUGACAAAAAACUACUUAAAUAAGGCUCUCAAAUUUGAAGAAAAAAAAGAAGAUAGCAAUGACUACAAAUUGAUCAAUCUGCCAAUACAAUGAUAAAACAUUGGUUUAUUCUAAGCAACACUAAAAAGUGAUACUACAUGAGCAAAAAGAUUGAAAUUAUUGACCAUGCAGUAUGAAUGUACAGCAUUAUUUAUUUAAUUUUUCUAAUACAAUUUUAUUUUAUAUUAAUACAAAAACUCUCACAAAACCACUUCUUAACUACUAGUUAAUUACUACUUUUAUACAUAAAAAAACUAGUUAAUUACUACUGCUACAUAGCAGAAAUUCCUUAAUUCUUCGAGAAUUAUAUUCCUUAAUUUCACGUGGUUUGCCUCAGUUGUUUGUCGCUGGUUUCAGUAUAUCCUUAGGAAUCAUCGAUUGUCAAAUCGUUGUUAAAUAACGGCGCUAUAUAUAAUUUUAGUAUUUUGACGUUUUUAAAUGAAUUUCUUAUUUAUGAUUAUAUAUUUACAAUUUUUAAUUUCACUUAAAAAAAUUGAGUUUCUUUCGAUUUACAGAGAAAAAAAAGAGUUUUUAGUUAACACACUGUUACUAUAUAGUGCGGAGACAAUUACCCCACAAGCUUUUCAUUAACUUGUCAUAAUAUAAUAUAUGUGAAUACAAACUGUCCCUAUAAUUUAAAAUAAAAUAAAUAAAAAGUCAAUAACUUUAUAAGUAUUGUCUCCACACAUAUAUAUUAUCCUAUAAUUUACAAUUUUUAUAUUUAUUAUUGAUGAUAUUCUUAAUUAACCAAGUAAAAAUAUUUUUUUUAUAAUUUUUAAGAUAAUUAUUAUAAAUAUUAAUAAAUUUAUUACAAAUAACAUUUUUAUAUGUGUAAGUGCAUGUAUAUUAUUUAUUGAAAUAUUUUAUUUGAAUUUUUCAUUAAAAAUACUAAAUUUAUUAACAUGAUAUGUGCCUCGUUAGAGCAGUGUUUCAAUUUAAUCUGAUAGUGAGAACAGAAUUGACAGCAGAUUCAAUUUACUGUGUGAUGAAAGAGUUGUACGAAAUCUUUAUGACAUCUACCCCCAACAUGAGUGGCCCAGUGGACAAGCCCAUCAAUCUAACAUGUCGGUUGAUAGCACUUGCAUAAACUUUUGUUCCUUGCAUCAUCUCAUGUGUCUCCAUUCUCCAUUCUCUGCUUCCACUAACGAUUAAACCUUAUUGAUUAGGGUUCAAUGAUUUUUCAAUGAAUAAAAUUAAUUUUAAAUUCUUGAUUCUAACAGCUCACGUAUUGUCUGUUGAAUCAAAUGGAUUAAACUGUUGAUAUCAUAAAGAAAAUUAAAAUUUGAUUCUUUGUGUAAAAUAAAGAAAUCUAAUUAAUUAUGCUUGUUAUGUUACUAUAUCAUUUUUCCGGUGUGGAGUAACAUCAAAAUCAAAGUAACAAAGUUACUUGCAUGUUACUCUAACCAUAAUUCCAACUAAGUCGAAUAUGGUUUCAUGUUUUGUAAAACAAUUUAGAUCCCCUUUGUAAAAGUGUAUCUGUCUUUUACACAAGUUUAUUCACUUUAUUUUAUUUCCCCCAGAAUCAAUUGUUGUGUUAUUCAUAUUAUUGAAUUAGUCCGAUAACUACCAUGUCGAUCAUUGUUAGUUUUAUUUUCACCAUUGUUCGGAGUAAGUAUAUACUAUUACUUUAUGAUUAAACGUGUUAUUUAAAUUGCAGAUAAAAACUCUUUAUAAUGAAGUACAAUUGUUUAUAACUACAACAAUUAUAUUGAGUCAAUUUAACACUCAUCAAAGGCAGAAAAGCUUUACUUUAAGAUUAGACAGAGGCUCAUACCAAUCAUGGCGGUGGUUAUAAUUACACACAUCAGCAACUGUAAAAGAUCUUGCACAGCCACAGAAAAAAAAAUGCUUGAUGCACAUCUGAUAAACUCACUCAAGGUCUAUGUAUUAAUAGUGUAAAAGAGAGACUGAAUAUUAAAUGAUAAAAAUAUAAAAUAAUUGUUUUGUAUUGGCAGAGUACACAUAUAUAUGCCCAAAUGUAGAUUCAAAGUUCAAACAUUUUGGGCCUAGAUCAUCCCUCCUAGUCAUAGCCAUCUGAAUUGGAUCGACCCCACCCCAAGGUUUGUGUUGCAUCACUUGCAUGCAUUCACCCACCACAGUUGUUGUUAUAGUUUUCUCGUGAUUUUUGUAUUGGAAAAUACUAUGGACAAAUAUAAUUGAUACAGUCAUAAUUAAUUAUUGUCAUGUUGCAAUUACAAAGACUCCUCAAAGAAAAUGUUUAGUAAAUCAUGAUCAAGUAGAAAUUGCAAUGGCAAACUGUUUUUUAAAAUCUUAUUAGUCAGUUGUAUAAACCCAAAUUUAGUUAUAUCCAGGUAUGUAAUAUUUGCCAUUUUAGUGCUCUGUUUGGAAAUUUGCGUGUCGAAUUGUUUUUUUUAUACGUACCUACACAACACUCUUUAGCCAAAUACCACUGUUCAUGGAGGAAUCUGUCCUGAAAGGAGUAUAGAACCAGAAACAAUAUGCGUGGUGGUAUCUAUCAUUCUGAAAAAGAGAAAAAGUGGGAUACGUACAAUAGUAGGACUGUGACACUACUAGAAAAAUCUAUGCACCUUUCAUGUCCCUAAAUUUAUGAACAAAAGAUUCAGGUAUCGUUUAUUGAAUUUGUUUUAUAUGGAGUGUAAAGUCAUCAUAUCCAAUACUAAUAAGUGUAUGUUUAUAUAAUUCUUUUUAAAAUAAUUACUCUUCUUUAUUUUCAUCUAUUAAAAAUGUUAUCACAUUAAUUUUUAAAAUAAGCUAAAUGAAGCAUGUUUCAUAAGAAAUUAACUUUUACUGUAAUUGUUACAUUUUUUAGUAACAAAGGGAGAUGGGUGAAGACGGUGAAGGAAAAAAAAAUGAAGAUAAUGUCUAUGUUGUUCAAAUAACAGUAUUAAUUAUAUUAAAAUAGUUAAUAUCAAAAAAUAUAUUAGUAAAUAUAACAUUGUUGUGUUGGUGCUAUUUAUUGUGCAUCAAAAUAUGUAAAAAUAAUAAUUAACUUGUAAUUUGUAUAGUUGGUAUGGGUUGUUUUAUCUAUCCUCCUGGAUUUUGUUGUAUCACACAUAUAAUCAUUUAUAUAUAUAUGGGCUACUAUUGUCACUACAAAAAAUGCCAUUGAGACUACCAAAGCAUUUGAAAUUACUUGGUUAUCCUUAGUUCCAUUUCCCCACACCUCCUAUCCUUCCCCUCUUUACGUUCAGCUACUCUCCCUCUUUACAUCCAAAAACAGAAUUUAAAUAAGGCUCUCAAAUUUGAAAAAAAAAAAAGAAGAUAGCAAUGACUACAAAUUGAUCAACCUGCCAAUACAAUGAUAAAACUUCGGAGUAUUCUAAGCAACACUAAACAGUGAUACUACCUAAGCGAAAAGAUUGAAGUUUGAACCACACAUGAUCAAGGAAAUGAAAAUAGGCAUACCGCCAUGAUCUACAAAUCAGCAAAGGAGCAAUCACUAUCCAGAAUCCCACAAUAAAUCCAAUUGUCAUACUGACAAAAAACCAAUUCACUCCAUGCCCAUGACUUCCUUCAUAACUAUGGGUUUUCCCAUUGGAGCUGCAGUUUAUGGGCAGUGGUGGACCACAUAGAUUGUUGCCGAUGAAGCUGGAGGCAUCAAAAGUUUGCAAUUGAGUUCCUGUUGGAAUAUUUCCCUUCAAAUGAUUGUAAGACAAGUCUAGCAUGCUCAGAAAGCUCAAAUUUGCAAUGGUUGGAGGGAUUUCACCAGAAAGUUGAUUCCUCGAAAAAUCAACGGACUGUAAAGAUCCCAUAUUACCAAUGCCUUGUGGAAUAUGACCAAUCACUUGGUUGUGGGAUAAGUUCAAAAAGUUCAAUCCAUUUAGACUUGUGAUUUCUCGAGGUAUUUCUCCUAAUAAUUUGUUACUUGACAGAUCAAUGCUUGUUACCAAACCCAGAAUGUUUCGGUACUCAUCUUCUCUUCCUUUCAGCCAUAGUAGCACAAUAACUAAACUUUCCAUCGAAGAGUAAAACGUACCAUAAUGUCCUUGAGAAUAGAUACGAGGAUCUGUACUUUGGUUCUUUAGUGUCAUGGCACUCAAGUUACUGAAACAGCUCGGUAUAUUGCCAGACAGAUUGUUUUGUGCAAGGUCUAAAACCUGAAGAUGACUCAUCUGACAUAUUUCAUUUGGAAUGUGGCCGCCAAAUCUGUUUGAUCGAAGGCGGAGGAUUUUCACAUUUAAGAGCUUUUCUCCAACCCAUGUUGGAAUAGUUCCUGAAAGAUUAUUUUCCCCAAGGUCCAAGGAUAUCAAUUGGUUAUUCUUCUUCACACUGGUUGGAAAUAUCCCUGAGAGUGUGUUGUUACGAAUUUGUAAAGACUGCAGGUCUGCCAAGGAACCCAUGGAUUGGGGUAAGUUCCCAACAAAAUGGUUGCUUUGUAAAUUUACAUCCACAAGAGAUGUCCAAUUCAUCCAGCAAUCAGGUAUCUCUCCUGACAAAUUAUUUGAUGCAAGAUUCAGAAAUUGUAAUUGCAUUGGCUUGUCCUGAUCGUUACAUAAAAAGUCAUUCAUGGAUUCAGAGAGUGAAUUGCUUGAAAGAUCUAACUGAAGCACAUCACUUGAAAGAUAGGGUAAUUUACCACACAAGUGAUUUGAGCUUAGAUCAAUAGUUGGGAUAGAUAUUGGAUUCUUUAAUGUAGUCCCAAUCUCACCAUGGAUAUGAUUACGAGAGAGGUUUAAAUACAAAACCUGAGAAAGUGCUUCCCACAUCUGUGUGGGAAUAGAAUCGAAAAUCCCCGUGUUAGAUAGUCCAACAUAAUGAAGUUGGUUUUGUGACUGAAUCCACAAUGGAAAGCUGGGACCUAACUGCCAUGAUGUCACUUCCAAAUAGGUAAGUUGAAAAUUAGGAAUCCAAUUGGGACCCACUUUUAAAGUGAAAUUGUUUCCUGAUGCAUGAAUCUCCGUCAAGCUUGUAAGAUUUGCAAGAUCAUCUUCCUUGACAACUCCGUGAAAAAGAUUGCCGUCAAUAUGAAGAGAUAACAAUUUAGAGAGUGAUCGAAGACUUGCAAAUGGAUUUCCACUGAAUUUAUUCAUAGAGAGAUCGAGAUAUCUUAAUGAUGAAAGUUUUCCAAAUGAUCUAGGAAGAGCACCACCAAUUGAGUUGUUGAAAAAAUCUAGCAGCUCAAUAUUUUUAAAUGCCCCAAUAUGAUCUGUCAGAUUGCCUGAAAGUCGUGAACUCUGAACUGCAAGUGUUGUGAGUCCAUGGGAAAUACAAGGAGCAAGAAUUUCUAAAAGUUCAUUAACCUGUUGGUUGAGUUUGAGAUAUGAUAAAUCUAUCACCCUUAAGUUGCAGAGAUUACCCAAAGAAGUUGGAAUGGUUCCUUCAAGUUGAUUACCUGAUAAAUCAAGUUCAACAAGAGAAGUCAAAUUUCCCAGGGCAUCAGAAAUAGUCCCAUGCAAGUUGUUGUCCCCUAGAUUGAGGAACUUGAGACGAUGAAGACCGUAUAAGCAAUUAGUUAUAGAAGAUGAAAAUGAAUUGAAAGACAAGUCAAGAUUUUGAAGAUGUGUGAGGUUUCGAAUACCACAAGGAAUCGGACCUUGGAUUUCAUAAUUAUCUGAUAAUUGAAGAGAAACAAGAUUCUUCAAUUUGAAUAUCCACUUGGGGACAAAAGAAAUGGCAGGGGAAUAACUAGUGAAGGAAAGAUGGAGAGUUUGCAGAGAUGAGAAGUUGAGCAAGGAUGGUUCAUUAUAGUGAGGGAGUUUGCAUCCUGACAAAGAUAGGUGGGUCAAAGAAGGAAGAGAUUGGAGAGUGUGUAGCCAAUGAAAUGCUUUGGAUAGGUUUGCAUUACUCAAAUCAAGAUAUUCAAGCUUCCACAUACUUGAUACCCAUUCUACAUUUUCAGCUAACAGAGGCUCCUCGAACCAGCUUCCGAGGUGAAGGUAGACCAAAUUGGAGAGAUUCCCAAUCUGAGAUGGAAUCUUCCCCAUGAAUCCAGCAUAAGAGAGGUCGAGGUGAGUCAAGAGAGGUCAUUGCACAAAGGAAAGAAGGAAUUGCCAUACCUUCAAAAUCCACGUAGGCCAAGUCAAGAUAUCGAAGCUUAGAGAGAUUCCCGAUCUGAGAGGGUACUGUUCCGUUGGCAACAACAGAACUCAGGUCAAGAUACACCAAAUUUGAGAGAUUCCCAAUCUGAGGAGGAAUCUUCCCAUAGAAUCCAGUAAGAGAGAGGUUGAGGUGAGUCAAGGAAGUCAUUGUCCCAAGGAAAGAAGGAAUUGACAUACCUUCUCCAAGAUAUGUAUUGCCGCUCAAGUCCAAGUAAUUUAAAUGCUUUAAAUCAGCCAAACAAGGACUUAUCUCUCCACCAAAGCUCCAUCUCCUAAAAGCUUCCCAAUCAUCGAAAGAAGCAGGAGGUGUAGUGUGGAGGUGAAGCUGAAGAAGAUGGGAAGUAAGGUUGUGGCAGAGGACUCCAUACCAGUGGCAACAGUUGGUAUUAUUAGGAUUCCAAGACCAAAGCCUAUUGGAAGGAUCUAUGAGAUUAUUCUUAAACUUGAAAAGUGUCUCACGCUCACUUGGGAUGCACACACUCUCUCUGCAUGGUAAGCUCAACAACCAAAGCUGGACAAAGACAAGAAUAUAAAUGGAGGAGGAAUUCAUGAUCAUGCAACGCAAAUACAGAAAACAAGUGUAGUUGUUGGUUCUGCAUAUAAAUCAUCAAACUUCUAUUAUUUAUACUGCUGCCCUGCCUGUUUUUUUUUCUUCACUUUCAUUAUUUUUUACCUUUUUUAUUAUUGUGCCAAAUACUAAAAUACUUUUUUAAUAUUUUAAUUCACUUCUUAGAACGGUUUCCUUUAUACUGAUGAAAGUGUCUUUCUUUUUUUUUUUUUUUGACGUUUCUUUUUUUAAUUAUUGACUUUAUUAUCCAAUUCUCCGACUUAAUUCUUAGAAUAGGAAAUAAUUAUUUUAUUAAAAUCAAUAAAAUUUAUUGUAUUUCUUGGUUUCUUCAAAAUAACUUUUAAAGGACAAAAUAUUCUAAUUAAAAACAAGAAUUUGAUCAAAUGGAAUAAAAUGACAUAUUUUUUAAAAAUUUCUCAAUUAAAAAAUAAAAAGACUAAAAUUACAAGAUUUUUUAAAAAUAAGAGAUAAAAUAUUUCAAUUAAAAAAUAAAAAACUAAAAUAACAUAUUAAAAAAAGACGACAAUUAUAUUUUAAGCCUUUUUUUCACUUUCAUUAUUUUUUUACGUUUUUUUAUUAUUGUGACUAAUACUAAAAUAUUUUUUUAACAUUUUAAUUCACUUCUUUUUUUACGCUGGCUUUUUUAAAUUAUCGACUUAAUUAUCCAAUUCUCCCGAAUUAAUUCUUAGAAUACGAAAAAUUUAUGCAUUUACUGUAUCUAUCUCUUUUUUUAAAAUUCCUAUGGACACUAAAUUCAUAAAAAAAUUAAUAACAAAGAAAUAUGAUUUAUUCUUGUGCUCAAUACUAAAAUAAAUAACAUUCUUUUUGGUACAGCUUUUUUUUUUUUUACAAAAAUAAAUAAGAAUCACUUUAUUUUAAUUUACCCUAUAGAACUACUUAAAUGAAAAUUUGGUAUCAUUAAACUUUGAAUUUUAACUAUUAUUUAGUCAAUCCUUUCGUUAAACUUUUGUUACGAAAACAGUAAAAGUCCAACAUUUAAAAAAAAAUCAAGUCUUCUAUUUCAUGAUAUUCCAACCCAUAAUUAAUAUUAAAUUAUCAAAUUUUCAAUAUUCAAACUAAAAAUAAUGUAAAAGAAAAUUUGUCUUCUAAACCAAAGCUCACACCAUCAAGUCCAUCUCAAGGUUUUCCAUUUGUUGAUCUUGAACCUUUGGACACUCCACAAAGUCCAGCCAUGUUAUGGUCUGACUUCUUCAACUUUAAACAUAGUCACUCCAUUACCUUCAUAUCAAGUUCGGUCAUUGACAACAAUUAUUGCGAGUUAAGUCAAGCAAGGAAAAAAAAUAUAAUUGGUUAAUAAAUCAAUUAUAGAAAAAGGGUGUACUUUAAAGACCAAUUCAGUUUAAAAAAAUCUAGAUAAAAAAAAGAUUAUCUCGUUCCAAUCUAGCUAUUUAAUUUUGAUCAACUUUUCAAUUCACAAAACAAUAUUCUCUUAUAUAUGAAAAAAGACUAAAUUUAAUUGUCAUCAAUUGGAAAGGUUGUUGUAUCAUGUAUUUCUAAUUGUAUUUAAAUUUGAAUAUUAUUUUCUUUAUCAUAUAAAAAUUACUUAGUUAUAUAAAAAGAAGUGUGAAAAAGAAUAUUAACUUUUUUUCUAAAAAAAUCGGUAUUGUAUUUUGUAUUUUUUACAAGAUAUCAACUUAAAUAAGAGGAGAAACAUAAUUUUAAUUUCCAUUUCACUUUUUAAAUAAUUGCAAGUGUCAAAUUUAAAAUAUCAUAAAAAUACUCACGUUCAAUUUAAUAUUCUAAAAAAAAAACAAAUUCAUACAAUAACUUAAACAAUCUAUAGAGAAAUAUAAUUUAUUCUUGUGCCAAAUACUAAAAUAAGAAACAAUUUUUAUUUUAAUUUACCGUAUAUAAUUACUUAAAUCAAUGAAAAAUUUAUCUUAAGAAAAUAUUAAUAAUUUUUUUAAUCUUUGAGUAAUUUACAUCAAAGGUAAUUAAAUUUAGUUUAAUUCGUCUUCAAAUUUUAACUAUUAUUUAAAUCAGUUCUUUUGUUACACCUGUGUUGAGUAUAUAACAAAAAGUCUGGCAUUAUAAAAUUCAAAUAUUCUAUUACUUGCAAUUUGAACCCAUAAUUAAUUUUAAACUAUCAAAUUUUUAUUAUUCAAAAUAAAAGAAAUGAAAACAAGGUUUUCUCCUAGAGAAACCGCUGGCCACUCCACCAAAUCCAUAUCAAGGUCCCCACUUUUCCAACUUGAACCAUAGACUACUCCAUCAAAUCCAUGUCAACUUGAACCAUAGACUACUCCAUCAAAUCCAUGUCAAGGUCCUCCAUUUUUUUAUCAUAAAAAUUAGUAUCAUAUUUUUUAUUUUCUUUACAAGUUGUCAGCUUAAAUAAUAGGAGCAGCAUAAUUUUAAUUUCCAUUUUACUUUUUAAAUAAUUUUAAGUGCCAAAUUUAAGCAAUCAUAAAAAUACUCACUUCAAUAUAAUAUUCUUAAAAAAUAAUUCAUACGAUAACUUAAAUAAUCUACAAAGAAAUGUAAUUUAUUCUUGUGCCAAAUACUAAAAUAAGAAAGAUUUUAUUUUCUUAGUUUAACUUAUAGAAUUGCUUAAAUUAAUGAAAAUUUUAUUUUAAGUAAAUAUUAAUAUUUUUAUAAAAAACAUUAAUAGUUUACAAUAAAGGUAAUAAAAUUUGGUUUAAUAAUGAGUCUUCAAAUUUAACCAUUAAUUAAAUCAAUCCUUUCAUUACACGUGUGUUAAGUAAACAACAAAAAGUCUUGCAUUAUUAAAUUCAAGGCUUCUAUUACAUGCAAUUUGAAAUUAUAAUUAAUUUUAAAUUAACAAAUUUUUAUUAUUCAAAAUAAAAUAAAAGAAAAAAAAAUAUCUUCUAGACAAACCGUAGACAACUCCACCAAAUCCAUAUCAAGGCCCCACUUUUUCAACAGGAACCAUAGGUCACUCCAUCAAAUCCAUGUCAAAGUUUUUUAUGACUGACAACAAAUGUUGAGAGUUAUUUCAAGCAUUAAAAAAAAAUAGACUAAAAUAUAUCAUUUUCGUUCCUAUAAAAUUUUAAUAUGUUACUUUUUCUUAUCCUAAGUUAAUUUUGGAUGACCGAUAAUUAUCAUGUAUUCUUUAAUUUUUGUGUCAUUUUAGGACAUUUAUGUGAUGUAUAUCUCAUGUUUUUUUAUUGUCAUGAACUAAUCUUCUCUUAGAGUUUAAUGUAAUUGUUUCUUCUUCCAUGUAAUAGCUACUUUUUUUUUAUUCAAUAAAACAUUGUAAUUGUUUCUCUUUUAUGCCUAAUAUGUGUUUUUGGAUUGCACCUGUUUGCAUGAUUUUUCAUUCAAUUGUAAUAGAAAAAUUCCAUUAAGUUGCGAAUUGGAUAGAACACCCAAUAAUUUUUAUGUGUAGGGAUAGUUGAGCAUCAAUAAACACUUUGUCUUAAUGCAAAUUGUUUGAUUAUGCUAAUCCAAAGGAUUGAUAGUUUAAUCAAGAGAUUUAGCUCUCUUCACUUAAGAAAUUAAAGUUAAGACAAUAUGGUAGGUUUAUGAUAAUAUAAUCUUUAUUAAAUAUAAAUGUGUAGCGAUUACGUGAUAGGAACUCCAAUAAAAUUAAACCCGAACAAUUUUUUCAUUGAUUUAAUCUCAAUUUACUUUGCAUACACGAGUGUUUGUUAAAAUUCUCAAACAAAAAAUUUUCCCUUAAUUUUUUCUUUUAUUUCCUUCCUUAAUUUUCUUUAUCUUUAUGCAUAUUGUUAUUUAGAUGAAUUUAGCUAAUCUUAAUUAAUUUCAAAUAUUCAUAGUGUAAAAAUUUCUUUAUCUUUAUUCAUAGUGUAGAAAUAUUGGUAGGAACCCAACUAUGAUCUCAAUCGCAACCGGUCAUAAAACCCAACGACUGUGAUCUCCGCUGCCACCACCGCUGCAAAACCCAAUGAGCCCCAACUCACGACAAACCUCAUUGUGAAAUCCCACAUGAAAUCCAAAUGUGAAUCCAGCCAUGAAACCUAGUGAAGCCAACCAAACAGUUGUUCUUUUCUCGAUUUUGUGGUUUAAUGUUUUGAUAUUAAGAUUUUGUUGGUUCAUAUCUAUUCUUUCAUCUAUUUUGUUUUCAUUUAGUCCAACCACCGGGGGAAAAAUGAAACACCAUCAGUGGCACAGUAGUGGGAUAUGAGGAAGAUGAAGGGUGAUGAAGAGAUAGAUAAGAGAGAGAAGAAAUGGGCAAUACAACAUUGUUUUUAUUUUAAAAAAACUUUUUCCCACGUAUAAUCUGUUAAUUGAUAUGCUUAUGUAAUUUAAAUAUGUUUAAAUCACAUAGCAAUUAUCUAAUUUUCCUCUCUUUUAUUGCUUAUUUUGUGUUAGAACAUUAGAAAUUUAACUUCUUUUGAGUUUUUGUCCAAUAAAUGCUAAAGCUAUCAAAUUUAUAGUAUUUUUUAGUGUAUUUUUUUUUAUAGAAUUACAUAGUAGGAGGUCUGUAAUAUGGUUGAAGAACUGGAGCAGCUCACCCAGCGCGUCAACAACCGCUCAACGCGAGGAGCCAACUUGGAGGUCAAGCUUAGCGCGCAUACGAUGACUUAGUGCGCAUCUACGGCUUAGUACGCAUCUGCAGUUUAGCCUGCACCUUGCGGCUUAACGCACAUUCACUUAUGUCAGAUGGACUUUGCAUGUGCACUUCGCGCGAGCACAUGCUGGCUUAGCACACGAUCAAUAUCACAAAACAUGAUUGUGCUUCAUUUUAAAGGAAAAAAAAGGAAAAAGUAAGCAAUUCUUUAGGGGGACGAAAAUUGAGAACUAAGACACGAGAGAAGAGAGAAAAUCCAUUCACUUGGGACCCUUUCCUCCAUUUUCUUUCACACCUCUUGCUUUCUUUUUGUAUUAGUAACCCUCUCAUGACAAUGAGAGGCUAAAUCAUCCAUUGUUGGGAGUUCAACUAUCAAACACUCUUGAUGUAAUGAUUCUAACUAUUUAUUUAAUGUUAUUUAAUAUUAUUGUCUUUUCUGUGCUUAAUAUCAUGUUUAUAGCUUUAUUACCUAUUCUCAUGUAGUGUUAUAGGGUUUAUGCAUUGGAAAAUGUUUAUUUCCUAUGAACAUCUAGGUAAUCAGUGUCUAGGAAUAGAAUGAUAUUAUUUUGCCUUAUUUAUUAUACAUCUUUAUUCUUAAAGAAAAUUAUUUGAUAUAGCUCUUAAGGGAUUAGAAGUGAAAUUAGGUAAUUUAAACUCUUUCACAAGAGAAAUCAUGAUUAGAGAAAUCAUGAUUAGGGUAUGUUAGUGGAUGAAGGUAAUAAUCAAAAUAACGUAGUAAAAAACCCUUAAUGUUGCAUCAAGAGUAGUUUUGAUAGGUUGAGUCUCAACAUAUUCUGUAAUCCUACUUCAACUGACAACCCACUCCUGAGUGUUUGUAUUCUAUCUCUUUAAUGUACUAUGCUUAAUUAUCUUCAUUUAUGUCAAAUUUUAUAUUCUGUAUCAUUAUUUGACAAAUAUCAAUUUUAAUUUAUUGAUUACUUAAAAUUGAACAUAUACAAACUCAGGGUACAGUUAAAGUCCUUGUAAACUCGACACUCGAUCUUACUGUUUUAUAUACGAAAAUUUAUCAGGAACAAUAAGCAGGUAAAAAAUAUGCUUUUUAACCCACAAUAUGAAGGUAAACAUGCGGUCGAAAUGUAUAUACUUAUUUUAUUCAAAAAACAAACAUUUGGAUAGCAUACAUACACGAAUUCAUGAAACCAAAAAUUAAAUAAAAAAAGCUAAACAUAACAACAAAUGAACGAGAGAAACGAAAAAAAAACAAACAAACAAACCUAAUCUUAUAGAGCGCAAAAAGAACAACGACCUGAACUUAUAGCAUCAUAAUCAUCCAUUGAAAAAAUUGCGAAAAAACAAUCUUUGUAUGGGUUUUCCUUCACAGAAUUCUCCUUUUUUUCUCCGUCCCCCUCCUUGUAUGCUAGUGCAUCUCUUCUUUUAAAAUCCAACAACAACUUAGGAUUCCAUUAUACCACGAUCUCCUUGUCUUUAGACUUACAACUUCAAUGACGUUAUCUUUUACUAAUAUUUUAUUUUUUGCUCAAUUGAAUCACCAUUACUCCAGUUUUCUGAUGAUCAAUUUUGUAACUUUCAGAUCUUCUAUGGUUUUUCUAUUUCUCUCUCCAAAAUAUUUUAAUUAUUUUUAUUUAGAAGAAUCUUCUAUAAUUUUUCUUUUUUUCUUUUUCUCAAAAAUAUUUUAAAUGAUCUUAUCUUUUAGUAAUAUUUUUUUUCUCAAUUGAAUCACCAUUACUCCAGUUUUCUGAUGCCAAGUCUUCUUGUAACUGUCAAAUCUUCUAUAAUUUUUCUCUUUUCUUUUUCUCAAAAAUAUUUUAAAUAUUUUUAUAUAAAACAUAAAAAUAAACCCGAAUAAAAUUGGAUAUUUACAUAAACAUUAAAAAAAACACAAAUAAACUGUGACUUGAACAUCCUAACUUUCUUCCAACAAAGAACUAGACACACAGAUAUUGAAACAGCUUUUAAGAAAAUCUACACAAUCACCCAAAGCAAAGACUCCUUCAAAGCACUUCUUCAAUUAGAUGACUCCUGCAGCCUUCUUUCACCUGCUGCACCUUGGUUAACUUGUUCCACUUCUGCCCUUCCUGCCUCAUAAUUCAUAGAUGAAUCUUCGACCCAUGCAAACCACAAAUUCAAAAUUAAUGUGGCACUUUGCCUAAGUAAAAAAUAGCAUACCCAAAAUAAAGUAAAAAAAAAAAAAAUUGUAACUCAUCUUGGACUGAAGUCUAAAACCACUAGGAUAAAAAAUACUCCACUUUUUUUUAAACAGUUCUUACAAAAUGAAAAAAAAAAAAACAUAUAGAAAAAUAUGUAAGCAUGACCAAAACAAGUAAACAAAUAACUGCGAUUCAUCUUGGAAUCAAGUCUUAAGACUAACAGAAACAUACAUAAUCAUAAUUUCGUUUGUUUCUCAAAACACUUCUUCCAAGAUAAGAAAAUCGAAAAACUGUCACAAGACAAAUAUAAUAGACAAACAGAGAGAAAAUAAAUUUUAAUAUCGAUAGAAAAUAUGUUUGUCUAACUGCAAAACAAGAAGAAUGUGAAGAGUAACAAAAGAAUUAGUCAGAGAAGUAUGGUAAAACAAUAUAAUCAACUAAUUUAGAAAUAAGUAAAAUUUGCAAAAAGCAGUGAUCAAACUAGAGAAACCUCAUGGAGACAACUAGAGUUACUAUUCAUUGUUAUUUACCUUGUGACGAUUGAUUCUCUGCUGGGUUGGUAAACCAUGUCCCAACCAUACCUUUAAGCUUAUCAACCACACCUUUCCCCGGACUAUUCACAUACAUCUCUUGGUACUUUUUCUCUGUCACCACACUUUCACCUCCUAACCUUCUCUUCACUUCCUCUGACUCAGUUACCUUUCCCAGUAUUCUUUGAUGUUCCAUUCUUCUCUCAGGAUCAUCCUCUCUCUUAUGCACAGCAUCAGAAACCACCUUUCUCACACCUUCUUCAGUAACUUCCACUGGGGGCAGUUCCUUCUUGUGCAGAGUCUCUGAUAUCACUUCAGAGAGAGCCCUGUCUUCAUCACCAGGCCUCAGUUUGUCCACCAAAUAGUCCUUCACAGAAACCCCCUUGUCCUGUUCCACACCCACACUACUAGUUUGAGUUCCAGAAACUUUGGACUUCACACCACUUCCUACACCAGCAACUUUUCCAGAAACUGGAGCUAGUUUCUCUGUCAGAGACUGAGCAACACUUUUUCCAUAUUCUGUAGGAGCAGCAGCAUGGUCAGUUCUCUUCUCUUGUGGUGUUGUUGUUGCUGUGUCGCCAAAACCAAGCUUCGAAGCUACGGUGUUUUUGGCUGAGAAAGCUUUAUCAGCUAUUGCAGAGGUUGCUGAUUGAGUGGUUUGAGUUGUUUUUGUUUCAGUGUUGUUGCCAUAUCCGAGCUUUGAAGCUACGGUGUUUUUUGCUGACACGGCUUUAUCAGCUAUUGCAAGCUGUUGCUAAAGAGAUUGUUGAUGGUUGUGUGUUCUCUUGAUGGCUUGCUUGAGUUGUUUCGGUGUUGUUGACACCGUAUCCGAGCUUGGAAGAGACUGUGUUUUUGGCUGACAUGGCUUUAUCAGCUAUUGCAGAGGUUGCUGAAGAGAUUGUUGAUGGUUUUGCACUGCCUGUGUUCUCUUGGUGAUCCCUUGAUCGAGUUGUUUCGGUGUCAGCGUCAUAUACAAGCUUC